rnacentral:lncRNA from 1 species
AAAUUCCAUGGGAGAAUUGAACAUGGAGGACAUGCCUCUGCCGGCACUUUUCGAGCAAGCUCGGAAGAUCCACCUGGGGGCGACGGAGUCCGGCGACGGUGUCGAUCAGGUACACUAAUCUACACCAUAAUUUCAUAGUCUCGUUCAUUUUUUUUCAAAAAGUUUUAAUUUUCGUUUUUGUUUCGUAAUUAAUUUAACUGAUUUGGGGAUUACUGGUAGGAGGAGAUUAGGAAGGGAUGCAGAGCCUUGGAGAAGUGCGAUGAAAUGAUAAGCAAUCUGGGUUUGUUCUCAGCCAAUGAGACCAAGGAGGAUAUCAGCACCACCAAUCUCAAAUAUCUUCUGGUAAUUCUUUUGGGUAUUUGUUUUUAAAGUCGAAAACUUUGAAUGAUUGUGAAAAAUCGGCAUUUAGUAAUCAUCUGAUGGAAUAGUUUGGAAAUUUUGGAUUUUUGGUUUGAAUUUAUUGAGCUAACUUGUGAUGGGGUUUUGAUUACAGGUGCCAUAUUAUCUAGGGGAGUUAAUCGAAAAGGUUGCGCAGGAUGACAGGAUAUCGGUUCUUAAGGCUUCCCAGGCUAAGUUAAAGGUGAAGCAUUUUCAUUAGUUACUUGCCGAAAAAGCAAUACUGCAGUGGGCAUGUCUUUGCAGUCUUGCUAGUCAGUGUCUUUGUAUCAGAAUAUGUGUUGAUUGGUUGGUUUCAGGGUUAUGUUCCUGUUAAAACUAACUAGGAUGGUGGCGUGUUGCAGGAGUUUAUUUCUAUUUGCGAGGCAAUGGAACUUGUUCCAAAAGAGGAGUUAGAAGCAUCUGCAAAAGAUGGCCCAAAUUCACAUGUUGAUCGAAGGGCACUGAAGGUACUUUAGUUUUCUUAUCGUCUUUUUUAAAAAAGCAUGAAGAUCCUAACUCAAAUUUCAUGGAUACUCAUGACUUUAAUAAUUGCAUUUUGUUGUUCUGCCGACUGUUUUACAUGUUGCGUGGCAGAACAUGUGAAAGUAUAGGCUUGGUGUUGUACUUUGUUGCUUAUGCUACUUGCUUCUGUAUCCAGAUUGCUCGAUUCAAAAGGCAAAGAGCUGCAGAAUCGAAAUUGCUGGAAAUUAAGGAGCGGAAAGAGCGAAGAGGGCGUUCAACUAAAGCAUCUGCCUUGUCAACUCGUAUUGAGGCAGGAGAGGAAGAUGUGCUGGAUGAUGACGGAGAGGAGGAGCGAGAGGUUUGUAGAUUUAUUAUUACAUAUCCUCUUUACUGAAAUGUUGAUUGGUUCUACAUCACAACGUUCUUGUAAGUUUACAGUUUAAUUACAUAAGCUGUCUAAUUAGAACCCUUGUUUUUGCAGGCUUGGUUUACUACAAUCUCUUUGGCAGUUAGUAAGGUUAGUUUAUAGCUUAAAGUAAUCCUCCACAUGCAGUUGUUUUUAAUUCACGUCAAUUCAUACUCAUGUCUUUCUGCCAUGCAAUCUUGUUCAGGCUUUUGAUCUGUUGGAGAUGCUAAAAAAAGAGGAAGAAAUGCUUGUAGCUUUUAAGGAAAGGCAAUCAAAGGUAUUAAUAUUAACACCGUAACUUAAGAUUGGUGACAUUUAUUGUAUUAUUAUCAGUGUUGGUCUUUGAGUUUCAUUACUCUGUCAUGAAUUCGCAAUUUUUGGUGAUAAUUAUGAGACGGAUAAAAAUUCUAUAGCAGCAUGCUAAAUGUUAUAGGAAAAAGCUGCAUGUCUCGCAACUAGACCUAUUUCUUUACGUGGUAGAUGGUUUGUCAGUAAACUUAAUACUAUUUAGUAAAAGAACCUCUGUUCUAAAAGCUUUUGUUUUUGUCAUGUAUUUCAGGAUGGUGGCAAGGAAUUUUAUCAAGAUGUUCUUGAUGAUCGUGCCAAGAGGGCCGAAGCUUGGCAUCGUGAUGCUGCAACCCGAGUGCAGUAUAGUAGACCAGCAGAGCCUAUCACCUGUGCAACUUUUGCUCAAGACGUUCUAGAAGGCAGAGCCAGGGUUUCGGAGAUGCAUGAACACAAACAUCAGCCACUAAUAUUUGGACCGGCAAGUCUUAUAGGUGGAAACCCAACAAGCGAGAGGGAAAGGAUGGCGGCUCAGGUUUUCCAGCCCAGUCACAGGUACACCUCCAUGUUCUUUUACUUUAAUGUGCCAAGCGUAAUUUAUCACGAGCUCAAAUGAUGGAAAUAUCUGGUUUUCGUGUUUGUGAUUGCAUCUUUCUUCGUGGCAAACAUAUCAUUUGAGAUGCUAAAUUAAAUUUACUGUGCGGCAAGGUUGCCGACCAUGAGCAUAGAGGAAGCCGGACUGAAGGAGAUGGAGAUAAUGAAUACGUGGCAAGAGAGGAACACGAAACUCAUGGAAGAAGCCAAUUCUGCAUGGUACAAGGAACCUAUGAAACCAGGACCACCACCGGAGGGGGAAGAUGAAGACGAUGAUGCCGCUCAAGACAGGGCGAGGGCUUGGGAUGACUGGAAAGAUGAUAAUCCUCGGGGUGCUGGCAACAAGAAGCUCACCCCCUGUGGAUAAAAUGGCACCUGCGGGAUUCUAAGAUUUUGAUUUAUCGCAAAUUAGAAAGUUUUGUAUUCGGUAUCGUUCUUGUUGUGACUGGAUUUACGUUAUGUAUAUUAAUGUCACCCAGAUAAUUUAUUUGAAUAAAAUAUUUUCUCAUAAUUGUUCUACAUUUUGAAUGUCAAAUUCAAAUUUGGUUAGGGUAAUUCUAUUAACAACCCACAAUCUUAUGAAUGCAUUUCAUGAUUUUAUUUUUUUCAGUUAAAUUUCUAUUUUUACUCUGACGAAUUAAGUUCUAAACUCCAAAAUAAACCCCAUCCACCCCCUUAUGCCGGUUGCCAACCACCACAGCGUUUGGGCAAAAUAUCACAACCACUCACCAUGCUCUCUCUCCAUACAUAUACAUAUACCAUAUACAUAUAUAUAUAUAUAUAUAUAUCCAAUCACCAGCCACUCACCGGUAGGUAAUAGGGAAUUGGGAGAUGAGGUGUGUGAAUCAAGAGUGAUGGGCAAUUCUCAGUCUGUUAGAAAGUCAGUCUUGGAUGUCAACUUCUGCGACGUGGAGGGUUUUUGGCUGUGCUGAUAUUGAUGACACCGUGGUCGUCGAGCUAGCUUUUUUGCUGUCAUUUGUUUAUGGGGAUGGGGUGGCUUCAAAAAAAUGGAGGACAAAGCUGGAAUUUUAGAGGCACAUUUUAGAUGUGGGGUGUAUUCAUAAAGAUGUGGGGUGCUAAUAAAACCACCCUUUGGUUAUCCUAGCACAUUGACAUAAUUGUUGACGGAAUGACGAGUUAGGGAAUUACAUUAAUUGAUUUUUAAAAUGAUGAGUUUCGAUCAAUUUUAGAACUACUUGCAAUAAAAAAGCGAAAACCAAAUUUAAAUACUGGUUGAUCCUGUCCACACAUCAUUUUUCUCUCCCGCAAGCACUUGUUAAUUUCUAUUUAAUUUUCUUCAAUUCAUUCGCACCGAUGUUCGAAUUCGACCCUUAUACAACGGAAUCAAGCAAAGAAGAUUUGGCUUCUUGGUCUUAUCUUGUUUUAGGUAAAGAAUCAAAUAAAGAGACAACUGUGGAGGAAGCGGAAAUAAAAUCCAGAAACAGAAACAAAUUCCGUUAAAGCUAACAAACAGUUUCUACUGGUAAAACCAAAUAUCAAGACAUCUGAGAAAUUACAACAUCAACUGAAAACAAUGGAAGGAAACUAAACACAAUGCCGGCAUAGUAAUCAUCUGUAAGUAUACACAAUUUGAUGCAGUACUUGGAAACGCUUAUCGCUAAUUGUAUAACACAAAAUGUAACUUAAGAUACGUACAAGAAGCCACCGGGAGGGCUGAGGAGACAGUUACCGGUACACAAUCGAAGCAGAGCCUGCGAACGCAUUGAUUUCGCCAACUUACCCCUCCGAGUGCUUGCUUGUAAUGUCACAGAAUUGUCAACCAUCUUCGAAGCACAAGCAGUCAAGCACAAUACAACACGGAAACAUCGAAACCUUCCAAAAUCCCCCGGAAUUCAACUGGCAAGGCACUUGAAUCCCCUGCAAACCCACAACCAAAUCCCAAACAACACGGCGCAAGCAAACAAGUCGAGCAUCAAAACCACCCAAACAUGCCUCCUCCAAACUUGCUUGGCCUUUUGGCGGUCACCCGAAUGCAAAGGAUCACUCUUUUGCGUUGGCAACGAAAAAUCCCUAAACCCGCAGCCAUUAGCAUCGUCGCACACAUCCACCUUCUUCUCCAUUGCAGUCACAUCUUUGCAAAGAUCGCCAUUAACCUCUCCAGAUAACCUCUUCUUCUUCUUCUUCAAACCUCCGUUCGGCUUGUUCCCAAGCAGUGGUGUCAGCACCAUGUUCUUCCCUUUACUCGCACUCAAGCUCAGAUUCCGACUGGCUGCCGGUGAAUUGGGCGAGUCCGAGGCCAUUAUUUUCUGAAUAAUCGAAUCGAACUGGACUUGCAAGCAACUGGGGGCAAAAUUAUCCCGAACCAAGAUCGACCCACUUCCACUAACCUCCUCAAAAUCCGAUUUCAACCGGUUUAAGAACGAAAGCGCCUCGGAUUGAUCGAGAUCAGCAUCGUAGAUAGCGAAAUACACAAAAGGGUCAUGAAUUGAGAAAAUGUAAGUUCUUUUUCUUACGGUGUGAGUGAACAUGGAAUGGUGAGGAGGGGCUAUCUCCACGCAUUGCUGCGCUAAGUCUCCGAGACCCGGCUCUUUCGAAAACUCGCCGAGAAUCGUGACCUUGUGGGCAAUGCAGGCGUAGAAAAUCAGAUUUGGAUUCGAAAUCAUCGAUUUGUUCUUCCAACAAAGCCGAAAAAUUUCAAGCUUUUCAAUCGGAGAUUCAAUGGAUGAAAAGAAAGAUGGGAUUUCGAUUCGGAAUCGAGUCCCAGAGGAUUUGCAUGCUAAAUCUGAGUCGUUUCGUGGGUGUUCGAUUCGGAAAGAUCGAAUCUUUCGAAUCCCCCACGACUUCGAAACGUUUCUUAUGAGUUUCUCUGCUACUCUCUCUCUAGAACAUUUCCCGGAGGAUUGGAUUUUCUUUUGUUUCUUUCUCUCUCUCUGGAAAUGCAGAAAUCUCUGUGUGCGUAAAAUAACUCCUCCGAUUGAAGGGAGGAAUCAACUGUUGGAAUGCGUGGGAAGCGAAGGGAAAAAGAAACGGAAUAACGGCUGCUUGUAAUCCAAGUGCCCUCGCUGGAAGGAUUUAUUAAGGAUGUGCCCUUCAAUUUGCAGCAACCAUUCUUGCAACUCUCUCCCUUGGGAAAGGGAUUCUCUUUGGAUCCUUUCCUCCUAAUUCAUUGAGUUCGGAGAUCUGGAUCAUUGAAUUUUGAUCUAACGGUUACAAACAGAAGUCCAUUUUAAAAGUUAUAAAACUUUAGCUGUUGAAUUUCAAUGGUCUGGAUCCCCCAGAUUUUGUGGAUUAGGAGAAAGGGAUCCGAGCGGAUCCCUUUCCUCUCCCUUAGAUCAUCUCCAACUCAUGGAAUAAAGCUUAAGAUAUAAGAUGUAAAAGUCCCCCAAACCAUCUCCAACCAUUGGGCUACAAUAACCUCUGAGAAAAAAUAUCUCUGUGCUAGAUUCCCCUUAUGAUUUAAACCUGGCUUAAAUUUAUUCUGGAUCCGCUAAACUAUCAUAUUUCAAUUAUUUUUUGUUUUCUAUAUAUAAUCUAAACGACUGUGAUAAAAUGAGAUCAACUAAGAAUUUGAUGGUUCAAAAAUAAAUAUAACGUCUAAAAUAAUUUAAGAAAAUUAUUUAAAUCAAAUUUAACUUAAAACUUUAUAAAUACCUAUGUACUUGUAUGAUUUUUAAUUACUUAUCGGAAAUUAAAUAUUUUUAAAUAAAAAUGUUCAUAAAAAUAAAUUAGGAUAAUAUGCAUAAAUUUUAUUUUCAAAAAAGUUACCCAAAAAAAAAAAGCUAAAAUCUUAUUUAAUAAUAUUGGGCUAAAAUUUUAAGCCAUAAAGGUUGAAGGAAAAGAGCAGUUUCUGAGUUAUACGGUUAUACCAUAAAAUUUUCUAGCUUAAAUUUGUAAGCUUUAUCCUCAAGGGUUGGAGAUGGUCUUAAACCUUCUCGUUUUAUUUUUUCUGUCUUUCUCACACAUCAUAAUGGAAGUAGGGACCAAGGUGGUCCCGGGAUCACUUGAAGUCUGGAAAAUAUAUAUGUGAAGGUCCUUUGAGGACCCUUCAAAUAUAUAGUAUGGGUCCUUUUUGUGUCGGCUAAAUAUUUGAUGUAAUACAUGCUAGGCAUAUCUCGAUAGGUUGCGUCGACAACACUCCAUAAAUUCUCUCUAUAUCACUCGUGACUCAUUAGAUUGCUUCGACGUAUGUCGUUAUCUGUUGACAUGUGCACAACAUGGUUUGGCUGCCGAUAACAAGACCGCCAAGAGUUCGACGAAAUGCCUAAGUGAAUAAACUUUCUUUUUUAGCACGCUUCGCCCUCUGUUGUAUUUAACAUCGAGACCCUCAAAGAUUCAAAUCCUGGAUCCGCCACUAUAUCAUACAAUGGUGUUUGCAUUCUAGGUUAUCUUUUAUAGCUCAACUCAGGGUGGAUGAGGACAAGUCAAGACGUGACAAACAAACAUGAGGAAUCAUAUAAUAGUAAUUGAUAUGUUGUAAAUUAAGGAAUCUCAUCUAGAGUAUUGUAAAGUAAAGUUAAUUGUGAUGUAAAGGACAUUCCUCCUUAUCUUAUGUAAGUAAUGGAUAAAAGAGGAAGAUGUCUUUUGUCCCUUGAUAGUUUUACGAGAGGUUCGGGGGAGUUCUUCCUCGGCCUAUAAAUAUGUGUGUAUACUCUGUAAGAAGAUAGACUUAAAUAGAAAUUAGUUCUUUAUAUAAACUUCUCCCGAGUGAAUAUCCUUAUUUGAGUCAUCCUUAGUAAAGAUCCUUAAAUUGAUGAAAUGUAAAAUCUCUCUAUUUGGAUUUAGCUAACCUGGGACUCGGUCAACAACACCAAGAAUUGGUGUCCAAAAUCUAAAUUAAAUUUAGGAAACAUGUGGUGCGAGUAGAAUGACUCUAACUUUGACUUAUAACGAAUGUUGUAAAAGUUCUCAAAAUCGAUUUGAAAACUGUGGGUUAUAUAAUAACUCACAGUUUUUUGUGAAAAAAAAAUUGAAAUUUUUAGUUUUAGGUAAUAUUUUGCGUUAGAGUUAAGGAAAUUAUUGGAAGACCUUUGGACGUGAUCCUACCGUUUAUUGGAUCCCGGAAGUAUUUUUUAUUGAUUUUUAAAGUUGAAAAAUAGAAAAAUAUCUUUAAAUUUAGGUUCUAAAUCCUUGAUUUCAAGUGUUUAAAUAUGAAUUGUAAUAGAUUUUGCAUAGAAAAUAUAUUUUGAAGAACAUGAAUAUGAUAGUUUGUUGUUAUGGUAAGAGAAAUAAAAGAAAAAUUAACCAAAAUAAUAAAUAUAUAAAAAGUAAAUAAAAACACUGAAAAAGAAAAAAAUUUGAAGGGGAAGAUCGGUAUGAUGAUAGCGACUAGGGUCGACGUAUGUCGCUAAGUUCUAGCGACGUUUCUCAAAGAGAAUCGGUAAUAUCUACCGAUCAUAUACUUUUUUUUUCUCUCUUUUUUUUCCAUUGAUUUUUUUGUCUUCCUAUGUUACUUUAUUUAGAUUCAAAUACCUUUAGAUGUAGGUUUAUAUUUAUAUUCUUGUUUUCAAAUUUUUUAACAUGGAUUAUAAGAAAAAAUUUCAUUGAAAUACAUUUUGUAGAAUACAAAGAUGAUAGUUUGAUGUUGUGGUAUGGGAAAAACAAAAUUUAACAUAAAUAAAACAUAAAAUUAAUAAAAUUAAUGGUUUAGGCGUAGAGAGAUGUAGCCCAAACUCAUGCCCACGGGAAGGCCCAAGGCACAUCAGAAGCAAUAGAGGCCCAUGAGAUUUAGGGUUUAAGGGUGUGUGAAUAGUAACACCUUGAGUUCAAGUGUUUAGGGGCGUGUUAAUAAUAACACCCUGGGUUCAAGUGUUUAGGGGCAUGUUAAUAAUAACACCCUGAGAUCAGAAUUUUUACUCAAAAUUUCCGGUUCUUUUGUUUCUUUCUCUCUCUGGAAAUGCAGAAAUCUCUGUGUGUAAUAUAUCAAGGGUUUAGACUCCUCGGAUUGAAGGGAGGAAUCAACCGUUGGAAUGCGUGGGAAGCGAAGGGAAAAAGAAACGGAAUAAUGGCUGCUUGUGAUCCAAGUGCCCUCGCUGGAAGGAUUUAUUAAGGAUGUACCCUUCAAUUUGCAGCAACCAUUCUUGCAACUCUCUCCCUUAGGAAAGGGAUCCUCUUUGGAUCAUUUCCUCUUAAUCCAUUAAGGUUGGGGAUCUAGAACAUUGAAUUUUGAUCCAACGGUUACAAACAGGAGUUCAUUUGAAAAGUUAUAAUAAUUUUAACUGUUAGAUUUAAAUGGCCUGGAUUUGGUGGAUUAGGAGAAAGGGAUCCGAAGAUGAUCCCUUUUCUCUCCCUUAGACCAUCUCCAACCCAUGGAAUAAAGUUUAAGAUAUAAGCUGUAAAAUUCUCCCAAACCAUCUCCAACCAUUGGGCUACAAUAAACCCUGGGGAAAAAAUAUCUCUAUGCUAGAUUUCCCUCAUGAUUUAAACCUGGCUUAAAUUUAUUCUGGAUCCACCAAACUGUUAUAUUUUGAUUAUUUUUUGUUUUCUACAUAUAAUCUAAACGGCUGUGAUCACAUGAGAUCAACUCUAAGGAUAAAAAUUUGACGGCCCAAAAUUAAAUAUAACGUCUAAAAUAAUUUAAGAAAAUUAUUUAAAUCAAAUUUAACUUAAAACUUUAUAAAUACCUAUGUACUUGUAUGAUUUUUAAUUACUUAUCAGAAAUUAAAUAUUUUUAAAUUAAAAUGUUCAUAAAAAUAAAUUAGGAUAAUCUACAUAAAUUUUAUUUUCAAAAAAGUUACUGAAAAAGAAAAAUAAAGCUAAAAUCAUUAUUUAAUAAUAUCGGGCUAAAAUUUUAAGCCAUAAAGGUUGGAGGAAAAAACCAGUUUCUGAGUUAUAGCUUAAAAAUUUUUAGCUUAAAUUUUUAAGCUUUAUCCUCAAGGAUUGGAGAUGGUCUUAAACCUUCUUGUUUUAUUUUUUGUCUUUCUCACACAUCAUAAUGGAAGUAGGGACCAAGGUGGUCCCAGGAUCACUUGAAGUCUGGAAAAUAUAUAUGUGAAGAUCCUUUGGGGACCUUUCAAAUAUAUAGUAUGUGUCCUUUUUGUGUCGGCUAAAUAUUUAAUGUAAUACAUGCUAGGUAUAUCUCGAUAGGUUGCGUCGACAACACUUAGUAAAUUCUCUCUAUAUCACUCGUGACUCAUCAGAUUGCUUUGACGUAUGUCGUUAUCUGUUGACAUGUGCACAACAUGGUUUAGCUGCCGACAACAAAACCGCCAAGAGUUCGACGAAAUGCCUAAGUGAAUAAACUUUCUUUUUUAGCACGCUUCACGCUCUGUUGUAUUUAACAUCGAAACCCUCAAAGAUUCAAAUCCUGGAUCGAUGACCAUAUCAUACAAUGGUGUUUGCAUUCUAGGUCAUCUUUUAUAGUUCAGCUCUGAAAAACAAUCAUCAAAUCAUGAACAUUUAACUAUUUAAUUGGUAUGAUAAAAUUUGAGUAUAUAAAUAAGAAACAUAGUUCGUUUAUUCAUUAAAAAACAACUAGAUGGCUAAAUAAUUUUGAAUUCAUUAAAUUUUUUUUACAUAGAUAUUCUUUGAAAAUGAUAAAAAUAAAUAAAUAAACACUUCCAAUCAUAAAAAAAAACAUUGUAGUAUGCGAAAGAAAAAGAAAUGAGUUCAAAUAAGAAGGUUAUUAGUACGUGUUUUUAUUAUUUUUCAAUAGAGAAAGAAAAUAUUAUAUUAUAUUUUAGUUGAAAGAUAUAAUAUAAAAUAAUAUUGUAAAAAUAAAAGUUAUUAUAUCGUGUAAUGUGGAAGGUUCGGUUCGGCGCUCGCUGGCCUGGUUGAUGCAAGCACAUGUUAUCCAUUGUUUAUAUUUUGCUGUGGGGCACGAACUUGUAUGCUUCGCAUGGCGGUGCUGUGAGUUGGCAAAGCAUAAAAUUGCAUUGGUAAAUGAUUUCUAUGUUUAUUCGAAAAAUAGUGUUACUUGAGAGAACAUCUAUUUGAACCGUAUUUUAUAAAAUUAUAUUUUGUCGAUUAUAUUGAGAAUGAGAGUAAGUGGAAGAAGAUUGGCACAUAGGACGCAGCUCUCACUUUCUUUGCAUUUCCAUGGCACUCGUGCUUAUUUUUAACGUUUGAAUUGAAAUCGAACAAGAAUCAAAUACGGAGCGUAAGACUUGGAGCCAAAGUUGUGGUUAGGAAAAGGCUGAAAUACCUCUGUGAGUCUUCCCAACUCCAGAAAUGAUGGAUAACCGUAACUUCCCACCAGUUGUCCCUCUUUUUUAUUUUCUUUUUUAAAUAUGGAGAGUAAAAAUGAGAAAAUGUAUAAUCGUUUCCCAUAAAAAUAUGAGUUUAUAUGAAACACUCCUGGUACUGUUCAUUUUUAACAUUAAAGACAUUUUUAGCCUAAAAAGUCACUUCCAGUACUAUUCACUUACACAUUUAUUUUAUCAUUUUGAUUAAAAUUAAAAUUUUUGAGAACUUUUCGUUAAUUUUCCUUAAAAAAUAGGAUGUGGAAAGUUGAACUUGAUAGAUAACAUGCUUGUACUGAGACCAAAAGUUUUAUAAUAUAACUAAAUGAAUAAUUAUUCUUUUUCUCUAAGUAUUAGAAUAAUCCAUCUUUCUGGUAGAGAAGUCAACCCUUGGGGUUGACUUGCUUAAUUUGCAGAAAGCAUUCAGAACAGAUAACUAAUCCCAUUUCUUAUACCAACUAAAGUAUAACAUAAUUUGGAAGUGCUUUUAAAAUGACCGAAAGUGUUUUUGGUGAAAAUAUUGUCGGAACCAACCUUCAAUAAAAAUGCCAGUGAAUUCCAGCAUAUCAAGUGCUUUUAGAACCCAAAUUUUUUUUUCUUCUAAAAGUACAUUCAGUCAUUUUAAAAGCACUUCCCAACGAGUCCAAUGUCUCUACUAAUCAAGGCUCAAAAGGAUGAGACUGCUCUUAUCACAUGUAAUGGGGAGUGAAACUGCAGGAUGCUUAUUAAUUUGCACUCGGAUGAAUCAGAAUUAAUAGUUUUACGCCUGUAUAUACCUACCACAUCGACAACCGAAAAACAACGAACAUGAAACAUGAAACGAAAAACUUAUCUGUUGCAGUGUGUUGGAUCUCUCAGCUGACGGAUAAUAAAUAGAUUACCCUAUACAUACGACUGAAGCGCGAAAUCAUUUGGUCGUUGUUCUUCAUCUCUCGGUCUUUCUUUUGUUUUCGAGUCGUUUACUUGACGUAGGGCGGAUCGAUAAAGGCCCAUCCGAAGACCCGCUCGUACUUGAUUGCGGCACUUUCCCAUGUGAAGUCUCUCUCCAUGCCUCUCUUCAUCAAUCCCUCCCAGGAAGGCUUGUACUCUCUGAAUGUCCUACAAGCAAGUUUUAGUGCCUGCAAUGGAUUAACCGUGAGUCAGUACGGCGGAAAAGAUUUUCAACAUUAAGUUUAGGUCGAAUAAACUCCUCGAAACUAUAUGAACAUCCAACGUACUCGCUUCUUUGAUAUAGAACAUUGUAAUAAUCGAUGUUUGGGUUUAAAAAACGCAAAAGGUGAGAGACGUAGAAGAAAAAACUUACCGCCAACAUACUCUCUUUUGUUAAUGGAGAAAAGGUCCACCUGCCAAUGUAGUCCACAAUGAUGCUACAAGUAAGAUUCUACGAAAUUUUUGUAACAGGAAACUAUCAAGGAAAUGCGUUGAGCAAUAGAGUCGAGUAAUAUACCCUGUCCCGUCACCCUUGCCUCCUUGAGCAUAUGGAUUGAAAUUCACUACUGUAUCCUGGAAGACAAGUAACAGAAAGCAUCUAAGAAAGAAGCAAUGUGAUGAGGAACGUGAUGAACCAGAUUUCAUUUUUCAAGUAUUUAAACUCACUCUAAGUCCUCCUGUGCUAUGAACCACUGGUACAGUUCCGUAUCUCAUUGCAUACAAUUGAUUUAGUCCACAAGGCUCGAACCUUGACGGCAUCAAGAGUAUGUCACAGCUGGUAAUUCCAGGUUCGGGGUCAAUAUGAUGCACAUAUGUAGUAAAAGCCUAAACAAUGAAACACAAAAUCUUGAAUUACCCUGCGGUUAUUCUAUGGGAAACUGGAACAUUGAAUCCAACCCAACCCCGGAAUUUAUCUUUGUAAGUUGCUUCUGUUGCUCUCAUCCAAUCUUCACACACUGGGUCCCCAGAUCCCAGCAUAACCUGAAACAUAUACAUACCUUCUCAGUAAAAACUAAAAACGUUAAUGUUGAAAGUUGGGAGCAAGCUACUUAAAAUAACAAUACCAAAAUCAAUGGAAAAGAGAAAAACUCACAAAUUGCACGUCAUCUUCCAUAAGCUGUGGCAUUCCUGACUGAAUCAGGUCAAUACCUUUCUGGUAGUCCAGUCGUCCAACGAAUCCAAUCUAUAAAUUUCAAAACUCGGAUCAAUAUUAGGAGCGGAGUAUAAAUCGUAACUGAAGCUGAGCAUAAGUAGACAUUAAUGUCUUAUGUCUUACCAAUGGGCAAUCCGGCCUAAGGGGAAGACCUAACUCCUUUUGCAAAGCAAGCUUGCACUGAACCUGCAGCCGGCACACAAGAACGGUAAGAGAAUUAUAGUAUAAUAACACCAUAACGCCCCAUCUUAAAAUGGUAGAUUUAGCCACCUUUCCGGAAAGAUCAUCAGCAGAAUAGUGGGAAGCAGUGUGUACAUCAGUAGAUGGGUUCCAUUCAACCACAUCGACCCCAUUGGUGAUUCCUGUCAUAUGGUAUUAUUCCAUUAAUUGAGGGUUAUUCUCCUUGAGCAUGGCACACGGUAAGCUAGACAAUGAAAUAUGAAGUUCAAGUGACGUACCAGUAAGAACACUCUUUCUACUGCUUAGUAGCUCAUUUAGACCAUAUCCACCUUCAACGGUUGUUAUUUCCCAGGAGUAGCCCUACAAUUCAAAGGCAUAAUUUAAACAUGAGAUAUAAGAAGAAUAGCACGAUGAAAUAUAUGGAGGCACAUGUCUGUUUGGAAAGUUUUGAAAACGCUAUAAUCUUCAUCAUACAAGUGGCCUAAAGAUUUUGCAAUCAUUAUUAUACGAACAAGAUGCAAUGAGGACGAAAAAUCCGACAACAGGUCUUAUUACUGAUCACCAUAAAAACGUUUGAUGCUUCAUUAAAUGAGACACAACAAAGACUAUAUAUGGAAUACAACUGACCUCGCUGACUGUCAGAAUCCGAUCAGAUGUCACAAUUGCACCCUUCAGGAUGUUCACUGCUUCACCUUUGUCAAGAGCAUGGGCCCUUGCCCAUGUUGGAAACACCCAUUCCAGUGCUCCGUACCACUCUGCAGGUAGCCCCAAAUUCUUGUAUGUUACUCCUGGUUCCACUCCCUUGCAUAUCAAAAGACGACGUUUAAUAAAGCUGAUCGGAUAUAUGACUAAAGAUUGAUAAUAAAACAAACAAACAAAAUGAAGGAAAGAAAAAGCAUCAACCUGAUGUGCAAGGUUAUGAAUUACAAGAAUACUCCGUGCAUCCUUAUAAACUCCAUAUGGACGAUACUUGGCAGCCAAAAGCCUGAAACAGAGGGACAUGUAAUGAUCAGAAGUCCACUAUCAGUAUGUUUACCCGAAAAAACGAAAAGAUAGAGCAAUAUAGGAAAGAUUUAAAACAAAAUAAUAUAUAGCUAAUUCAUUUAAUUAGUUGAAACUACUUACAAUGGCACAAGGCCAGCAUGCCAGUCAUUGACGAUGAACAGGCUUUUCUCCCCAUAGGUGAACCCUCCCAAUGGAAGCACUAAUGGUGCUUCACAUGCUGCAUGGCAAAGUAAAGUGAACCGAAACUGUAAAACCAAAUGAGAAUAAAACGUAUCAUUAUUUGUGAAUAAAACAGGAUACUACUUAAAUGAUAUAUCCAUUACGUACAACUUUUCAGUUCAAAACUAUACCUGAUUGUCAUCAAAUGCACCCAAACUAUCACCAUAUGGACUUCCAGGUCUGUGAUAAGACGGAUGGUCCACGAAUACCUAAUGACGAUAGGAAAAUAGGUCAUCAUUGGCAAAAAUUCUAUCAGUCGGGAGAAGGCCAAACUGUUUAAAAAGGGAUAAACUAGAACACAAGAAGUAUCCCCAAUAUCUUACCCAAUCAACACCUGCCCUAUAUUCAUGGUAGAAAGAAACUUCUUGCUCUGCACCAAAGCAGUAAACCUUGACGCGGGUUUCCAAAUCAACAGCACCAGAAUAUUUCCGGUCUGCAGCAGUACCGUUUUGAUAUCUAGGAGAGACAACCAUAACACGGUGUCCACGUGCUGCUAGAACAAUAGGCAAAGAACCGCAAACAUCUCCUAAGCCUCCUGUCUUCGAAUAGGGCGCAGCUUCGGCACUAACAAACACAACAUUGUACGUUACACUUGCUUUGGAUAUUUCUUUGCCAUCUAUUUCCACUGAUUCUUCCCCUCUAACAGAACUUACAUCUUCAGGCGAGUCGAUGACAUUGAGUUCACCUGCAGUAAAAUAUCAGAUGGGCCCCACAACUAAUUCACAAACAAAAUUUAAAAUAUCUCAACAUGCCGGGGUUUGGAAGUAUUCCUCAAAAUUUGCAGUAUUACUCGAUUCAACCAAUGAAAAUGCAGCAUUCGAUCACGAACGGAACACUGUACAUGCUAUGAGGUCCAGAUAUGGGGACCAGAGUGGAAAAUAUACAAUCUGAGGUGGAGACCACAAGAAAUGCAAGGACCUGGAGCCCUCACAUGCAAAUUGAUGUGGACAUCCAAAACCAAGGAUGCCUCACAAUUCACAAACAGGUGAAGACUCCAUCAAGCACCACCAUACACUCAAUAUAGCAAACUUUUGACACAUCACAAAUCUCUUAUCGAACCAAACGCAAUGAUUUUCGGAAGAGACGUGGGUUAGAUAGUUGGCCAUGACAGUGUCCCUCCCCGUAAAUCAAAGUUUAGAAUAUCGCUUUGCAAGACAAAAAAGCAAUGAAUUUUAGGAAACUGAAUUGGGGCAAGCAUCAAUUAAAAUCUAAACCACAUUUACUCCAUAUUUACCAACCAAUGCAUCAAAUAAAACAUCUAUCAUCAUUUCGAGGUUAGGAUGUGUCUCCAUCAGCAUGCCACAAAAUGUAAUCACAUUAAAAUCUUUCUGGUAACAGCAUUCAAAUUUGUACUCAAAUUUUCCAGUUUAAAAAACAAAAAGGAUCAGAAUUUCGACUGCAACAAAAGGGUUUUUUAAUCCAAAAACAAAUCAAUCAUUAAAAAAACUUCAAAUGUCUCAAAUAAUCCACCAAACCAAUCCAAAAACAAUGAAACAGCAGGAGAAUUUAUAAAUAAAUAAUCAAAACCAAGCCUGAGCAUUUACCGUUGGGAGGAAUCAAGUUAAACCCAAUAACAGCGCCGGAACCAUCUCUCUCGGCGCCCAAAAAAACACCCUUUCCGUCCUUCUGCUGGUCUUCCACCGCCGAAGCGCCGUCCUGCCCGCCACCGCCACUUCCGCCUGCAACCGACGCUCUCAGCCGCAGACAAGCGGCUCCCCUCCUUUUCCACAGAGGAGCAAAACCCAGUUGCCCGAUCGCCUCGUGAUUCGCGUAUUUAUUUGGAAUCGGAAUUAAAGACGACGAUUUGCAUGGGAUCAAGCUAGUGAAUUUCAGAGACCCCAUCAAAGUCUGAGAGUUCUAGAGAGAUAAAGGGAGGAGAGGAGAGAGUGUAGAGACUGGAGAGAGAGAGAGAGAGAGAGAGGACCCGAGUCCGAUAUAGGACGGAAGGAAUCGAGAUUUACGUUUGACGGAACAAAGAAGAAAAAAGCAGGAAGAAAAAGAAGGAAGUCACACACAAACAAGGAACCACGCACAUCUGUUGGGUUGGGAUCAGAUAUGUGCGAUCCAGAAAAAGCGCCAAACCCAGAAACUGAUUCCCAGUUCUAAACCACCAGAAAUUUUUCAUUCUUACCGUACGACUGUUUUAUCACGUAUUUUCGUAAAAGUGAGAGGAAAUUUUAUUUUUUAAAGCAUUAACUUUUUAACAAAUAUAUUUUACGAGUUGUAAAAAAUUAUACUUUAAUAAGAUGAUGUCACGUGUUAGGAGAUAAGAAAUUAGUUUUUGUAGGAUACGAAAGAUUUUUCAGUAUGAUUAUCACAUGAAGUGGUAAAUUACGUGUUUCCGUCACAAUUAAAAAUGUAUAGUAAGUACGACGAGGUAAGAUCGCGAUUGGCGAAACGGCUUUUGAUGUCGGCCAGUGACGUAAGUGAUUGUGAUUAAGAAGGUGGACGUGGCGUGGGCAGAAAGGAACACGUGUAAAGGAGUAAAUUGGUGAGUAGAAGAAUGAGAGACACAUGAUGCCAGAGGUAAAGUGAACCUAACUUGAUGUCGGCCUGUAAGAACACUUGUUGAAGGCUCGAACAAUUUUGUCCUUCUCUCAGGUCACAUGAAUUUAUUUUGCGUGUGGAGGUAAUGAUUUUCACACUUUCGUCUUUUUUUUUUGGCACUUCUUUUAUAUGUUUUGCCGACGAGUUUUCUUUUAAUUAUCUUAAUUAAUUUAAGUUUUUUAUUUAAAAUGAUCUAUGAGAUUGAUAUAACUUUUUACUUUGGUCUAUAAGGUUUAAAAUCGAUAUAAAUGGUUCUUGAGAUUGUCUAUAGUUAAUUAUUUUGAUCAUCGGUGACAAAUCUCGAUUAAAUUGAGGAUAUUUUGUCAAAUCCACCCCUCAUUUUGGACUGCUGGUUUCUUCAAUUUAACGGAGAUUUUUUUAUAGAAUGACCAAAAUGUUUGACGAUGAACAAUUUCAAGAACCACUUCUAUCGAUUUUAAAUCCCAAGAACAUGAGGAGUUAUGACAAUCUCAAAGACAGUUUUGGCUAAACAGCCAUUAAAACAAAAAAAAUCCAAUGUAGAUCACCUAUGGACAUAGAUUAAAUAGCCUUUGAACCGUUAGCUAAGAAUUCAUCUAUGAAUUUCGGUUCAUGCUAUAGGCCAAUCCAUACUAUACAUCCAUAGAAAAAGAAUAAAUUUGUAUAAGAUUUUCUCUCUUUUUUUUUCAAAAAAAAUACAUAUCAUGAGACACAGUGACAUAAUUUUAUAUAAUAUUUCACAAUAUAUAUAUAUAUAUAUAUAAUUAAUACAAAACCUCGUGGAUCCAUGGCCAUAAAAUAAAUAAUACGAUGUUUGUUCAUACAUCAUAAGCAAAAAAUGUCUUGCAAAUGGAAAAUUUAUGUCACACCAAAUUAACUUGCACCUAACCGAAAGUAUGUCUCCAACCAUGAACACCAAGCGGCAGGUCCCAAUCCUCACCAUGGGGUGAAUCAGGCCCAAAGCCCACAGCCCCCCUAGCAUGCCCACGCGGACCAUUACUUUUCGGGCCUGGGCUUCUUGGGCUACUCGGGAUCAGGUAGUUUGCUGUACCUCCACCCGAGCUCGGCGAAUAGCAGCUCGACCCAACAACCGACCCCUUCCUUGUUGAAGGGUUCCAUUGAGGAGUUGCCGGGCUACACUGCUUGCCCAAGCCUUGGCCCCGAACCUUAGCCUUGGCAGAUUGGGUCGGGGACAUGUAACUAGGGACGUUAUUCGACCCUUGUUGGCGGCGUUGUCGGGUUGGAUACGCGUAUGAAUCAAUCAUGUCUGGAUUGAGUGGGCUCAUAUUGACGUGAGGCGAGCUUGAAGGUGCGGCAGUGUCCAUUUCAACUCUCUUCUCAUACAAGUUAUUUCUUGUAGUUGUAGUGGUGAUGGGUGUUUUGUAAGAGGUAUCUCGAGUGCUUGAGUGGCAGUCUUGGUAGGGUUGUGAUGACAUCCAUUGCUCGAGCCAAUUCCAUCCCCAUUGGGCCUUAUCAGGCAUAUUGGAUUCAAGCCCAAAUUCAGGUCCAUCAGGAAUGGAUUGUAGAAGUUGUUGUUGUCUCUGGUAAACAAAAUCGACACUUUAUCAAACACUGUCACGCAAAAUAAAAAAGAAUUUUUUCAGUGCGAUCGUCUCAAAAUCACUUACAUGAUAACUAUAAGCAUAAGCGAGAGCCCUCUCUCUUUGCACCACAGCAUCAUUUUCCUUGAAACUUUGAUGCCUUUGAUGCCUAGUCCUAUUCGUAUUUUGCAUUUCAUAUUUUCUAAGAGGACUCUUGAGCUUUUGCUCUUCCUCCUCCAUUAAUGCUCUUCUUUCUUCUUCUUCGUCUUUCUGAUCACGAUCCUUCUUGUGAUGCUUGUCUUUGGUUAAUUCGAGUCUUCGAGCUCGUACUCUUGUUUGCACACGCACUAAUGCCUGCAUGCAUCGCAUUGUCAUUUGCGCUUGCUUUCGUACGUUAUACCCUCUCACCAAUGCUUGCAACCUCACCAAUCCCUUCAACGCACGUAGCGCGCGACGAGCCUACAAAAUAAUUGAUUGGUCACGAAUUAUCUCAGUAACAAGGUGAACAUACAAUUAGGGUUUUGAUGUCAUAUAGAUCCUUGAAGUACAAUUUUAGAACAAUGUACAAAAAUAUAGUAAAGAUUAAGGUAAAGGGUAAUUACUAGGUAUCCUCUAUAAUAUGACUGAAUGAAGAUUGCAGCUCUUUCUUCCCUAGAGUGACGCCCGUAACCGGCCAAUCGGACAACUUUAGUGGCGGCCCGUGCUGCGGCAACAGCAGCUUCAGCAGCAGCAGCAGUUGCCACAGCAACAGCAAUGGCAUGGCUUCUAUCUUGACGAUCAUUAUUCAGAGGAGUUGACGACUCAAUGGUUCUCUCAUCGUUCGUGACGUCCGGUGAGCUCUCUGCCAGAAAAUGCUCAAAUGACACCACUUCUGCUGCAUCGUGCUGGCAUUUCUCACCGAUUUCCUUCUGAGAUUAAAUCAUAGUACGUAACAAGUAUCAUAAUUAGCACUAAAACUAGCACUUAAUUAACAAAUAAGUUAACUAAUAUUUAUUGAUGUGAUGGGUUAGGUGGCAUGACAAUAAUAAGUCACGUCGAGUCAUGUGCCUAGCCAGGAAAGAUAUAAAGGUUAUAGUUACAGUAUUAUGUAUGCAUAUGGGGAUGGUGAUAGGGGACCAUAUAGUGUUGGGGCAUGCAUCUUGGUUGCGUUCCUGGUCCUAAAAAUGCCAGAGCCAAAAGGGUAGCUCAUGCAUCUUUAAUGUGAGGCAAACCAUCUCACUUCACCCCCAAACAAACAAAGGUCACGAUCUUGAUAGUUGAUAUGUGUUUUCUUCUAUAUAUCCAAUCCAAAUCAUUAAGUUAAUCAUAGCUCAUAUUGGUUUGUAAUAAGAUUACUAGAAGACAUUAGUGAUUCAUGAACACAAAUUAUGCAUACAAAUUCGAGUUAUAUAACGGCAAAACAAUGUGCUCACCUAUCUGUAUCUAAGAUCGAAUCAUCUCCAACAACAACGAAAAAACUUGAAUCCCUUUUUCAAUAAUUUAUCUUAAAUCAUAAUAUUGCUUAAAUAAAAAAUGGAUUAAUUAGGUAUAAUAAAUUGUAUCAUUGCUUGCCUUGUUGGUGUGAUCAUGAUUAGUACAAAAACUUAACAGAAAAUAAAUUGAAAAGAAAAAAUAAUUAUGUGAAGAACAACUUUUUCUUACGAAUUAAGAAAUUAUAUGAAAAACUAUUUGAAAACUUGCCAAGAAAAAUGAAAGAAUGGAAUUAAGAGAAAACCUUUUUGUCAGGCGAGUCCUUAGUAGAUUGUUUGAAAACUUUCUUGACGGAGGAGAACCAGCCGCUUCCUUUCUUCCCCAUCUCCGGCCUGCCGGCCAAAAGAUCAACUUCUUAUUGCCGCCAUCAUAUUGCUCUCAUCUCACGAGAGCGCAUGCACACAUAUAUAUAUUUCCGAGUUCAGACAUAUAUAUAUAUAUAUAUAUAUGUAUGUAUGUAUGUAUGUAUAUGUAUGUAUAUGUUUGUUGGGAAGUAGCCUCUCUCACAAAUUAAACUGAGAAAAUGAGCUGAUAAUAUCAAGACUGAAGAGAUCUAGAGAGUGAAAAAGAUGUCUGAGAGAGAGAGAGAGAGAGAGAGAGAGAGAUGGAGGGCCGAAGGGGAAGGGAGUAGUAGUUUUGUGAGGGUGCGCAAUCGCAGUUACUAUUUAACGAUUUCACGUGUGAAUCGAUCUUGUAGAAAUUUGGAGCUACUUGUCCAGUACUAGUUACUACCUACAUACAUCAUGCAUACGUAUAUAUGGUGCAGUUGGGGCUGACCCAAUUUGGCGAGAAAUUUUUCAAUCCGGACACAAAAAAAAUCAGUUCGAGGGUUAAAUUAAAAUAUAGAUAAAUAGGGUGUUAUUUGCAUACCUUUAAUGAUAACUAAAAGAUGAGCACACACUUUAUGUGUGAACAAUUUCGUUUUCUUUUUUGUUUUUGAUUAAGGAGUGUGAUUAGUGUAACAUCCCACAUCGCCCAGGGAGUGAUCCUUAAAUGUAUAUUCUCAUCCCUACCUAGCACGAGGCCUUUUGGGAGCUCACUGGCUUCGGGUUCCGUCGGAACUCCGAAGUUAAGCGAGAAGGUGGCUAGAGCACUCUCAUGAUGGGUGACCCACUAGGAAGUUGCUUGUGAGUUCCCAAAAACAAAACUGUGAGGGCGUGGUCGGGGCCCAAAGCAGACAAUAUCAUGCUACGGUGGUGGAGCGGGCCCGGGAAGUGAUCCGCCCAGGGCCGGGAUGUGACAAUUGGUAUCAGAACAUAACCCUGGCCGUGGUGUGCCGACGAGGUCGUCAGGCCCCUUAAAGGGGGUGGAUUGUAAUAUCCCACAUCGCCCAGGGGAGUAAUCUUUAAAUAUAUAUUCUCAUCCCUACCUAGGUGGAUUGUAACAUCCCACAUCGCCCAGGGGAGUAAUCCUUAAAUGUAUAUUCUCAUCCCUACCUAGCAAUAGGCUUUUUGGGAGCUCACUGGCUUCUGGUUCCGUCGGAACUCCGAAGUUAAGCGAGAAAGUGGUUAGAACAUUCCUAUGAUGGGUGACCCACUGGGAAGUUGCUCGUGAGUUCCCAGAAACAAAAUCGUGAGGGCGUGGUCGGGGCUCAAGCGGACAAUAUCGUGCUACGGUGGUGGAGCGGGCCUGGGAAGUGAUCCGCCCCGGGCCGGGAUGUGACCCAUCAGGAAGUUGCUCGUGAGUUCCCAGAAACAAAAUCGUGAGGGCAUGGUCGAGACCCAAAGCGAACAAUAUCGUGCUACGGUGGUAGAGCCAGCCAGGGAAGUGAUCCGCCCAGGGCCGGGAUGUGACAAUUAGUUUUUAAAAUUUUUAAAAAUAGUAUGAGACAAUGAUGAAGGACAUAUUUUUCUUAAUAUUACAUAAUUAUCAUUUUGCCCUAUUUAUGUAAAUAUUUUGUAUCAAAAGCAAAGGUAAAAUAUAAAAAAUAGGGAUAUGAUUAUAAUUUUGUCAAAAGGUACAAAAUUACUAUUUUGCCCCCCUUUUUGUCAAGAGUGUGUAUUCAUAAGUGAGGGCAAAAUUGAAAAAAAAAUGGCAAAAAGUUGACAAUGAGGGUUCUCUUAAUAAUAUAGAAUAGAUAUGGUAUGAUCGUCCAUAGUCAAGAAUUUCUCUAAUUGGAUUUCUACAUUUAGAUAGGGUAUUUGUAUUUUGUAAUAAAGUGGUAAAGGUUUUGAUGUAUAUUUACAAAUUAUUAAACCUUUUUUUGUUCAACAUACAAACUACCAAACUUGUACAAGAAACAAAAGCAAAAGACUUUCCCUACCAAGUAUUAAUUUAAGUAGUUGAAACUUCAAAGCCAUUUCCCCCCUACAAAUACAAAAAGCAGAAAAUAAUUUCAAAUAAUUAAGGUGUUUUUAGUUGCAGAAAGAGAAGGACCAUUGCAAUUGGUAAGCAGCGAGUCAACAGUGACCCAACAACACAAGACAUCCUCUCGACAUAUUUGUCAUGAUAUUUGGUUUCUUUCUCCGUGAAAUAUUUUCCAUUUCUUUUUUGUCUUUUCGAAUAUGCAUUGUAACAAUAUUUUAAGUCAAUUAUGAAUUAUAUUUUAAUUUUUUCAUACGUGAGACAUGAUUAAUUAAUUAAAAAUUACUACACAAUGUCAUUAUGUUGUAUGAAAUUUUUUCUCUUUCAUCUCUGCUUGCAGCUCCGGCUCCGGCUCCGAUUUUCAUCAACCUCCCUGUCGCUUUUGGCGUUGACCAAAUUCUUUUUACAACACAACCCCCACACUUUAAAAAAUUAUACACUUCCGAAUUGGCCAAACCCAAACAUACUAAUUUGGGGAAAACUCCAACUCCCUUGUCAGUAGCCAACCAUAUUAUUGUUUUUGUUAUUUUCAACGAUAAAUUAUGAUCGUGUUGGUGCCAUGUUGUAAAACUUAUCAUUAUUCACCUGUGAAACACAUAGAUUUAAAAUAUCAUUCAACCACUUCCUUUUGGUUAUUUAAAUAAGUAUGCUUUACCAUUGGGUGUUACUUGUGGGGGAGGAGAAAGACCUAGUUAGAGCCAACGAGUGCUGGCUCAGUUGGUAAGGUUUUUGUAUGUGUCGUCCCAUCAAAGUUUGAUUGUUGCUAACAUCAAUUGAUGUUGGUGCACGAUAUGUAAACUUUUACGUAAAUUUAUACCUGCGUCAGCUGGUAGUUUGGUGCAACUUGUAAGUCCUUCCGGCUCGAGAAUGUGGGUAUGCCUUGACGCUGGUGAAUAUAGUAACCAAUCUUCUCCUCCCAAACUUUUUACAAACACAAAAAUACUUCAUUAGAUGUCAUUCACAAUAAUAGUAUCUCAAGUCCAAAUGAACUACCACAUAAAAAAAGUUAGACAUUUGGCACUACGUGAUGUUUGGAUACAGCUACAAUGAUAUUCACAAGCAAGUAAUUUUUCUUGAUGCAUGAUAUACCAAGCCAAUACAAACUGUCAUGUAAAAAGGUUAAAUAUAUAAUGGUGUGUAAUUAAUUUAAAAUAUUGUCAAGAUAAUAAUUUUUUAUUGUACUCUCAAAAUAAUAGAUUAGAUAUGUCUGUUUUGAUGAAUUAAGAAACAUGCAGUAUAACCUCCUUUAGUCAUUUGCUGAGCUGUGAAGUUAUAUUAGACCAGAGUCCUACGCAGAACCAAACUUGAGGUAGUAUUGGGUGUGGUUGAGACUUUAAAAUCGAAAAAUAAAAGAGUUUAAUUAAGGUAGAUAUGACCAAAUACUUGCAUUUAAAGGGACAUUCAAGCAAGAUAUAAAGAAAAUGCUUCAUUAGAAAGGAGAAAGAGGAGUCCCACAAUCCAACCUUUUCGCCCCACUUUUGAUGGAUUAAAUUAUGAUUGGUGAAAAGCACCUUUCAAUAGAGUUAGUCAUAUUAAUAUAAGGAGAAAUUAGGUUCACAUUAUUUUUUAUGCUACUUCAUUGAUUAAAAUUUUAUUCAUUUUCAAUUUUUGAUCAAGGUCCUUGGAUAUUAAUAAUAUCAUUAAUUAUUUGAAUAAUAAAAUAUUUUUAUUUUUAAAUAUAUUCCGUUAGUGUUAAAAAUGUUAAAAUUAGUAUAUUUAUAUUUAUGGCUAAUUUUUUUUAUCAUAGUUUUAUUUUUAGUUUGUACCUAUUUUUAAUUUGUACCAAUUUUCUUUUCAUUUUUAAUUUGUACCCAUAUAUUAGUUUGUUUUUGUGCCCAUAUUUUUUAAAGUUUUAUUUGUGUUUGUAUCCAUGUGUACACCGUCAUGUGACAUUGUAUAUUUAAUCAAUGAUAUAAAAAUUACAUAUGGUAUAUUUAUGUUUUAUGCCUAAACUUUGUAUCAUAUAUUUUUUGUACCCACUUUUAAUUUGCAACAUUUUUUUUUAAAUUUGUAGUAUUUUCUUUUUAGUUUUAUUUUGUACCCAUUUAUUAAUUUCUUUUAGUGCCUAUAUUUUUUAAAAAUUCAUUUGUACUCAUAAUUUUUUAAUCUUUUAUUUGUACCCUAAUUUAUUUAUAAUGUACCCAUUCUUCUUUAUUAAUGUACCACUUUGUUAUAUGUGAAAUGUACCAAUUUUUUUUGUAAAAUGUACCAUUUUUUUAACACUAUGGAUACAUUCUUUUGCCAAUUAUUAUAUCUUAUUUUUACAUAGUUUUUAUCCAUUUAUUCAAUCAAAAUGUUUGAAUUUUUUUUUAUUGUAACCAUUUCUAAUAGUAUUAUAAUGAGGGAUUUUAAUUUUAUAGGAUUAUAAAUCUCAUAAAAUAUCAAACAAUUAAUGUCAAAACUAUAAAAAUAUAAAUAUUAAUUGUAAUAUAAUGAGGUGUACAAAGUCAAGAGACUUUGAUCAAACUUUGAAUACCAUUAAGGUUUUAGUCAAAGAAUGUUAAAAAUUAGGGACCGCAUCCAAAGUAUCCCUUAAUAUAAUCACUGAGCUUCAAAUGAGAAAUUUCUUAAAUAAACUUAUUUAACUGACAUGGGGCCCAUUUCAUAUUGUAUUUCAACUAAACUGUCUAGGUUUAAAGUUUUAUCCAAAUCGGUAACCAUGACGUAUUAGUAUCUCUUUUGUUGUGUGAUAGGUAUAUAUUCUCAUAUUAAUUAGUAUAUCUUUCAACUCGUAAUUUGGAUCAUGUAAUAAGAGAGAUAUUGUUGCAUAUGAGAGAAUCCCUCAUUUGCACAGAUGAACCACAAAAACUCAUAUAUGGCUUUAGACUAGUUGGAAUGGUGCUUCCAAAGUAAGACCAUGCACUAAUUGGUCUCUCCACGUAAUUAUCAUUAUAGUCAAGCAAUAAUGUACGUAUCUUAUCCAAGUUACCUAUGCAAGUUGAUGGAAUGAGAUGGUAGUGUUCAACUACCUAAACUAAGAGAUCUCAACUACUACUAAUUGUUAUCAUCAUGCAUUAAUUACCUUCCUUUAAUUCUAAUUAAGAUUUGGUAAACUGAAUUUCUUGUUGAAUCUUUACUUAUCAAGUAGUUAAUCUCUUUUAUUUCAUGUUUUAGUUAAUAACUAAACAACAACGGAUAAUUACUUAUUUGUGUUUGUGGCAUUUGGUUAUGACUCAAAUAUCUUGCAUCGGAAGAAUAACAUUUUAGAGUAGUUUUAAGAUGUUACGAGGACCCUUCCUUUACAAGUAGUUUAAGACGUAACUGGGGUUGACCUUUUAUAGAUUAACGAGAGUGUGCCCGAAAUACGGAGUAACAGCACUUGUUAUUAUAUAAGUAGUGAGAUAUUUGUGUUAAAAAAUUAACAACUUAAAAAUUAAAACAUCUUCCAUUAAUAUAAUGACAUACAUUGUACCACCCGUAUUCCAAACAUAAUGAAAAAUUUCUCAUGGAUUAACAUGUUAAUUGCAUAUCUUAGGGUGGUUUGAGAGCUUUAAACGGGUAGCACCGUGCUUUAUCGGGUUAGGUUACUUGGCUGUUACACCGAAGUUUGUAUGGUCUGUUUUUGGAGAGAUUUUUUUCAAGUUCUGGGUACUAAGCAGUAUUACAUAGUGGUGGGCACGAGUCGCAAGAAAGCGUUGAAGAAGGUCAGGAAGAAAUUGAAGAAGCAACAGAAGCUGAUAACAAAGAUGGGGGAGGAGUUUCAAAAGAAAAUGACUGCAGUAUAGAUUACAGUUGAGAAAUGAAGCGUCUCUUCUUACUUCUCCAGUUACUUGUUCAUAGGUUCUUACGUUUCGGGUCCGAUAACACGGUUGUUUUGUGCACACAGGAAGUGCUACAAGUAGUGGAUAUAUAUUUGUCCGUCGUAGGAAUCACUGAUGACUUGUAACUAGUUUUGCAGCACUGACAUUGGGAUCGUGUUCUUCUGAGUUUUAUAUAUAUAUAUAUUAUUAUAUAUAGUUGCAGUGGUUGGAGUUUAUGAUGUUAUGCAAAAUUUCAAAUUCAUUAUCCUUUUGAUUGACUGUCGUUUGAUUCUCUUUUAGUUCAUAGGAUACUGAAAAACCAUAAUAUUUCGAUUUAUCUUAUAGGAGAGAAACUUUAGAAAAGAGAUUCCGCUCUACUGUUUAUGUUGAAGUGGGAGACUUGAUAGGUUGUAGUAUGUCAUCCAUACAACUGCUACAGUAUCGUUGUGUGCGGAUAUGAGAUAUUGAUAUCAAUGUCAAAUUGUCAAUAAUGCUUCAAUAUGGAUGUCAACAUGUUAUUGAUAUGUAAAAAAAUGUAUUAAUAUAUUGUUGAUAGACUUGCAGCGGUUUAUUGUAACAUCCCAUAUCGUCUAGGAGAGUGGAUUAUGUAAAACUUGUAUGUAUAUUCCUAUAUUUACCUAGCACGAGGUCUUUUGGGAAUUCACUGACUUCGGAUUCCAUCGGAAUUCCGAAGUUAAGCGAGUUCGCACGAGAGCAUUCCCAUGAUAGGUGACCCACUAGGAAAUUCUUGUUUGAGUUCCCAGAAACAAAGCCGUGAGGGCGUGGUCGGGGUCCAAAGCGGACAAUAUCGUGCUACGGUGGAGUUGAGCAUGGGAUGCGGUGGGGGUCCAGGCCGGGAUGUGACAAUUUGGUAUUAAAGCCAAUCCCUGGCUGGAAGUGUGCCGACGAGGACGUCUGGCCCCUAAGGGGGUGGAUUGUAACAUCCCACAUCGCCUAAUAUAGUAGAUCAUGUAAGUCUUAUAUAUAUAUAUAUAUUAUCAUCUCUACCUAGCACGAGGCAUUUUGGGAACUCACUAGCUUCAGAUUCCAUCGAAACUUCGAAGUUAAGCGAGUUCGCACGAGAGCAUUCCUAUGAUUGGUACAUCGCCCAGGGGAGUGGAGCCUUAUAUGUAUAUUCUCAUCUCUACCUAGCACGAGACCUUUUGGGAACUCACUGGUUUCAGAUUCCGUCGGAACUUUGAAGUUAAGCGAGUUCACGCGAGAACAUUCCCAUGAUUUGUGACCCACUGGAAAGUUCUCGUGUGAGUUUCCAGAAACAAAACUGUGAAAGCUUGGUCAAGGUCCAAAACGGACAAUAUCGUACUAUGGUAGAGUCGAGCCCGGAAUGUGAUGGAGGCCUGGGCCGGGAUGUGACAUUUAUGAUGUACCGCAACUUAUGUGUAAUAAGUCAAACAGCGUUUUUGUUUUUUUUUUUUCAAAAUUGUUCUCCACAUCAACAUAAUAUGUCGUCCAACACCCUUGCCUAAAGUAUGGAGUUCAAUAUAUCCUUUGAUUUUUGAAAAAAAAAGAAAAAUACAUCCCUUGAUUUACUGUCUUCCAACAUCACUAAAAAUAAAUUUUCAAUUAUUUAAAUUAGUGAAUAAAAACUAAUUUUCGCUCCAACUAACUGAAUUAAGAUCAAUACUCGUUACUAAAAUUUAUUUUGAUUGACAUUUUUUUUUAAAUCACAAAAUGUUGAUUAUAUUAAUAUUAAUAUGAAUUUUUUUUUGUGACUUCAAAUAAAUUAAAUUUCGAUAGCAUUGACAUGAAAAGGAUUUUAUAUUUUGAAUUAAUGUUUUUCUUUUUCAAAAUUGCUUCUACUAUGUCUUCUUGAGAAUAAACAACUGUGAAAAGAGCAGUUAAAUAUUUAGUAAACUAUAGUACUAAAAGUGUUUUUAUUGAAAAAAAAAAUGAUCAAUAUAAAAAUUUCAUUACUUGGUAUUAUUUGCCUGCCCUCGAUGAAAAAAAUACGUUUUUUUUAGAAACAUGUGAAGAAUUGUUUUUGGUUUCUGUUGCUUUUGUUUUGGACCUAUAAAAAAAAAUCUAUUUUGCAACACAAUUAAGGUCUCAACUUUUCUAACAAACUGCUUUUAAAAAAAUUUAAACAACCCUAAACCAGCCUAUAAACAAUUAAAAAAGCUAUAGAAUUCCACUUUAUUCGUAAGUGAUCAAGUUACGGCCCUUGGAUCAUAUGGGCCCAACUAUACCGGUGGAUCCAAUUUGAUCCAACGGUCCUCGAUUCCGCCGCGGAGAAUAAGGCCCAACUUUAUAACUCAGAAAAUCACAGAGACAGUGGCAACUGGAGAGAGAGGGAGUGACUCGGUGAGCGAGAGCCACCGGCGAGAACACUGAGUCAACUCGGAAGAUGUUCCAACCCAGCAACCAGGUGAGAACCCUCUAAAUUUUCAUUCUCCGCCCUCUGUUUGGCAGCCGAGAAAAUGCAAGAAAACAACUGGGUACCUCUCUUAGGUUGUAAAGUUUCCAAAUUUACUAGCUUGUCAAACGCCCAGCACGGAAUUAACUGUGUUAAUUCAAAUGCAUGUCGUUAUUCUCUUCGCCAUUGAUUUUUCCUGCUUCGAAUGCCAAAAAAUAAAACCUCAAUUCGGUGCUCAAUGCAAUUCUUUGAUUUUUAAGAGCUUUUUGGUAACUGAGUUUAGUUAAUUUUCUCAAAUUUUUAGCUUUAGAACUAAAUUUUCCGGUACUGUAAGUUUCCACGAGGAAGAAGAAAGAAGGGAAAAUCAGCAUGCAUCUUUGCAUUUUCGGCAUUGGCAGUUUUAUGGGGAAUGUGGUGCUUGUAAUUGCUUGAAUCAAAUUUUCGAAUUGACCCUUUUGGAGGCGUUUGCGAUUUGUAGUCCGAAACUGCGGUCUUGAAUUGUGUGAAUUCUUUUGUGGCGUGAGGCGGUAGUGUUCUAAAUCGAUUUUCGGGUUGAUUUAGUUUUCGCUGUUGACACUGCCGUUAAUUUAAGAACUUGAGGCAUAGAAAUGUGUAUGUGCCUUUCUGCAGUGGUGAGUGGUGACUGGAUAUUGUAUGCAGGCUUUUCUUGUUGGUAAAGAAACAUAUUGAGCAUUUAGAAAACCCUGUACUUGUAGAUGCUAGUUUGUACUCCCACGAACUUAUUAGGGAGCGGAGAUCACUUCUAGGUUGUGCUCAUUUUUUUCGUGCCCAACGUCAAACUUAAUGAACAGUCUGCAUAGUCUGUGUACAUGCAUUUUGGUUUCUGUCUGUACUAUUGAUGCUAUUUAAUCAUUCUUUUGCAGGUUCCAGGUCAGCCGACGCCAUUGUCUGUUCAAGAUCCUGCAGCUUUGAUGCAAGUAGAUAAAAAAGAAACUAGUGUGGUUGUGCAGGAUGAAGUCAAAACUGGAGGCUUCUCGCAAGCAGAAUCCAUCAUCUAUUACACUAAGGUUGUACAAGAACCUGUUCUCAAGACCCUUUAUAUUAUGAUUUUCCAUGCAUUUUGGUAAUAUAUAGUUGAUAUUUCACCUUGCAUUUCCGUUCAAGGUAAUUAAUUAAUUUUUUGAGAAGAAAGGUAAUUAAUUAAUCAUGACAAAAUUGUAGCAUUUUGAUGUUUUUGUUAUUCAUGAUUAAUGAAAUUAUCGUGGAGGAUCCUUUUUGGAGCAAGGAUGGAUCAAACUAACUGACUUUCAAAGAGCUAAUCUAUGCAGAAACUUCAAGACGAUUUACAAAUGAUGGGAAUGAAAAUUAAACAACAUGAGGACAACAUAAAACUGCUGAAGUCUCAGAAGCACAAACUAGAUGACUCUAUUCUCGAUUUGCAAGGUAUAAUAUCUUCUUUUUCUUCUUCCUCCAUUAUCUACAUUUCAUUGGUGAUGUAAUAAAUCUAGUUCAAACAAGUGAACUAAAAUUGUUAAUAAAUAUGUAAGUACACAGUUCGCAAUACUUUGUUGGGCACUUUUUCUUUGUUUCCAUAGUUUCUCUACUGAAGCAUUUCCUUUCAGUUAUUCUAGGCAAGUAUCACACCUCAACCACUCCUAAAAUCGAAGAUGAUGGCCAUUCCUGCCGUAAAAGUGAGGAGGAAACUACUGAAAAGAUUCUUCAGCAUGAGAAGUCUGCCGCAGGCAUUUUAUGGCAGUUGAAAACUCGUCAUGGUACUCAGGCUGCCCUUCUUUCCCCGAUCAAGGAUGUCGUGGGUAUUGUUGGUAUGCUUGGCAAAGUAGAGGAUGAUAAUCUUAGCAGGUCAAAGUUCCCAUAUUGUUUGUUGUUACUUAUUUCUCAAGUUGUGAAAUUGUGCUUUAGUCAUAUGACCACAUUAGUAGUUGUGUCUGUGCUUUUCCGUGCAUUUCACUACUAGUCCUUUGAUUUUGGAUAGUGAGGGGUGAGUUUAGGCACCAUAGUACUGCAAUAGAUAUAUUUGUUGUAAUAGAGAUGGAAUUGUACUGACCAGGUGUAAACGGACCCAUUAGUUUAGGGGCAGUGUAGAAUGAGCACAUUGAUAACACCUGGCCAUGAAAAUGUUUCUAAUUGACCCCCUCUCCAGCUCUCCCCUUCCCACCCUAUCUAUCUAGGCCUAUAACUAUACCGGACCUAGUUUUCAUUCGGCUUAUUUGGAAUGUGCAGGAUUUUUUCAGAGUACUUAGGGAUCGAGACUAUGUUGGCAAUUGUCUGUAAAACUUAUGAGGGUGUUAAAGCUCUAGAAGUGUAUGAGAAUGAAGGCUGCAUAAAGAAAUCUGCUGGUCUUCAUGGACUUGGUUCAUCCAUUGGUAGGACAUUGGACAGCCGAUUUCAGGUCAUUUGUCUUGAAAAUUUAAGGUAUGUGUCCUAUAUACUGUCACACCUCAAGCAAUCUGAACAAAUAUUGAUUUGUAAACUUCACUAUAUCGACUAUGAAAUCAAAUUCUAUUUUUUUUCUUCUUCUGCAGACCAUAUGCUGGUGCAUCUGUGCCCAAUGACCCACAGAUGAGGCUUGAUAUUAUAAAGCCUAGGUUAGCCAAUGGGGAGUGUCCACCUGGAUUUCUUGGUUAUGCUGUAAAUAUGAUUAAUGUGGAUAGCGCUAACUUAUAUUGUCUCACAGCCACUGGGCAUGGACUAAGAGCGACUUUAUUUUAUAGCCUCUUUGGUCACUUGCAAGUAUAUAAAACAAGGGCAGAUAUGGUUCCUGCUCUUCCUUGUAUUAGUGAUGGAGCCAUUUCUUUAGAUGGCGGGAUGAUUAGGUCAACUGGUGUGUUUUCUCUUGGCAACCGGUAAGAAGCUCUGCCAAUAAAUGAAAUCAAAAACUAAUUUUAACCCCAUAUUGUGUUGAAGUAGUUCUGUCUUUUGAAACCAUCUUUUGUAAAUUUUAACGUGCAAACAAUUUAAGAUAUAUAUAACUUUUGAAUUGUUUAGAUAUUGUUGUCAUUUGUUAAUGCUAACAUGGAUUUUGUUUGCUGCUAACGUCUUAGUUUUAAAACAUAUCUGAUGUCAGGGAAGAUGUAGAUGUGAGAUUCCCCAUACUGUCAGCAACAUCAGGCCUACCCGAAAACUAUUUCGAGUCUGAAAGACAAAUCAAUGAGUUGAAGCGGAAAAAAGACAAACUGCAGGAAGAUAUGAAGAGUGAACAAUCAUUAUUGGACAACGCAAAGUUCAAUUUUGACAGAAAGAAGCAAGAUUUUCUCAAGUUCCUGGCGGAUAGCUCAUCAUAUGUAACUCAGGUAACACCCGUAACAUAUCUUAACUAACAAUAAGGUGCAGUAUAGGCGUAAAAGUAACCUGCCAUGUGCCUUCAGUUGCAGGCACCAACCCGAUAAAACGAAAUUAUUAGACCAGUGCUGGAUUCUAGGACCCUUUUUCAUUCCGUCCUUGGGCAGUGUUAAAUACGUGUUCAUCACAUUGUUGUGGGACAUUAGGGAAUAUGAAUAGUUAUAUAAAUCGUGGAUACUGAAUAAAUCAUUUCAAACUUGCUAUUGCACUAGACGGUAGCCCGUGUUGAGUAGUUUAUCAUCUGUGUAGUUUUGCUUUAUUUUCCUUCCUUCGUCAUUGAGUUUUAAUUGCGGCCUUUAUCGUUGCAGCAUCAACUUUAUGCACCGCAAGGCAGAAUGACCCCGAGGUGACAACUGACGAGUACAUUGAAGGAACGAGGCACCUUCGAACCAAACAGAAGGGAGAGCCUUCAGAGCUUUGUCUGGUUGAGAGUCCGGCUGAGGAUCACGUUUUCAUCUAUGUUUUAGAAAGCCACGAAAGCGUAGUGGGAAAAUGCAUAUUCUUUGAGUCUAGUGAGGGGGCUCGUUUGUUGAAGUUUAGGGCCUCGUAGAACCAGAAUUAGGUUGAGGAAUUUUUCUGUUUGUUCGUCCUCUCAAAUGCUUGUGACUUUGUGAUAAAAGUGUAUGCACCAUUUUUCCAUACGAAGACGACCUAUCUACUAGGAUAGAAACUUAACACCCUGUCUGCUAGAAUAUCGGGAUAGAAACUUAACACCCUGUCUGCUAGAAUAUCGAGCUAAAAUUCGAAGGGAAGUUCUCCUUGCAGGAGAGGACUGGCCAUAUGACCCGGCGAGGAAAGAAAUGAAAACCAAGAGGAAAGGGCAGACGGUUGACCGGAUGGCCAAGGAGAAACGGGACAACACUGAGAGGCUAAUGGCGAAGAUGCCGCAAAUACUGACAUCUCGUUCUGUUGGCUAUUGUUUUUCUUUUAGGACCUCAUUGAUCAAAAGUGUGCAUUGCAGAGCAAGAGUAAGGCUGCGUACGCUAGACGUUGCCCGACCUUCCAAAAGCGGGAAACCUUGUUGGCUUGGUGUCGCCCUUUUUAUUAAUCAGAAGAAGGUGUAACAUCUGUCUUGAAACUGUUUUCCCAAAUGUAGUUGAAGCUUAUAAAUCACCAGUUGGAUCAAGCCUGUGUUAGAACUGAGGUACAAUUUUGAGGUACGGAAAUCCGAUCUCCAACCAAAGAGAGGAAUCUGUUUUCUUCCGCUGUUGCGAUGGGCACGAUCGGGUUUAUCCUUUUUGGAUGUUUUGUGUUUAUGUUAACUCACAAGUUGAUCGACACUAAAAAGGUUAAAGAGUGUUAAUCAUGUACGCAUGGCGUUACGGGUUGUGUUCAAAAUUGUCAUGGCGAGACCGGAUCCAUUGGUUGCCAAAUCUAAAAAAUGAAAAAAAAAACAAAACAAAAAAAGGGUUGCGUGAAAGGAUCUACCAAGACUUGAACCCGGGUUAUGGGAUCCGGGGUCCAGUGUCCUGACCAAUAGACCAUAAAACCUUGCUGUUAAAAUCGCCUGUAGUUUGAUAUUUAACUGUUUCAAUUCAAGGGACUGCUGAAUGGUAACGACAGGUCGUAUGAAGUCAAAGAUUCCAGUCCGAGGAAAUCACGACGAAUAAAAAUCUGGCUUGUCAGACCCAAAAAAAUAAUUAAAAAAUGAAACUCUUAUCAGAUGUGGCCGCCCCAGUGGAAUGAGGGAAAUAAUCAUCUUCAUUUUCCUUCCUCAUAAUUCAUCAAAUUCGGGGAUUCAUGUCAUUAAAUUUUGAUUUAAUAGCUAUAAAUAGUAACUUUAGCUAUUUGAUUAAAUUUCAAUGACCAAUAUCUCCGAACUUGAUGGAUUAAGUGGAAGGAAUCCAGAGAGAAUCAUUUCCUGGAAUGAGGAUCCUCUUUAUGAGGAUGUGGAUCUUCAAAUCAUGUUAGUUCAUCUUAUAUCGUGUGGCUAAAAAUUACUUUAAAUACUUUUAUUUUAAAUUAAAUAUGAAUAGCAUCUGACAAAAGCCAAUCAUAUUAUAUAAAAUGAACGAACACGAUUUAAAGAUUCUCGAUUCUCAUCAAGAGAAUCGGAAGGGUAUCCUCCUGGACCCUAGUGUAACAUGAGAUCACAUAGAUUUUAGUUGUGUCAGCUCACUUCCGGUUAUGCCACUAUUGUCUUGUCAAAAUAGUCACGUUAUAUUUGAAAAAAUUAAAAAUAUAAAUGACGUUUUAUUUUUUUCACGCCCGUAAUUGUGUAAGUGUUCCAAAUUUUAAAUAUUUUAACUUAUUCAUAUUGAUUUCAACGUUAAUUUAUUUCUAUUUAAUUUUAAGUAAGAGUUUUAUCGAUCCUUAAAAUAAAAAAUUAGAAAUCAAAUUAUUACUGACAUCAUUUUCCCAAGUCAUAUUUCUCCACCUUUUGCCAGCAAAAUAAGAUCACAUAGACGGUUCAACGGAGAAAUUUUUUUUAGUAUGUCGAGAACAUGAUAGAGUACUUUAAGUGUCAUAAAUUUCGGUGUAACAAAAUGUGUUAGCGGCACACUAAAAAAUCUCUGGUCCACCACCCAUCCAUGAAAAUGACGUCGCCCAAAGUCACACAUGGGUGUUGUCUGUCCCUUCCAACUGAAAAAAAAAAAGCCAGAAAAGAUAGUUCGAAAGCCGAUGGACUUCUCGGUGUCUGUUCGGCCCAACAACAUUUAAUGUCCCAAAACAAUAGUAAUUACGAGUGACAGAAACACAAACAGUAGGCAGUUUCGUUUCUUUUUCCAAGGUGGUUUUUUGGAUGUUUGAUCAUUUUCCUGUUGUAAGAACUUGGAAUUCUGUGAGCUGAAGCGGUAUGUCUGGUUGCAGCUGAGGAGUGAGCGGUCAAAGGAGGAUGGAGAAGGUGGUGGAAGAAGGGGAGAGGAAGAGGAAAGCUCAGGAGGAGGUUGGGAAUGGUGGAAAUGGCGGGGGAGCUGAAGGGGGUGAACAGAGGCAGAAGAGAAUUAGGCAGGAAAGUGGUGAAAUUUUGGGAAAUGGGGAUCUGGGAAUUGCUGGGGAGGUGGCUGAAGGGUGGUUUGGCGGUGGAAACGGCGGAGGGCUGAGUGUUGGGGAUGAAAUUGCGCGCCUUUUUGGUGAAGUGAGUGGCGGCGGCCUUGGGAUUGAUGGUGAAGGUGUGAGCUUUUGGGGUGGUGGUGGUGGAGAUGUAUGUAAAUUUGGCGGUCAAGGUUUUGGAAUUGAAGAAUUUCGAGGUGGCUUCGGCGGAGCUGGUUCUGGAAAUGGAGGUAAGAUUUUGGGUUGCGAGAAUUUUGGAUUUGGGUUUGUUGGAAAUAAGGACCCCGUUGGCGGUUUGGGUCUUGACGGCGGCGGUGGAGGCAUUGGGUUUUGGGGUGGUGAGCAUUCUUGUGGCGGACUUGGCGGUGGUGUGGGAAAUCAAGUUGUUGGGUGUGAUCUAUAUGCUUGUGAAAAUGCCGGUGAGGGAAUUCAAGGCCUGUUUGGUGGUGGAGUCAGAGGCGGAGCCGCCGGGCUUUUAGGCGCUGAGAGUGGUUCGAUAUGGGGUGGUGAAAGAGAUCAGGGCUGUUUGAGUGGAAAUGCGUCUGGAAAUGGAGGUGGAAUGGUGGAGAGACGAGGUGAAUGUGGCGAAGAUAAACUUGGAAAAAAUGCUAAAGAAGAGGGGGUUGGGUCAAAAGGGAGGCGUGGGAGGCCGAAAGGAUCAAAGAACAAGAAGAAAGUUGUUGGUGCUGAAGAGGGUGUUGUGCAAUCGAGUGGAAUUGCUGGAGAAAAUGUGGGUGAAGGCGAGAUUGUGAGGCCAAAGAGCAGGCAAGGUCGACCGAAGGGGUCCAAGAACAAGAAAAAGAAUAACCUUGCAGAUGAUGAAAAUGAGGGUAUGCCUGGUGAAAAUGUGGGUGGAGAAGGGACUGUGAAGCCACAGAGUAGGCAAGCUCGACGAAAGGGUUUCAAAAUUAGAAAGAAGGCUAUUGUGAAUGAUAAAAUUGAGGCUUUGGCGCCAGUUGUGGGUGACGAAACUAAGGAAUUGAUUGCCAUAGCCACCACCAGCAAUGGAGUUGGGAAUGAGAUCGUUCAGCCAAAGAAAAAGGUUCGUCUACCAAGGGGUUCAAAGACCAAGAAAAAUCUUAUAGGAGAGGAAAAUUAUGGCAUGUCAAUAUUAGGGGCCGAGGGCAUUGACAUAUCUGCUCCGCCUAUCGGUUUGAAGAAAGAAAUGCUUGAUCUCAUGGGUGAACAAAGCGAGAAAAUGGAAGUUAAAGUGUGCAGUGGUUAUGAAGUUGGAGAUGGGAUUGUGCGGUUGAAGGCAAAGCGUGGUCGGCCUAAGGGUUCAAAGAAUAAGAAGAAAAAUGUUGGUAAUGAUAGUAAGAUUGAGGUUGUCUGUUCGACAGGGCUGGAGGAUGAGAUCAUUAUUGGAGAAGAAAUGGGGAGAUUGCCAAGUGGAGCCACUUCUGAGGAUGUUCUGAUGAAGAAGAAGCGUGGUCGGCCAAAGGGUUCAAAGACUAGGAAGAAAAAUAUUGUAGGUGAGCCAAUUCAGGAAAUGCCUGGUGAUAUAGUAGUUGGCAAUCACGGUAAUGGUGAAGAUGCUUCCGUGAAGGGUUUGGAGAAUGAGAUGCCUAUUCUUUUGGGUGAGAAAGAUAAGCGAAUGCCUGUGGAAGCCUCUGGUAAUAAUGGAGGAGGAAAUGUGGACUCCCAACAAAAAGAUAGGCAUGGUCGAUCGAAGGGUACAAAAACCAAGAGACUAAAUGCUGCUGUUAGAAAACACCGAAGGCAGGAAGGGGAAAACGUUGAAAAAGUUGAUGGUAGAGAUGAGAGAUCAGAGAAAAAGCGUGGCCGACCUAAGGGUUCAAAGAAAAAGAGACAAAUUCUUAUUGCUGAAGCUUGGAGUAAGAUUGCAGCACUGCAGCAUCAAAGUUCAACAUCAGUAUUGGAGGUAGAACAUCAGAAAGAAAAGGAUUUGAAGGAGGACUUUGGUUUUCCGGUGGAGCAAUUGAAAAACUCUCAUAUGGAAAAACAUUAUCAUAAGAGGCCUAGAGGGAGACCCCGGAAGAACUUUGCUUUCCCUGUGGAGCAAUUGAAAAACUCUGAUGAUAUAGAAAACAAUUGCCAUAAGAGGCCUAGAGGGAGACCCCGGAAGUUCAACAACCAGCAUCCGAUUACCAGUGAGUUUAACAGGGGAAAAUCUACUGAUAUGUCGGUGAGUUGUCCUACAUUCAAUAUUUCCUAACUUGAUUAAUUAUCUGAACAAGCUUAUCAGCAUGUUUACUCAUUUGAACAAGCCACUUCUCUUUGUACAAACAUCCUAUGUGUCUUUUCCCUACAUAUAGAAUAUAUAUCUCUACAAGUAAUAAUUCAAAUAGUCUAUUGCAAUGCAUUCUAACAGUUUUUUUUUCAUUUAGGAUGAUAAAAAGGAGAGUUUAAUGUGCCACCAGUGCUUGAAGAAUGGCAGAAAAGGUGUCGUCGUUUGUUUAAACUGCAGAAGGAAACGCUAUUGCUACGCAUGCCUUGCAAAGUGGUAAUUCCAAUUCAAUGAUCAUUUGGUUGUCGCAACGUAAACUUUUCUGUUAAUUGUCGAUUAAUAUGAAUGUUCUUUUAUAGCGCUGAUAUGAAUGAGUCUCAUCAAAUGUUUCUGAUGGUGUGCUCAUUUAAAUGAAUAGGUACCCAGACAAGACAAAACAGGACAUAGAGAUUGCAUGUCCAUAUUGUCGUGGUAACUGCAACUGCCGAAUAUGCCUCAAGGAGGAUUUAGUUGUGGUGGUGUGAGCCUUACCUUGAUUUUCUUCUUCUUUUCGUUUCUUCCUGCCCUAGGAAAGUAAUUUUUCCUUUUUAUACCAAACAAAGUACUUGUUUUACAGGCUGGGAAUGAAGAAACAAAUGCAAAUGUUAAGUUGCAAAAGUUGCUUUACUUGCUAUGCAAGACACUUCCUCUCCUUCGGCAUAUCCAACAGGAGCAGAAGUCUGAAUUAGAUGUGGAAUGCUGUUUGCAGGGUAUUGUAAUGUGAUUUUUUUUUUCUUUCUUUAAAUCUCAUUUUAUACGCUGGGUUGAUGGUUCAGAAAUGUUUUAAGGAUGGGUUUUCCCUACUUGUUUUUAUAGGUGUCCAGAUGACAGAGGAGGACCUCACGAGAUCCAUACUAGAGGAUGAUGAUCGAGUGUAUUGGUAUCAUCUCAUUCGCCCUUAUGAUUGAAGUUGAAAUACUGGUUAUCUAUGAAGUUACUUUUUCAGCAAUUUCAUAAGUGUAUAUUAAUAUAAUCGGUUAUGUUGAUAAAUAAAAUGGUUACUCUGUUACCAUCUUACUAGGUAGGUUUGGACUUGACUGAUCACAUAGUUUUCUGGGGGGUUACUUACCAAUAAGUACUGGUGUUCAUGAAUAUCCUACGAUUUGAGUCAAAUGUAUUUUAGUUUCAUUCAUAUGGUACAAGUUUGUGACCGUGAACAAAUUCUACAGUGACAAUUGCAACACAUCCAUUGUCAAUUUCCACAGAAGCUGCCCUAAUCCUGAUUGUUCUUACGACCUCUGUCUCACUUGUUGCUCGGAACUAAGGGAAGGAUGCCAGCCUGGAGGUGGUGAAGCAGAAUCAUCUUGUCGGCAGUCUUUUCAAAGAGUAUAUGGUAAAGGCACAGUCACAAAUGGCCAGAUUCCUGCUAAUGGGAAUGUAUCGCAGAGCGAAAUGGCUGUACCAUUAAAUGGGUGCACAACUGAUAUGUCAUCUGAUUUUCCUGAUUGGAUAGCGGAGGCUGAUGGUAGGAUUCCUUGUCCUCCGAAAGCACGGGGAGGUUGUGGUGCCCAGUUACUUGAACUGAGACGUAUCUUUGAAGCGAAUUGGGUUGAAAAACUAAUUUUGAGUUCCGAGUACCUCACUAUCAAUUAUCAGGCACCAGAUAUUGAUUUUUCUCGAGGAUGUUCUUUGUGCCAUUCUAUCAGUUCUGCUGGAGAUGGAGUAAAAGCUUCUGAAGUAAGGCAGGCGGCUUAUAGGGAGCACUCCCAUGAUAACUUUCUCUACUGCCCAAAUUCUGUUCAUCUGGGGGACAAUGAUAUUGAGCAUUUCCAGUUACACUGGACGAGAGGCGAACCUGUUGUAGUUAGGAAUGUACUAAAAAAGGCUGCUGGCCUGAGCUGGGAACCAAUGGUUAUGUGGAGGGCUUUUAUUGGGGCGAAAAAAGUAUUGAAAGAGGAGGCUGUCAGGGUCAAAGCCAUUGAUUGCCUUGAUUGGUGUGAGGUACGCGGUGAACUUUCAACAUGUUGAAUGCGAAUUUCAUCUCCCCUAUAUUUGUUUAACCGUCUUUCAAUUUGGCACUGCAGGUUGAGAUUAAUAUUUUUCAGUUCUUUAAGGGCUAUAUAGAGGGCCGUAAGUAUAGUACUGGGUGGCCAGAGAUGUUGAAGCUGAAGGAUUGGCCCGCAUCAAAUUCCUUUGACGAGUGUUUACCAAGGCAUUUUGCUGAAUGUAUUGCCAUGCUUCCAUUUUGUGACUAUACCCAUCCCAAAUCGGGUGUUCUAAAUCUUGCGACUAAGCUUCCUGUUGCCUUAAAGCCAGACUUGGGACCAAAGACGUACAUCGCUUAUGGAACAAUGGAGGAGCUUGGUAGAGGUGAUUCAGUAACAAAACUGCACUGUGACAUUUCUGAUGCGGUACACAAUUAAUCAAUUUUGGAUUUAUUCUUUAUUAGCUAUUGUUGCGUAUCGUUCUCAUUUUUCUAUGCAAUUCCACUGCUACUUCAACCGUUUUCACAAUUUCUGUUUAGGUUAAUGUGCUGACACACACAACGGAAGUAAAGAUUCCUCCACGACAGCGGAAAAUCAUCAACCAAUUACAGAAGCAAUAUGAAGCUGAAAAUGAAAUAAUUGAAAGGAAUUCAUGUAACGAAUAUCUUGAGCCUUCUAAUUUGACAGAAGACAUGAAGUUUGUCAAUGCCCUGGAGUCCAGUUCAAUUCCAACUAGAAAUGCUCGAAGUAAUGAUACUUCAGAGGUUGUAUAUGGAGGUGCUGUGUGGGACAUUUUCCGUCGCCAAGAUGUACCCAAGUUAAAAGAGUACCUACAGAAGCAUCACAAAGAAUUCUACCACAUCAGUAAUUCCCCCGUGAAUUCUGUACGUAUCAUGGCUUAUCCCAUUUGCAAAUAUUACUUUGAAUUAAGUCGUUUCUAAGUUGAUGUGCUGCACUUGAAUUUGCUUCAGGUUAUUCAUCCUAUUCACGACCAGACUCUUUAUCUUAAUGAGAAGCAUAAAAAGAAGUUGAAGGAAGAGUUUGGUAAGGAGUUGCGUGCAUUUAGGUAGUCAUUCUUGUUAACCGAGUAAUUCUUGCUUGACGAGUUAUUAACCAUGAAUGUGAAUUACUUUCAGAUGUUGAGCCUUGGACAUUUGAGCAACACCUCGGCGAGGCUGUUUUCAUUCCUGCUGGAUGCCCACAUCAAGUGAGAAAUAGGAAGGUGAGAUUUCCUCCCAUUGAUAUGCCAAUUUAUCACGACUUACUUUCUUUAGCAGCGCUAGAUUAUCAGUAUUCGUGUAAUGUAUCAAGUUUGACACUGUCUUCAUUUUCUCUUCUCUCAGUCAUGCAUUAAAGUGGCCCUCGAUUUUGUUUCCCCCGAAAAUAUUCAAGAAUGCAUCCGACUAACAGAGGAGUUUCGCUUGCUUCCGGAAAAGCAUAGAUCCAAGGAAGAUAAAUUGGAGGUAGUGUUAAUUUGGAUUGGUCCUGGAGCUCAUCGUUAGGUGGUUUUGCAUCCCGAAUAAUCUGAUCAUAAUAGGUUGAACUAUUAGUUUUGCAUGCAGGCAGCACUACGAUUAUAUGAUUUUCGUAUCUAUAUUUCUAUACGUUAGCAAAGAAUUAUACCUGCACAGCGAAAAUGCUACGGGCUUAAUCUUAUAUUGUCUCCGUAGAAUGUAUACGAUACAAUGCCAGAAUGCGGCAUGCCUGGAGUUGUCUCUUGCGCUUAACGAUUUUGCUGUUUUCAGGUGAAGAAGAUGGCGCUAUUCGCGGCGAGCGAUGCUAUAAAUGAAGCCAAAAAUCUGAUGUCAAAAAAUGAGUGAGUGAUCUUUCUCUGAAGCUCAUCAUCCAAUGCCGAAAAAUAACAGUCUCAUGAUGAAAGUUCUUGUUUUCUGUUCACGGAUUCUGAUUGUUUUCGGGGACCCUGCAGUUCAUUAAACGGAGCGUGGGAGCUUAGGAGGAGCAGCCAUUCCGAUUGAAAGUGCCGGUCGGAGAUAUCGGUUUAACCCUGCAGUUCAUUAAACGGAGCGUGGGAGCUUAGGAGGAGCAGCCAUUCCGAUUGAAAGUGCCGGUCGGAGAUGUCGGUUUAACGUUGUAGAGUUGAGGAUUAUGAAAGCUUUGCUCGUAGAGAAGUGAUCUUUCGCCUUCAUAGCUUGCAUUGUGACUAUUUCAUGUAAAGAUGUAAAUGAUAAUGUUUAGAUUUCUUCGUAAAUAAGCCCCUUUUUUCAAAAAAGGGGAGUAGCUCGCGUCACGGCAGUCCACCCUUCUUUCGUAAAUAAGCCCCUAUUUUGAUGUGUUCAUUUGUCACUUUCUUGAUAAUUCACAAGUUUAGGCAAUCUUGAAGAGGGUUAAAGGUCUAAAAGCUAAAAAAUCGUCUGCGUUAUCCAAAAAUUCCUCUCUAAUUGGUGGCUGGUUAAAAGCCUAUAAUUAUUAUUUGUCUAAAGGGCGUCGUUUGGUCAAAUGUAGCCUCUCCUUGGCCUUUUUGGAGUCCAGUUGAAUGAUUGAAUGAUUAGGUUUGAAAACGUCCAAUGGUACGUUAAUUAAAUUAAUUAAUAAAUUUAAAGUUAAAAUUAAUAAAUUAUUGUUGGAGCUACGUUCAACCCUUCGGUUGAAGAUAGUAUAUGAGUAUGGGUUGAUGUUGUUCAUUUCUAAAUAGUUUCUUGGAAAAUGAGUAAAAGAGUUGUUCUAUGAUUUUUUAUGGCAGUGACAUAAAGUAAUCAUGCUUAUGCAUUAUAGUAGAAAUUCGAUUUUUAUUGAUUUUCUUUCCCCUAACAAUUAACUAUUUAAUCCAGUAAAAAAAAAAAAAGAUGAGUACUGACUACUGAGUUGCUCUAAGUUCGGACUCAUCUCAAAACACAUAAGAUUAAAUAGCGAUAUAAUUUUGAUCAAGUUAAAUGACAUUUUUAUCCUUGCAGAUGUCUUCAAACGAGACGUGGUGAAAUAGAAAAUCGAUCAAACCUCAAGCCCUGUUAUGUAAAUUCAUAUAUUUCCAUUGUCUUUCUUGCAAGUUAAUGCAACAAUCGAGCUCAAAUAUCUCUGCUUUCCUUUGUACUCUUCUUCCGAAUUUCAAUUUUCAACUCCACCAUCAAAAUUCCAGCACCAUACACACACUUCCCAAAAUCUUAGAUAAACCCAGUUGAAUUCAACCCCAAAUUUCCCAAACCCCUCACCAAGUUUUCAUUUUUCACCCAAAAAUCCAUGUUUCGAUCCUAAUUUUCCCUCGUUUUCCUUCAUUUUCCCGGAAAAUUCCUCACGCCCCCAAUGGCCGCGGCGCUCAGAUCCAAGCCCUCCAGAGACACGGCGUCGUCCGCCGUCUCACAAUUCAGGUACUUUGUCUUCAACUACAUGCACGCCGGCAGGGUGGCCAGCUCUCACCAUGCCCACCGCACCAAAAGCGACGACUUGUUCAUGAACACUCCCUACCACUUCACUUCCUUCAAGCCGGUGUUGCCCGGCGGCAACUUUGUUGAAAAGGGUUCGCAGAUUUUCAAUCACCCGCGAGCUUCCCAGAGAGUUAGCAAGAAUAGUGAUAAGAAUUGGGGACGGAAAUUGAGCAGCAGCAGGUGUAACACUGUUGUGUCGUCUCAGGGGGACCCGCCGGAGGUGUGGUCCGGUGAUGGAAUUGUGGUUCGGACUGCUCCCGGCUCGAAUUUGGUUCGUGGAGGAGGCGGUGGAGGCGGUCCGAGCCCUGGUUCCGGAGGUGGUUUCGAUUCGAAUUCGAAGGAUGAGAAUUGGGGUGGUUCCAAUUUGGGGAAUAAUUUUCCUACUCCGAAGGAAAUUUGUCAGGGGCUUGACACGUUUGUAAUUGGGCAAGAGAAGGCCAAGAAGGUGAGUUUUUGCUUUGGUUUUUUUGUUUGCCUUUUGGAGUUCCAUAUAGGAGAAGUUUAUGUUUCUGCAAUUCUUAUAAAAUUUAUAUAUAUUUUAUGCAGGUGCUAUCUGUUGCUGUUUACAAUCACUAUAAGAGGAUAUAUCAUGAGUCCCUGCAGAAGUGGUCAGCUCCAUAUCCAUAUACAUAUCUUGUUUGAGUCUAUGUUUUAUGUGAAGAAGAAUCAUUUCGAGGCUCGCGUCGUAGAUUGAAGGCAUUUGUACUAAUUAUAUCUCAUAGCUUUAACUAUAAGUUAUGAAAAGUGAAAUUCAGUUUAGUUUUGGUGUCUACUCAAAACCCGACUGGAUUGACUGAAGCUAACUCCUACCUUCUAAAAUGCUGCUUCUUGGGAAAUUAGGUCCACAGGAGAUUCAAGUAACGGGAAAGUAGAUGCAAUGGAUGACGAUAGAGUGGAGCUUGAAAAAAGUAACAUUCUUUUAAUGGGGCCAACAGGCUCAGGUAAUUUAGAAUUAUCCUUGAAAACUUCGAAGUACAUUUUCAUUAUGUGUUAAACUGUUCAAUUGCUGCUUGGAUUUGACGGGCGUCUUAGUGUCAUGGAUGUUGCAUGUAUUUGCAUUAUAGCUGGAAAUUUGUGUCUUUAAUGCUUUCUUGUUUGGAUGUCUUUUAAUGGUUUGCUACUGAAGUCUUCAUUAGUAUGUUGCUUUGGUUACUGGUCUCAUUUGUUCUCUUUGAUGCUCUUUCAAGGACAGGGAAGACACUACUCGCCAAAACCUUGGCACGGUUUGUGAAUGUUCCAUUUGUUAUUGCAGAUGCGACAACAUUAACUCAGGUAAGUUUUGUUAUUCUUCGUUGUUGUUUUGUAAUUGGAGUCCAUUUGUAAUAGAAAGUGGUUUUUCCUUUACCAUUAAAUUUGGAGUCACUAUGCUCUAGGCAAGGAUCAACCUUGGAUGUUUUUUUAAAACACUGGCCAUCAUGGUCCCCAGAAUAUUCAUCGUACAUGCAUGGUUUAUUAUUUAGGUUAUUUUCCAAAUUUCUAUUGCUAUGUAAUGAGAACUGUAAGAGAUUAAUAUGGAUUGCAAUGGCAUUGUUCUUGUCAUUGUGGUAGUCAUGACACAAUGUUUACUUGCAGGCAGGAUAUGUAGGGGAAGAUGUGGAAUCAAUUUUAUACAAACUCCUUACGGUAAAUUUUCUUGAACAUAUUUUAUUUUUGUCCGUCUGAAUUCGUGUGUUGAUAGUCGAUGCUCAAUAGCAAGGGCUCCCUUUGGUGCUACAUGUGCAUCGCAUUGUUAAUUGUUUUCUGCUUCUUGUGAUUAAUUUUGGAAUUGGCAACAAGAAUCCUAUUAUUGAAACAUCUUUUAUGCUUAUGGUUUCAUUCUUAUCUUAUAUUUAAGUCUAUAAGAAGAGCAAACCUGUUUUAAUUGCUUUAUGCCAUAAUUCUGCGGGGAAAUUUGAAAGUUGUAUUUUUGCCAUAAACCUUUGUUAUCAUUACUUACCGAGUUCCCACUUAUCGUGAAAAUUUUCUUGAAACGUGCACUUAUAUGCUUAUAGUGCUUAGUAAUCCCAAGUUCAUCUAUGUGCUUCUGUAUUCAAUGCCAGGUUGCCGAUUAUAAUGUAACAGCUGCACAGCAGGGAAUUGUUUAUAUUGAUGAAGUUGACAAGAUUACCAAAAAGGUGUGUUUUUAUGUUCAUCUUUCUCUCUUUGUGGAAGAAGCUUUCAACUCUUUUAUGUGUACCGACCUCUGCUUCUAUUUUGCAGGCUGAGAGCCUAAAUAUUAGUAGGGAUGUAUCUGGAGAGGGUGUUCAACAGGCUUUACUUAAGAUGCUGGAAGGGACCGUAAGUGCACAUUUUACAUACUUUGUUAGUACUAAUGCUAGCGGGCAUUGUGGAGAUGGCAUGUUGGUUAAGGCUGUGUCAAGGGCCUCAAGGCCCAUGUCAGGAUAUUCUUGUACGCUGUCAUAGAUGUCUCAUUUAUGACUUGGAUUCAUAUCAACGAUUUUAACCUAUAUGGGUUUAAUUCGUUGUAUUCUGAUCUGUGGAUUUCUUAUGAUCUAGGUUGUCAAUGUUCCUGAGAAGGGAGCUCGAAAGCACCCUAGAGGUGAAAACAUUCAGGUAUAUCGGUAGCUGAAGAUAUAUGUCGAGUUAUCUACACAUUAUAUUAAACUGCAUUAUCUUAUGGAUACAAUUACAUAUUGAUCAUAAUCAUAAAAUAAGCCUAUUCUUCUAUUCUUUAUGAUUUAACUAGUGCUCAGCCUAGAAAAUAUCUUGGUGUAUUAUGGUUGACUGAUUUUCGGUUGGGUAGAUCAUUGAAAAUCAGUUUGUAAUUUUACUCUUUUUCCCCCAUGUUUCUUCGCAGAUUGACACAAAGGAUAUUCUCUUCAUAUGUGGGGGUGCCUUUAUUGACUUAGAGAAGACAAUCUCAGAAAGGUACUUCUAUACCCCAACACUGAAAUUAUAUAAUCUUCUGGUUUUGUCCCUCUCUCUCUCUCUCUCUCUCUCUCUCUCUCUCUCUAAUGUACUUCUUCGGCUUUUUCUGGUCCUACAGACGCCAAGAUUCCUCUAUUGGGUUUGGUGCCCCUGUUAGGGCAAAUAUGAGGACCGGCGGGGUUACAGAUGCUGCUGUUACAUCAUCCUUAUUGGAGAUUGUAAGUUCCCAUCAGUUUUGAAUCAACAAGUAGCAGUUUAUAUAACCUUCCUUCUAUUUUUAUCUCUUCUUUAGAAAUUUAUAAAUAUGUGAGAACUGGUUUUGUUGUCAGGUUGAAAGUAGUGAUCUUAUACGAUAUGGGUUGAUACCAGAAUUUGUUGGCCGGUUUCCCAUCCUUGUCAGCUUGUCAGCACUAACCGAAAAUCAAUUGGUUGAGGUAAUACAUUGCAUUCUUUUUGUUUCUGUAGAAACAGCUCAGGCAUCUAUGUCAUUUACUCGACCAUUUUUAAUCUCAGAAAGUCUUUAUGGAUUGAUGGCUAAUUAUUCAUUACUAAGCUUUUGAAUAAGUCCUUACUGAUCCGUCCAGUAAUUUGAAAUUUUUUUUCCCCUUUGAGAGGAAAUAUGUUAAUUUUAAUCAACAUGGUGGUCUACUUAUUCUUGUCGUGCUCAAAGCUUUUACAAGUAUUGUUUUUCUUGUUUGGAUUUUUUUUUUAACGUUAUUUGUUAAAUGUACUGUCCCAUGCGUUUCUUACCAGCAAAUAUGUUUUGUAGGUCUUGACAGAACCAAAAAAUGCCCUCGGGAAGCAAUACAAGAAGAUGUUCCGAAUGAAUGGAGUAAGUAAUUCUUAUCCAUCAACGUGCUGGUUUUGUGCACUUCUAUUGAAAUCUUUGCUUGUUAUGUCCUACUUACAUAGUCCGUUGUUGCAAUUCUCUCACUUCCAUGGUUCGAGACACAAUUGGUUUUUAGCUAAAUCGUUUAUGCUUCACUUCUCUCAGGUCAAACUGCAUUUCACAGAAAGUGCCUUGAGAUUAAUUGCUAGAAAGGCAAUAUCAAAAAACACCGGGGCUCGUGGCCUACGAGCAAUUUUAGAAAAUAUAUUGAUGGAUGCCAUGUAUGAGGUACUCCCACUUCUCCUUGAAUCUUUUGCAUCUUUGCGAGUCAUCUGAUAUGUCAGAGAUGAUUUAAUUCUCUAGGUAUCUUUUGCAGAUUCCUGAAGUUAGAACAGGCGAUGACAUAAUAGACGCAGUUGUAAUUGAUGAAGAAGCCGUUGGAUUGGACGGCAAGGGUUGUGGAGCUAAAAUCCUUUAUGGCAAGGGUGCAUUGGAUCGCUAUCAUUCGCAGAAUAAGGCGAAGGAUGCAGAGGUGCGUAUUUCUCGUAUUCGUCAAUAACAUCCUGCUUUCAGUUUACCACCCUCAUGUUUUUAUCUGCUGACGCCGUAUUCUCGUCUAGCAGAUUGCAACCACGGAGGGUUCCGAUGGAGAGCCGGAGGCGGAAACAGAGCUUUCUUCCGUUGUUGCUAGCAUGUAAACUUGGCUUUUGUUGGACCUUAUUUGUGUCCCCAAAUCCCAAUCUUGUACAUAAUAAACAUUAAUUUAAUAAAUCAGAUAAGCGUAAUGUAUAAUUUUUUUUAAUGAUACAAAGCAUUAUGUAGCCGAUCCCACUUAGCGGGAUAAGGCUUGGUUGUUGUUGUUGUUGUUUUGAUACAACACGUUGUAUAUUUCUCACAAGGGUUUUGGUUCAGCCCUGUUCAGCAGCAGGAUGCUUUGCUUCUCGGUAGAAAUUUGUGAGCUUGACUUUCUGCUUUACCCAGAACCUUGGAAAUAUACAAAUAACUUUUAAUCAGAAAUAGAACUUGAGGAUGCUAAACAGACAAUGAUAAAAAAAUUAUGUUAUUUUCGGAUUUAAAUUAGAGGAGUGAUAGGAAUCUUUUUGUUCUAUAUUUAGAUUAUUUUUCACAUAAUUGGUUUUGAAAGAUCAAUAUCGAGAGACUCAUCCACCGAAGACUUUAUCGCACCUUUAGAUCUCCAUCUCUUGAGUCGAGUUCAAUCUUUGGCGGGUAUUGUUUUCUUUUUGGGUAAGUGGGAUCCAAAAGGAUCGCCAACGAGGAACUUUUAUUAAAACAAACACACACUUACAAACCAAACAAAGGUCCAAAUUAUUCCUAGAAACAAACAAAGAACGGACUUAAAAACAAAGAAAACAAAGAAAACACAGAAAAAGAGCCCAACAAUAGUGAAGCCUAAACAAAAACGAACUGCCAAGAACCACCCACUGUGUUCUCCACCGCCGAUCCGAGAAUCAGCCAGCCGUCCGAUCUACCUUCCACCAUAGAUCAUCACCUCCACAGGCACCACUUGCACAUAGCCAUCAACAAGAGAUAGUUGGCGAGAGAGAAGCCAACCAUCGGAAAAAAGCUCUGGGAAAUUCCCGAGCAACACUGCCGGAAACGGUGGACAACAAGGAGACCGUGGUGGUGUGGGAGACACCCGAGUCGGAUACAACACCGGAACUCUACACACGAACUCAACAUAAAACAUGGAAAAACGAAGCAAGGAAGCAGGGCCGCCUCAGGCUCAGUGAGGGCAGGGCGACUGUCCGGGGCCUAAAAAAGUUGGGGGCACCAAAAUUAUUAGGGUGAUAUAUUUAUAUAUGUUUUUAUAAGAGUAUAAAAUUAUAAAAUUUGGUUUAGUGACUAAGAAAUUUAACCAAAAUGGGUGGUUUUGUUGUUUAAAAUUAAUGAAAUGAGAAGGUAUUAGGUUCAAAACACCAUGGGUGCUUAUUUACAUUCCAAUUUUUACAAAUUUCUUUUCAUAAUUGUAUAAAUUUAUAAAAUUUGGCUAAAUGAUCAAGAAGUUUAAUUAGAAGCAAUGAUUUUUGUUGUUUAAAAUUAAUGAGAGGUCAUAAGUUCGAAAUGCUAUGUGCAUGUCUAUUUUUUUCAAUUUUUACAAAUUUUUGUUUGGUUGUUAAUUUAUUUACUAGCUCGUAGUUAUAUGAGUUGCUAUUUUUAAACAUCUGUUCCAAUUCAAGUCUAAUCUUCAACAAAGAAUAACGUGUAGACUAAAUUUUUUGACCAAAUUUGCAAAUAAUAUUACAUGUCAUCAAAAGGUUUAACUUAGUGGUCAUUCAUUACUUAUACAUAUCCUUAAGGACUCGAAAACAUUAUUAUUUUUUUAGUCUUAUAUUGACGAGAUUAGUAAAUAAGAAAAAAUACCUCAAGAUUUAUAUAAAAACACUUUAAAAGUUCAGAUGGAAAACGAAACUCAUAAUCUAUCUACUUGUAGGCUCGAAGUUUCUUGGUUUCCCUCUCUCGAUACAAAAUAAAUUAGUUAUUAUGUGUUUCUAAAUUAUUGAGUUUGAAGUGCUUUUUCUAAAUAUAAUUUUAUCGAUGUCUUACGUGUGAAAACAAAUAAUUUUUUUAUAUGAAGUGAGGGCCAUGAAAAUAAUAAUCUCUGGACCGGCCUUGCAAGGAAGGGCCAUGAAAAGGGAUACCCACCGGGGUUGAGGAAUUGGAAAGGCCAGAGAGGAAAAUUAGAAGAACCAUAAGCAAAUGGAAGGGGAGAAGAAAGAAAAAACAAAAACCAAAAACCACCCACCGAUCCCACCUGCAGCUAGGAUCGGCGGUACCAAACAAAAACACGAUUGGGAAAUCACUCACACCAUAUGGUGAGAAGCACCCUCAAACAAAGGGAAGGACUCUCACAAGGAGAGAAAAGAGGAAAGUAUUCUUACUUCACUUUUCUUUGGCAGGUACUGUUUGGUCUGGAGUGCGGUGCAUCUUUUUCGAUAAUGAAUCCAUGUUUGAAGAUAAGUGGAACGAUAAUCUAGUCUAAAAAAGAAAACGCCUAGAACUAGAAAAUAAGCGAUUUGGAUCGUUAUACAACAUCAAUAAGAAUCAGAAAAAAUUGGAAAAGAAAAAAAAUUCCACGUUUUACGUGUGUGGUAUAAAGCGUAGAACCAAACCGGUAAUGACGUAUGUGCGGCACUACGACAUUCUCUAAUCAAAUCGUAAACGAAUUGUCCUGAAACUUUUUGGCUUAGGACAAUAAAGCGGAUUAAAUAAUUAACUCAAUCCACAAUAGCCGUCCGAUUUCAAUCCCACUCUCAAUUACUUUUCGAAUCAACGGCCACCCUUGUCCCUCUCUUUUUCUCUCUCCUCACUCAGACGAAGAGAGAGAGAGAGGGAGCGGAGAAGGAAAGAAAGAACCUUUUUUUCACAGAAGAGGGGGUUGGAAUCCCAUCAAUCCAUCUUCCCCCUCCUUCGCUCCCUCCUUUUUCUUCCACUCUCUGAAAAUUUCCCGGAAAAUAAUAGGGAAGAAGGAAGGUCCGAGAGAAACCCAGCAGCUCCGAGCAAUCGGUCCUUCGAUUUAUGGGUUCGCUUCGGGAUUUUGAUUAGUGGGUUUUGGAUAAGUUUCCAUUUUUUCAAUUGGGUUUGGUGAAAACUUCGAUCUUUUGGGGGUGUUCGAGGGGAAGAGCGAUGGACUUGGAAAGCAUCGAGUGUGUGUCGUCCUCAGAUGGACUCGAUGAGGACGAGAUCCAUCCCCACCACAACACUCUGCACCCGCAUCCUCAUCCUCAUCAGCACCACCAUGAAUUUUCCAAGCCCAGAAGCAAUGUCACCACCAACGCCACCAUCAACGGGCCCACCGCCAUUGCUCCCGCCACCAGCGUCCACGAGCUGCUCGAAUGCCCCGUCUGCACCAAUUCCAUGUACCCGCCAAUCCAUCAGGUCAUUUUUCUCUCUAUUUUUCCUGCAUUUGGUUUUAAUUUUAUUGAAUUGGGGUUUUGUUUGGGUAUUGGUAAUUUUGUUGCUUGCAUUUCUGUUUAUUGAGUGCAAAUGGAAACUUGGGCUUUUGAAUGAAUUGAUUAAUUUGAUGUAUUUGUGGUUUUCUUCUGUUGGAAAUUGGUCUUUUUGAUUCGAUUUGUGGAACUAGGCUUUGGGUCGAGUUUGGCUUUAGGAUUUUGGAUAGAUGAUAUAUGGUUCUACUGAAAGCCGACUGGGGUUUGAUUGUAUGAACGAGCGAUGAUAACUAGAUUACGGAUCUUUUGGGUCCGCGGAUGAUUCAGAUAGAUGAUCCAGGUAGAUGAUCCAGGUGCUGCUGAUUUAGUAUUUGGAGUCAUGGAAUGUUCUUACUAAGAAUGUAAAAGUUAGUCAACUUUGUCAAAUACAAGCUCCUGACUCUGCAAGAAGGGUGUGUUCCGGGCACCAUUGAAACUUUCAAUCACUUCUGGUUGUAGUUUCAAUCACUUCUGGUUGUAGUUUCAAUCACUUCUGGUUGUUCUUGUGAAAACUAUAGUACAUUAACUGUUGUUGCGGUCCAAUGAAACACGGGUUCCUUACUGAGGAUGCACAAUUUACCAUUUUAAGUAGCUGGAACUUUUUUUCCCAAGACCUCCUUGGCAUGCAUAUGCUUAUUUCCGUUGGUCUGAACCGUAGUUUUGCAUUGACGUGAGUUUGGUGCGUCGUGCGGAAAGUUUUCUUGUUAUUGAAAGAUGGAUACUGUAUUGAUUUCUCUAAUAUCAUGAUGGUUAUUGUAAUUCUGAUGAACUGAUCUCCUUUUCUGAUAUAAAAUUUGCUUAUCUGCAGUGCCACAAUGGCCACACACUCUGUUCCACUUGUAAAUCGAGGGUACACAAUCGCUGCCCCACUUGUAGACAGGAGCUUGGAGAUAUUAGGUGUUUAGCGCUGGAGAAGGUGGCCGAGUCACUUGAGUUACCCUGCAAGUAUUACGCCUUGGGAUGCCCAGAGAUAUUCCCGUACUACAGCAAACUAAAGCAUGAAUCGGUGUGCAACUUCAGACCGUACAAUUGCCCUUAUGCUGGAUCGGAGUGCUCUGUUGUUGGAGACAUCCCUUUCCUGGUUGCCCAUCUAAGGGAUGAUCACAAGGUGGACAUGCACACAGGAUGCACAUUCAACCAUCGUUAUGUGAAGUCAAAUCCGCGGGAAGUAGAGAACGCCACAUGGAUGCUAACAGUAAGUGGCAUGGAAUUUAACUAUAAUGCAAAUUUCUGUGGUUUGUCUAUUGUUUGUCCCUCUAACGCCUUUGGCGAUGAUUACUGCUCUAUCGAGAAUGGAACAAUCAAGUUAAAUUUGCUCCUAAUGUUAAGGGUUGCAUGCAGUUGAUCGCGUUUUCUGUUUUCUGUAAGUAGCAUGUUAGAGGAUGUGGUUAAAUCAACCGUGUUCCAUCCCGCCAAUCGGGACUGCCUGCAAGCUAGGCUUCAUUCUCAAUGUGCUUAUACCUGAAUUGUCUGCUUUUCCUGUCAGGUCUUCCAUUGUUUUGGUCAAUACUUCUGCCUACAUUUUGAAGCCUUCCAGCUCGGCAUGGCUCCUGUUUAUAUGGCAUUCCUACGUUUUAUGGGCGACGAGAAUGAGGCCCGGAAUUACAGCUACAGCUUAGAGGUUGGAGCGAAUGGCAGGAAACUCAUAUGGGAGGGGACACCACGAAGUGUCCGUGAUAGCCACCGGAAGGUCAGGGAUAGCCACGAUGGUCUCAUUAUCCAACGAAACAUGGCUCUGUUCUUCUCCGGAGGCGACAGGAAGGAGCUGAAGCUGAGAGUUACCGGGAGGAUAUGGAAGGAACAGCAAAAUCAAGAUUCUGGGGUGUGCAUACCAAACCUGUGUAGCUAAGACAAAUGAUUUUGAAAACUUUAAUGUUUGUUACUUGAGACACUGUCGUGUGUUGUUGUACCUGUGCCAGCUUCUUCCUGGUACGUUGUAACGAACCCGGUUUCUUGAGUUUGGGAAGUUUUCAGCUUUAAUAAAAUUGUAUAAUACGCAGGCGUUUUCUUCAUUUUCAAUUUGCUUGGUAACAAUACAACUAGCAUGCUUUUGAAUCAAGACAAUUCCAAUAAGCCUCAAUGCCAUAAACCCACUAAUUCCAACUGAGAAAAACGAUCUAUCACAAAUUUUCACCAGUUACCCAAAUUCAAACCGAUACCUGCUCAGUUGCGCCGUCACUUUUGGACUCUAUCUCAGCUGAGCCUUGGCCUUCUUCUCCGCUACGUUCCUCCUGACCAGUCUGUGCAGCUUCACUCGCUGAGGCAGCUUCACUCGCUGAGGCAGCUUCACUUGCAUUUUCAGUGGCCUCUGUAGAGCCUGCCUCAGGUUCUUUAUUCCCGAACAACUUGGAUGGAAGUAAGGAGGAGACAGCAGCUCUUGCACUUCUCUUUGCCGCUUCUGCUGCCUCGAGCUCCUUAGCCUUAACUUCAGCCUUCUGCCUUUCUUUCUCCUCCAUAAGCUUCCCCACUUCGUCCUCUCUCCCAUCCUUUCUCAGCAACCCUUUAACAAACUCCUGCACCUCCUCAUCGAAUUCAACCCCAUCGUCAUCCAGCAUUGUAUCUACCACAUUAAGCACCUCAUCGAGUUUACCAGCAUCACUCAACGUCUUCAUUAUAAACUGAUAGCUUGGAAUGUCCAUCUUGAGCUUCUUCACCAUCAAAUCGAAAAACGAUUUAGCCUCGUCAAUUUUUCCUACCUUAACCAAUCCAUCAGCCAACUUAUUAUAAACCGCCAAAUUCGGCCUCAGCUUGGCAUCAACCAUUUUUCUGAAGUACUCAGCUGCAUCAGCGGGCCUAUUCUCCUCGAAACAAGUAUCCAUCAACAAAACGUAUGUAAACUCAUCUGGAUUCACUCCCUUGUCGGGCAUUUCUCCAUAAAGCUCUUCAGCUUCACUCAGCAUCCCAUUCUUGCACAAUUGGUCAAUCAAAUUAUUGAAUGACAAUGCGUCCGGACUACACCUAUAGUCUCCCAUCUUCCUGAAAACCUCAAUGGCAUCCUUAAACCUCCCCUCUGCGCAAUACCCGUUCGCCAUCACAUUGAAGCUUCCCAAAUUCACAGCCAAACGCUUCGGCGGGUUAUGCUCCUGGAUCAUCCUAUCAAACAAUCUCAAUGCCUCGUCAAACUUGCCAUUCUUGCUCAAGGCAUCCAAAACAGAAUUAUAAGCCACGGCGCUCAUCUUCACCUUGGAACUCUCUCCCACAGCCUCCUCAUAACAAUCCAUGGCCUCCUUCUCCAUCUCCCUCAUGAAAUACCCCUUCAUCAAGCUCCCAUACACAACCCCAUCUUCCACAGCCCCUCCCAACUUCUCCUUCAACUCCUCAUAAAGCUUGAAAACCCCAUCCGAAUCCGAAUUCUUCACACAUCCCUGCAUCAAGUAAUGGUAAACAACCGGGUCCGGCACGAAACCCUUGACAUCAAUUUCCUCCUUGAGCUCCAUAGCCCUGUCCAAUUUAUUGUUAUCCACCAACCCUUUGAUCAAAAUCCGAUAAGUGGUGGGGGAAGGGUUGAAGGGGGCGUCAUUGAUCAGCUGCUUGUAGUGUUCCAUGGCGGUAUCGGGCUUGCGACAAUCCAUAUAAGUCUGGAAGAUGAGAUUGUGAGUGAUGAUAUUGGGGGCAACGCCGGCCUGAGUGAUGAAACGGUGGAGGGUGAGGAGGUCGGAGUACUUGGACUGACGGAGCUGAGCAGUGAGCACGGCGUUGACGGUGAAAAUGGUGGGUCGGCAGUUGGAGUAGAUGGAGUGGCGGGUGUAGAGAGCAGCCUCCUCGAGAUCAUUCUGGCGGACGAGGGUGAGAAUGCGGUUGUGGAGGUUGAGGCGGUUGCCGGAGAGGGCCGAAACGGGUUCAGGGAGCUUGGGGGCGUUAGGGUUUAUUUGGGGUUUUGGGGACUGUUGCUGUUGUUGCUGCUGGUUGCGGUGGAGGGAGGAGAGAGGGGGUUCGAGGCGGAGGCGGCGCUUGCGCUGGCGUCGUUCGGCGGCGGCUUCUUCGGGGGUGGCGAAGGAGAGAAAACGGAGGGAGAUGAAAGAGGGUGGCGCUAAACGGCGGCGAAUUGGGGGCUUUGCUAGGGUUUUGAGGUGGGUAAGGAAGGUGGGUUUGGAGAGAGCCAUUGAUUUGGUUCAGAGUUUCAGAGAUUUGGGGUUCUGAGGGGGUUUAGAAAACCUGAAAUGGAACAAAGGGAUUUCACUGAAUUUUGAUCAACUCGAUUUUGUGGUAAAAAUUGGGCCUUCAACUUAGAGUUUGUCAUAGGCCCAUUAGGUUCUAUGCUCUCAUUUUUUAUCAGUAGGCCCAUUCAUUUAACCUCCACCGCUAAGAGAAGAGAUCCUCUCCGGAUCUCUUUCACCAAGGCCAUCGGAUCAAGUGAUCCAGGCCUUUGAAAUUUCAUCAAACGGUCAAAAAUCAUUAUAGCUUUUAAGGGGUCAAAACAGGUGGGCCGUUAGAUGAAAUUUUAAAGACCCGGAUCACUUGAUCCGAUGGCCUUGGUGGAAGAGAUCCGGAGAGGAUCUCUUCUCCACCGCUAACUAGUUAGUAAGUUUUUUGUCAAAUCAAAUACCAUGUCAAUACGACCUUAAUCAUUUUAUUUUUUUGAAUUACUCCAAUAAUUUGACCUAAUUUUAGGUCAGAACUGAAAGAUGAUAAUUGUAACAGGGUGACUGGAAGUGGAGGAUUAAUUAUAGAUUGGUAUGGUAACUAGAUCAUUGGUUUAUUGUUAAAAAAGAAGUUGGAGAAGUUUCCAUGCUAAGCUUUGGGUUUUGUUUUAUGGGUUGAGAUAGCUAAAGCUAGAAAUUUCUCUCAUCUUAUUAUGGAGGCUGAUUCUGCUUUGGUGGUCUUUCUCAUUCAUGGUUCUCCUAGCUGUAAUCAUCCUUUCUAUGGUCUUGUCUAAGAGUGCAGAAGUUUGAUCAAAGAGAACUAGAGUUGCAAUUUGCAGCAUAUGUUCAUAGAAAACGUAAUUUUGCAGCUAACGGGUUAGUCAAGUUGGGUUUAAAUAACGACAUGGAUUUCUGACGUACUUUUUGUUUUGUGACACACUAAUGAAAAUUUAAGUAAGGUACACAUUAAGAUUAGCUAUAUCGAGCCUAAUUUCAAUAUCAUUAUUAAGAGUACAACUUAAAUAAGCUUUUACUUUUUAGAUGGGUUUCGAUCCCUCCCCCCCCCCGAGCACACCCACCCCACCCCCAGGUUUUAGAUGGGUUUCGAUCCCCCCCCCCCCCCCCCACAACACACCCACCCCACCCCCAAGCUGCGUGGACAGAGCUACAUAAGGCCUAGGGAUGGCAUCCGCCCCCACUCAGAUUUUUGGGUGAGGAAAGCAAAAAUGUCAUGACAAUUAAAACAACAAUUAAAAUUUUGAUUUUGGUUCCAAAUAUUCCACGUUUUCUAACCUAAAUCAAACUCAGUUGAACUAGGGGUUUCAUAAAUACAUUGGAUUCAAUUGAUGAAGUAUCAUAAUUUAAUACAAAAAUUUUACUCCAAAGUAUUUUAUAUGAAUUUACUUCAUUCAUUUGUUUGUGGCAUUACAAUUUAGAAUUUAACUUUCUAAUUUAGAGAUUUUUUACUGUAUUUGGUCAUCAAUAACCUAAAACCCAUCAUUUUACUUGGUUGUUUUAAAACACCCCUAAUCAAAAAAAUUUCUAGCUUCGUCCUUGCCGGGCUGUAUAAAUUAUUACUUUCUAACCAACUUCUAUGGAAAUGGAAUGCCUAGCCAGCUAACGUGCACUCAAUUGUAACAUAUAUUUUAUUGGUCACAUCUCCUUCAACAAGACUUUGUCUGCGUUGCAAUAUUGUUAGUGGAGGUGACUUGAUCAAUGAAUGGCUUCACAAUAAAAUUAUCGGACACGCAACAUUAGCUAACACACUUUCUAAUAGAGUUGAGCUGUAUUAUUAUGCACGAGUUGAUAGGCUAAGCCCGCCAAAUCAAAUUUCAAAUAGUUCUCUCAUCACAUCCAGUCCAUUAUCACUUGAUGCUUCUACUCAGUUUGAAUCAUUCAAAGACCUUAGGGGUUUGAAUUUUUGAAUUUAUGAGCUAUUUUUUAAAGGAGUUUGAUCUUAUUUCAAACUCACUCUUGUAAACCAUAUAUAAGCGACGUGAGAUAUGCAGAAAGCUAAAUUUUCUAGCCAAACUACAAUCAAAGUUUCUUAUACAAGUAUCAAAAGUAAAAAAUGUAUUAACAAAUGCAUAUACUAUUAGUUUUUGAGUGUCCAAAUAACAUACCUAUAACUUAACGCAACUAUCACAAAUAUGGUAAGCGAAAGAGAUUUGCAUUUAUCAAAUGGAAAUUUCAUUAACAAUUUAAGCCGAAAUGGUUUAGGGCAGUGCUAUCCACAAACUCAUUUAUUAUCCACAGACUUCUCUUAAUUUCCGUCCAUUAGAUCGAAUGAAUUGAAGAACAUAAAAUGACAUAAGGUAUAUAGGAGGUAAAAAGAAGUAUGUGGAUAGCACCGUCCAAAAUUAAUACAUACUUCAAGAAGGGACUUGAUGAAUGAAAUAAAUUAAACGCAUGUGUUUAUACCAUACUUAGGGUCUCCGUAUUUAGAUCUCGUAUAAAUACUCGGGGGACUUAAAUGUAAUUAUGUAAUAAAGGAAAUAGCAAAUAUGUAAUAAGUGAGGAGCCCUUAUUCUAUAAAAUGGACUCCUCACUCUCACAAUAGGGGAGGCCAAUUCCUAAGCCUUCUCACCCCAGAGAGCCUCCUCACAUCCCCUAAACUCUAAGCUUUCUCAAAGCUCUCACUCUCAUAUUCAGAGCUCUAUCUUCCUCAGAAAUACAAUAUCAGUGUGGAUGUAGUCCAAACAUUGGGGUGAACCACGAUACAUCUUGUGUUAUUUACUUUCUUGCAGAUUCACAGUCGGAUUUACGUUGUUCCAAGACCCCUCCGGUUUGUGCAUCAACAUUUGGCGCCGUCUGUGGGAAUUGACACCAAAAAGCUAUGUCGGUUCUCUUUCAUUUUUUCAUCUCACCAUCGUGAGACCUCAUCACUGUCCACCUUGAAUCUACAAAAAACCCAAAAAACCUAAAAACCCAAAGCUUUCCCAGAAAACCCAACAGUUCAUUCUCUCUCUAACUUUAUCUCUCCACAUUCCACUUUCAGUCACUUACUCUCUCACGCCACCAACUCCAAACGCCCAUUCCUCUCUCCCCCUUCCAUCCCUCUCUCUCAUGCCCUAACUCAGCACCUAAUUCACCAGAUCUGAGCCCGACCACACCAGAUCGAACCUUAGAGUUUCUCUGAUAGAGGAAGCACUGGAGCUCGCGCGUGCCAAGGACACCAAGGAGCACAUGGCAGGAGUUGAGUGCCUGCAUCAGCUUCUAGAAGCGUCCAGAAAGAGCCUGACGUCGCUCGUUAACCGCUGCUUGGAUCUUCUCAAGAACAACAACUUCAGAGUCUCCCAGGAUGCUUUGCAGGCCCUUACCUCCGUCAUUGUGCUCUCCGGCGACUACCUCAAGCUUUGCAGGCCCUUGUCUCCGUCGCUGGGCUUUCCGGCGACCACCUCAAGCUCUAUUUCAAUGUGCUUGUUCCCGCCGUCGUUGAGUGUUUGGGCGAUGGAAAACAGCCUGUCUUCCGAAUUCGAUUGCAGUUUCCAAUUUCUGGAAUUUCAAAUCUUCCCACAGUAGUAUCCGAUAAACAGUAGCCACAUGCAAUAUGAUCCGCGACCCUUGCUAUUGGACAACUUCAAGGGUUUGAUUUUUGCUUUGUUUUCAAGUUUGUUUAUCGGUGCUAGUUUCAUUGUGAAGAAGAAGGGAAAGGCUGGGUUGUCUUCUCAUCGGUUCCUUUUACAAAUCACAAAACCAGAAGCCGAAUGAGAGAUGGUAGAAAUCUGAGUUUUCGAUUGAUGUAGUGCUUGGGUUGCUAAGGUUUCUCUUUCUGUGAAAAUGGAGGGGGUGGAUCAUUUAGCGUAAGAACGGAGCAAGGCACAGUUUGAUGUCGACCAGAUGAAGGUCAUCUGGGCCGGCUCUCGCCAUACCUUGAAAGUCUCCGAUCGAAUUGUUUGCCUCGUCGCUAGCGAUCCGAUCUUUAGAAAAGAUAAUAGAACAUUGCUGAGUAUGAAGGAUUUGUUUAAAAACACUCUGCAAAAAGCCGCUCAUGCUUGGAAACGGAUCACAAAGCGGCGACUAUCCAAGGAAGAGGCAUACUGGUUAAGGCAUUAUGUGGAUCAACCAGCGUAUACGAAUCUUCACUGAAGACCUCGAUGAGGCUAAGGAAAAGGAAAAGGAAAAGAUGCUGAGUCGACUCAAGCAACUUGGACGAGUUAUGAAGCAGAGGCGCUGAGUCAAGCCGGCGAGUUUUACAUUUAGAACUCCAUAUUUGAACAGGGGAAUGAUAAUCAUGUGCUAUGGGUCAUCUUUUAGGAAAAAGAAAGAAAAGCAAAAGUAAGAAAAAGAAAAAGGAGGAGGAUAUAUCUUGACCAGGCUGCACAUGCUCCCACUUUUUCUGAAGAAGCCACUGGAAAGCAAGAUAAUUCUAAUACGUUGAAAUCUCAACUUGACCAAUGGAAAGCUGUUGUUGAUAAUCUUGUGUCUAAUACACGGCUUUUAGAAAGCAAAAGGGGGGCACAUGGGGACACUGCAAAAGCAAGAAAUAAACACCCCACCAGAAUGAUGUAAUUUAUUUUUCGUAUCUUUCGGAGAUAUCUGUAUAAACCCCAUCAGAGGGUAAUAAAAAAAAUGGCAAGCCCAAAAUAAUGGGCUGGAAUAUUAUGUGGAGGGCGAAGACCCAUAUGCCCAAAAGAGUCAGGCCUUCUAUUAUCACCAAUCAGGUGAUCAAAAGUACGUCCAGUACUACAAAAAAUUAUUCAGCAGGCUGCCGCUAUUACCACCAACCAGGUGAUCAAAAGUACGUCUAGUACUCCAAAAUUAUACAUGAACAUCACUCAUGUCAAUCAUACAUAAACAUUCAUGAGUAUCACUCAUAACAAUCAUACAUAAACUUUCAUGACCAUCAUUUAUGUUAACAUUCAUGAGCAUCACUCAUGUCAACAUCCAUGAGCAUCACUUAUGUUAAUCAACAUAAACAUUCAUGAGCAUCACUCAUAUCAAUCUAGCUUCAAAAGCUUCAUUUAUAGAGCUCUAGCUUCAAAAGCUUCAUUUACAAAGCUCUAGCUUCAAAAGCUUCAUUUACAAAAGCUCCAGCUGCAAAGCUUCACUUGCAAAGCUUUACCUACAAAGCUUCAGUGCAAGGUACACAAAUACCGCAUCCGAACAACUAUCACUUCGGCCCAUACAUGGAUUCAAUUUGAAGUCUCCAACCAACAAACUCUAUUGAUCGAAGAAUUGGGGGACUACACUAUACACCAUAUAUUGGGCCUCAACUAGGCCUCAUGAAAAAUACUUGGGGGGCUUAGCCCAUUAUUUAUGUAUUGAGGAGCGAGCCCUUAUUCUAUAAAAGGGACUCCCUCACUUUCAUUAGAGAGCACUCAUGAAAAAUUCUUGGGAACUUAGUCCUUUAUUUAUGUAUUGAAGAGCGAGCCCUUAUUCUAUAAAAGGGACUCCCUCACUUUCAUUAGAGAGCACCCAUUAUUCAUAUACUGAGGAGCGAUUCCUUAUUCUAUAAAAGGGACCCCCUCACUAUCAUUAGAGAACAUCGCCGCCAGCUGAGCAACCACCUCACCGCUAGCAUCACUCCAAACCCAUCACUUAUGUAUUGAGGAGCGAACCCUUAUUCUAUAAAAGUGACUGCCUUACCUUCAACGCCAUAAGCCGAGCCAACCAAGGCAACAUAAGCCAUAAGCAGAGCAGCCACCCAACAUGUGCUACUUCUAGUUGAGUAUCAUUUCAGAUUGGGCACCGCCUCAUAUCGAGUAUCAGUUCUAGACGAUAUCUAGUUACUUCGGCCCACACAUGGACUAAAUUUCAAGUCUCCAGCCAAAAGAGUCUAUUGACUGAAGACUUGGGGGACUACUGUUUAUACCAUACUUAGGGCCUCCGUAUUUAGACCUCGUAUAAAUACUUGGGGGGACUCAAAUGUAAUUAUAUAAUAAAUGGAGGGGCAAAUAUGUAAUAGGUGAGGAGCCCUUAUUCUAUAAAAGGACCUCUCACCCUCACAAUUAGGGGAGGCCAUUUCUUAGGCCAUGGGAAGAGUUCUUUCACCCUUAUAAGCUCUCUCCCUCACUCCCUUCACUUCUCAGAGAAAUACAAUAUCAGUGUAGACGUAGCCCAAACCUUGGAGUGAACCACGAUACAUUUUGUGUUAUUUACAUUUCUUGCAUGAUUCACGAUCGAAUUUACAUUGUUCUAAGACCUCCGAUUUUGUGCAUCAACAUUUGGCGCCGUCUGUGGGAAUCAACACGAAAAGUUAUGUCGGUUCUCUCUCAAUUUUUCACCUCUGCUGUGAAUCUGCACAACCCAAGAACCCAAAACCUCACUCUUUGGCUUUUCCAGAAAAACCUUCGCCAUUUCUCUCAUCCAUUUUCUACUGUAUAAAACUCAGCCCGCUUCAAGCUGACGUGACAACAUAUCUUUUCACACCAAAUAAAUCAACCUAGUUUCCAAAAUCCCCAAAUUUUCCCUUCCUUUUCCUUUCCACUUUCACGAGGGCCAAACAAAAAAAAUAGAAACCUGCAACUUAGAAAAACCGUGGGAGACCGGUAAGGAAAUCGAGCAUGAAAACUGAGAAACUCGAAGGACAACGACCUCUCUCUCGCCCCCAUGGAUGCUCUAUCUUCCCUCUUUCUCUAUAAUUGGUAAAAAGUUCGAAUGUUUACUCCAGUUUUGCUUACUGGGUUGUCGAAUUUAUAGAGAAAGAAGAGUUGGUUUGUGAAUUCGAGAAGAUUCAAGUUCAACAGAAUCGUAAAUGGAGGCUCUGCACCGGACCCAACUACCCUGGCUCCAUCCAAAUCUCACUCGGCUACUUCCUCUUUCUCUCAUGCCUUCCACCCUGCUCUCCAAUCAUCAUCAACAUCCAAAACCCACCUGUAAUCUUCGAUGGGUCGGUGUUUCAAGACGGACCCACAUCGGGAAAUGGGCAAUGGACGGCUGUGGUUGUGGAGACGGAGAGGAAUCGGACGGAGAGGAAUUGACGGCUGGGUUUUCUACAUAAGAGAUGGGAGCUGGGACGCGAAUGUGGUUGCUGUAUAAGACAUACACAUGGGGAGCACAAAAAAAUCUGCAUAAGACAUCGAGCACACCAGAAUUGGAAGGGCAUCAAUAUAUUUUUUCCUUCGGGGGAUGAUCGUUUUUGGACCAGAGGUAAGAUCGUUGGGGCUGACCAUAUUUCUGAUUGUUGCUCCUAGGUUGAAACCCCAUUUUCAGCUUCUAGGUCGAUACCUUGUUACCUGUUCCUGGGUCGAUACCCCAUUUCAACUUCUGUGAAUCGUGGGUCACGUUUGAUGAUAGAUCCCGUCAUACUCGGGUUUUCUCCCGCACCCAGAAGCUUACAGUGUUACAUCUUCAGUAUAUCGUACUCGGGUUUUCUCCCGCACCCAGAUCCCGUCAUGGCGCUCGAUCUCAGCUCCCUCGCCUCUAUUAGGAGCUUCGUCUUCAAUUCCGACAUUUGACUACAUCAGGGGUUUAAGCAUCGAUCCACGAGCGCACUGCUCUGUUACUUUGAGCUGUCAUCCGGAGCUUUAGCCAGUAACCAUGUGAUAAGUUCAGAAUACCCAACAAUAUUUUGACAGAUCGGGAAAGCAAUAAUAAAAGCAAAUAGUCAUGGCCAUGAUGGCAAUGAUGAACUACUUUAUCGGGGACAUGGAAAAGGAGAAGUGUUUGGCCUAACCUACACAUCUGGGGAUAUAGUUGGAGGUGGUAUCAAUUAUGAUUCACAGGAAUUCUUUUUCACUAAAAAUGGAGCCUUGGGGAUGGACUCAUGGACCAUGCAAAAAAAAAAAAAAAAAAGCAAAAGCAAAAACGGAGAUAAGAUUCUUUGCUUAUUAUUGAAAUCUAUUAUCAUUCCUUGUCUGCCAUAUUCAUCAGGGUCAAGAAACAGAAACAAAAGCAAAAGCAAAGCAGAAAAGAAAAGAGAAAAGAAGAAACAAAAAGCAAAAGCAAGGAAUAAACAUCUCACCAAAAUGAGGUGAUUUACUUUUCUUGUUUUUGAAUGAUGUAAUUUAUUUUUCUUAUCUUUCAGAGACAUCUGUAUAAACCCCAUCAGAGGGUAAAAAAAAAAAAAAACUACAAAGCCCAAAAUAAAUAGGCUGGAAUGUUGUGUGGAGGGCAAAUGCCCAUAAACCCAAAAUGGCACCAACCAGGUGACCAAAAGUACGUCCAGUACUACAAAAAAUUAUUCGGCACCCCACCGCUAUUAUCGCUAACCAGAUGAUCAAAAGUACGCCCAGUACUAAAAAAUUAUUCAGUAGCCUGCCGCUAUUAUCACUAACCAGGUGAUCAAAAGUACGCCCAGUACUUCAAAUUAUACAUGAGCAUUACUCAUGUCAAUCAUACAUAAACAUUCAUGAUCAUCACUCAUAUCAAUCAUACAUAAACAUUCAUGAGCAUCACUCAUGUCAACAUUCAUGAGCAUCACUCAUAACAUCCAUGAGCAUUACUCAUGUCAAUCAACAUAAACAUUCAUGAGCAUCACUCAUGUCAAUCAGCUUCAAAAGCUUCAUUUACAGAGCUCUAGCUUCAAAAGCUUCAUUUACAAAAGCUUUAACUUCAAAAGCUUCAUUUACAGAGCUCUAGCUUUAAAAGCUUCAUUUACAAAAGCUCCAGCUGCAAAGCUUCACCUACAAAGCUUCAGUGCAGGGUAUACAAAUACCGCAUCCGAACAGCCGCCACUUCGGCCCAUACAUGGAUUCAAUUUGAAGUCUUCAGCCAAUAGACUCUAUUGACCGAAGACUUGGGGGACUACAUUAUGUACCAUAUAUUGGGCCUCAUGAAAAAUACUUGGGGGACUUAACCCAUUAUUUAUGUACUGAGGAGUGAGCCUUUAUUCUAUAAAAGGGACUCCCUCACUUUCAUUAAAAAGCACCCAUUGCUUAUGUACUGAGGAGCGAUCCCUUAUUUUAUAAAAGGGACUCCCUCCUCUUCACUAGAGAGCAUCGCCGCCAGUUGAGCAACUGCCUUGCUGCAAGCAUCACUCCUAACCCAUUACUUAUGUACUGAAGAGCGAGCCGUUAUUUUAUAAAAGGGACUCCCUCAUUUUCAUUAAAGAGCAUCGCCGCCAAAUGAGCAACCGCCUCGCCGCGAGCAUCAACUCUAGCCCACCAUUUAUGUAUUGAGGAGUGAGCCUUUAUUCUAUAAAAGAAACUCCAUCACCUUCAACAUCACAAGCCGAGCCAACCAAGGAAACACAAGCAGAGCAGCCUCGUAACAUGUGCUACUUCUAGUUGAGCAUCAUUUUAGAUUGGGCACCGCCUCAUAUCGAGCAUCAGUUCUAGAUGAUAUCUAGUUACUUCGGCCCACACAUAGAUUGAAUUUCAAGUCUCCAGCCAAAAGACUCUCUUGACUGAAGACUUGGGGGACUACUAUUUAUACCAUACUUAAGGCCUCCGUAUUUAGAUCUCGUAUAAAUACUCGACGGACUCAAAUAUAAUUAUGUAAUAAUGGAAGGGGCAAAUAUGUAAUAAGCGAGGAGCCCUUAUUCCAUAAAAGGGACUCCUCACCCUCACAAUAGGGGAGGCCAAUUCCUAAGCCUUCUCACCCCAGAGAGCCUCCUCACAUCCCCUAAGCUUUAAGCUCUUUCAAAACUCUCACUCUCAUAUUCAGAGCUAUCUCUCCCUCAGAAAUACAAUAUCAGUGUGGACGUAGCCCAAACAUUGGGGUGAACCACGAUACAUCUUGUGUUAUUUACUUUGUUACAGAUUCACGGUCGGAUUUACGUUGUUCUAAGACCUCUCUAGUUUUAUGCAUCAAUAGUAUGGUUGUUGAUAAGUAUGUGGCAAACCUGUGUUUAUGCUAAUAGGGAUUAGUAAGUUUAAUUAUAUGUUAAUCCCAUUGAUGUUGUUCCUCAUUAAAUGGUGCGUGACCAUGAAUUAGGCAUCUUUUUGUACUCAUAUUAGGACAAGGAUUGUCUGCCCUUCCACUUUCCGUGCCCUUCCGUGCCCUCCUGUUUAUGUGGUCACGGUUAAGCUAUGUCAACAUUUUAUAUCACUAUUCAUUUUUGUCUUAUUAUCUCUAUAAAAACAAUAAUAUAAAAUGUUGACGUAGCUUAACCGUGACCACAUAAAACAGGAGGGCACGGGAAGUGGGAGGGCAGACAAUCCUUGUCCCUCAUAUUAUUAUAUCAAUCUGUGUUGAUAUUUUUCUCUGUCUAUGUCUAUUGGUUGGAAAACGAUCUUCGUCGGAUCUUUUUUUCUGGGGAUUCUGUAAUCGUGAUCGUUCAUUGUAUAUUAUACGAUUAGAAAUAAUUUUCCUUUUAAAAUUUAAAAUUAAAUAUAAAUAGUACCUAGCGAAAACUGACCGCACGAUAUACAAUGAAUAGUCACUAUCGCGGGAUCCCCAGGAAAAGAAUCCGAUGAGGAUCUUUUUCCUUAUUAGUUUGCUGCUCUUCACAAGUGCUCUCGCACGUGCGAGAGACAUUUUUUUUCAUUCACGCAUUUAUCUACUAUGGACAAUUUAUGUUAUACCAUUUUGUGCAUCCCCUUCGUAAUGUAUUUUAAUGAUUUGAAUCGUCUAUCUUUUAGAACAUCAUUCAUAGAUCAUCCUUGCAAAAAAUUAGACAAGUCCAAAACCAUUAAGACAUUCAUCUGUAAGGAAAAUACACAAAUAAGGUUAUGCAAAGAAGCCAUAAUCCUUUAAUCCAACAGUCAUAUGGUUUCAGAUUGGGGUGUGUAUCACCAUGAAGAACAUGGGCACGUUUUGCUGCUACCACGAGCAUAACGGCCAUGACGGCGAGAAGUGUAUCACCAUUCGUGAUCAUAUGGAAGCUUUGGCUAGGUUAAUGUGAUAUAUUCCAUAAGUGGUGGCACACCCAUAUCUAAAUCUUCCAACAUGGCUAUGAAAAACAAUGAACGAGCUUUAAGGCCUGGCCAUCAAGUGUUUCACGUGGAAAACAUCAGGGGAGGUAAGUAUCAAAAGCCUAACUGGGAUCCAAUAUGUUUCUACCCCGAGGAAGAAAGAGGUAUCAUCUACCCUCACAACAACCCACUGAUCGUGGAUGCUCACAUAGCUAACUUUGAAGUACGACAAAUCCUGGUAGACACGGAGGCUUAGGUCAAUAUCAUGUUUGCUAAAGCUUUCAGGCAACUUAAUGUAGCUGAACACUUGCUCGAUCGCUCGAUUUCUCCUAUGAGAAACUUCUCCAGUGAUAUCGUGCAACCUUUAGGGAGCAUACACUUACCUUUCACCAUUGGUACAUGCCCUUACACUGCUACCAUUAUCACUAACUUCCUGGUGGUUGAUUGCCUAACGACAUAUAAUGUCAUCUUCGGACGCACAUGUAUCAAUGAUCUCAAGGCCAUGGUAUCCACACAUAUGUUGAUGAAAUUUCCAACCCCCUAUGGCAUUGGUUACAACAAAGAAGAUCAACUUAGUGCACAAUCAUGUUACAACACUUCGGUCAAGCAACAAUACCUGCCUGUGCCCAAGGAAACCCUUUUUAUACAUGACCAAGUCAUAAAGACCAACCUAGACGAAGCCAACUUGGAUCUUCACGGUGGCAAUAGUCAACCCGAUGAUCCUCGAGACGACUCUUUCACCUAGCAAACACAACCUGCUGAAGAGUUGGAGAAGGUUUCUAUCUCAAAAGAUUAUCCAGAUCGCAUGGUGAAGAUUAGCACCACCUUGUCACCACCCAUUCGGUUGGCAUUUAUCUCUUUUUUGCAAGAGAACAUUGAGGUCUUCGCCUGGUUAUACGAGGACAUGUUAGGCAUCUCUCCCGAUAUCAUAUGUCAUCGCUUGAGUAUUGAUCCCAAGACCAAGCCGGUGAGACAGAAGCGAAGAUCUUAUAACGCUAAACGAUACGAAGCAAUGAAGGCAGAAGUUGAAAAACUCAAAGGCAUAUGCUUCGUCCGCGAAGUCAAUUACCCAACAUGGGUAGCAAAUGUGGUCCUUGUUAAGAAAAAUCCAACCAAAGAAAGUCUCCUACUCCAAAAGGUCUUGUGGAGAAUGUGUGUCGAUUACACCGACCUAAACAAAGGAUGCCCGAAUGAUAGCUUUCCUCUUCCUCUCAUUGACAAACUUAUAGAUUCUAUGGCAAUGUGUGAACUUCUGAGCUUCAUGGAUGCUUAUUCAGGAUACAACCAAAUCCCCAUGAACCCUUCGGACUAAGAACACACAACCUUCACUACUGACAGGGGACUAUAUUGCUAUAAAGUCAUGUUAUUCAGCCUAAAGAAUGCAGGAACGACUUAUCAGAGACUAGUCAAUUCAAUGUUCGCUGAACAGAUUGGGAAGAGCAUGGAAGUUUACGUUGAUGAUAUGUUAGUCAAGAGCAAACAUGCUGACCAACACAUCUCUAACCUAUCUGAAACUUUCACCAUUCUGAAGAGGUAUCGAAUGAGGUUGAACCCCAACAAAUGUGCCUUCAGCGUAGGCUCUGGCAAAUUCUUAGGCUUCAUAUAAGCCAAUGAGGCAUUGAGGCUAAUCUCGAGAAGAUCAAAGCAAUCCUCGACAUGAAGGAACUGGUAACUUUAAAAGACAUCCAGAGCCUUACUGGCAAUGUGGCAGCCUUAACUAGGUUCAUCUAUAAAGCCACACACAGAUGUGCUCCUUUAUGCUCUAAGUUCAACAUUAACUUAUGUUUUGCCUCUCCAGCUCAUCCCCAGUUUAAUGGACAAGUCGAAGCCAUUAACAAAAUAAUCAAGCGAACUUUGAAAACCAGCUUGGACAAGGCUAAAGGUUGUUGGCCAAAAUUAAUACCCCAAAUUCUUUGGUUAUACAGCACUUCGUAUUGAACAUCAACAGGAAAAACCCCAUUCUCACUUACCUUUGGUACAGUGGCAAUUGUCCCAGUUGAGCUUAAGCAAGCAACGUUCAGAGUCCAGAACUACGUGCAAAGCGAAAAUGACAAACAACUUACCCUCAACUUAGAUCUAGUCGAGGAACACAAAAACCAAGCUCACUUGAGGAAUGUCGCCUACAAGCAGCGCAUCUCUAACUACUAUGACUCAAGGGUCAAACCUCGUUCUUUCAAAGUGGGGUACUGGGUAUUGAAGAAAAGAUUACUCUGCGAUAGAGUCCCGAGUGAAGGAACACUUAGUCCAAACUAGGAUGGACCGUUUGAAGUUGUUGGCAUUAAUCGCCCUGGCUUCUACAAGCUUAGAAGCUCCGAUGGUAAGACCCUUGUCCAUCCAUGGAACAUUGAUCACUUGAAAUAUUAUUACAAGUAAACUCACAUUGUACAAGUGUUAAGCUUCAGUAGUUCGACAUCCUAUGUAACAAAGACCAUUUGGCAUGAAUUCAAUAAAGAGGUGAUUUAGACAACUCGGUCCUAAUCUUCUUAUAUUCCUAGCAAUGAAACACUCGAGUUCAAAGCUUCAACAUGAAUGCUUCCAACAUGAAACAAAGUCUAAGUAUAUGUCAACAAGACUUAUAAAUAAACGAAUAGCUUCACAGUAUAUUCGUUCAAUCAUACAUUCCAACACAUUCAUACAUAAGCCAACUGUGCUUCGAAAGGGUUCAACAUACUUUAUGUCAUUCGACACUUGCUACAAUGUGCCUUGACACAUUGUCCUUAUUCUCACCAACCAGGUGAUGAAAUGUGAAUAAGGAACUCAUCUUCAUGCCACCAACUAGGUGAUGAAAUGUACAACUUGUACUCUCCUUCAUGCCACCAACCAGGUGAAGAAUGAACUCAUCUUCAUGCCACCAACCAUGUGAUGAAAUGUACAACCCGUACUCUAAUAUCAUUUGGCAACUUGCCAUUCAUGCCACUAACCAAGUGAAGAAGGAACUCAUCUUCGUGCCACCAACCAUGUGAUGAAAGGUGAUAGAGGAGCUCACCUUCGUACCACCAACCAAGUGAUGAAAGUAACUCACCAUUCAUUCCACCUACCAGAAGACAAGUGGUACAACUUGUACAUGCGAACUCGUAGCAUUCACAAAUAAUAAAAAACCCUCAAGCUUGAUAACUCAACUAGGGGAGCACUUAUGCCCAACAAGAGUUAUAGUCACCAACAAAGUCUUAUUGCAAGCCAACAACAACUUCAGUGCAUGGCAUACGAAGAUCAAGCUAUUCAACCCUCUUGCAUCUACUUCAGACAUUUAUCCUCAGUAACAAUGCAAAUACUACAACUAGUAGAAAGCUUCACACACUCUUGAUCAAGACAGUGUGAAGCAAAACUAAUUUAUGGUGCCAACAAGAGCUUCAUCAAAUGAGUUCAACCAUAAUUCUCAAAAGCUUCACAUACUCUUGAUCAAGAUAGUGUGAAGCAAACCAAUUUAUGAUGCUAACAAGAGCUUCAUUAAUGGAGGGCAACCACAAUUUUCAAAAGUUUCACACAAUCUUGAUCAAGACAGUGUGAAACAAAAUCAAUUUAUGGUGCCAACAAGAGCUUCAUAAAUGGAGGGCAACUACAAAUUCUCAAAAGCUUCACAGUAUCUUGAUCAAGAUAGUGUGAAGCAAAAUCAAUUCAUGGUACCCAACAAAAGCUUCAACUCCAAGGCUUCACCUACAAAAGCUUCAACUCCAAAGCUUCACCGACAAAAGCUUCAACUCCAAAACUUCACCUACAAAGCUUCACCUACAAAGCUUCAACUCCAAAGUUUCACCUACAAAGCUUCACCUUCAAGCUUCACAAAAGCUUCACCUACAAAGCUCAACUCCAAAGCUUCACCUACAAAGCUUCAACACAAAAGCUUCACCCACAAAAGCUUCACCCACCCACAAAAGUUUCACCUACAAAAGCUUCACCCACCCACAAAAGCUUCACCCACCCAUAAAAGCUUCACCCACAAAAGUUUCACCCACCUACAAAAGCUUCGUGCACCGACAAAAGCUUCGUGCACCGACAAAAGCUUCAAUACAAAAGCUUCACCCACAAAAGUUUCACCUACAAAAGCUUCACCUACAAAAGCUUCACGCACCCAUAAAAGCUUUACCUACUCAUAAAAGCUUCACCUACAAAGCUUCAACAUAAAAGCUUCACCUACAAAAGCUUCACACACUCUUGAUCAAGAUAGUGUGAAGCAAAAUCAAUUCAUGGUACCCAACAAAGCUUCACCUACAAAGCUUCAACACCAAAGUUUCACCUACAAAGCUUAAUAUAUAUAUAAUUUUUUUUUUUUCGAAAAUUCGAAAAUUCGAAAAUUCAGAAAUUCAGAAAUUUGAAAAAAAAAAUUGCCUAAGCCUCCUAUUCUUUGGGCCUAACAAUUUCAUAACAAAUAUAUACGAAGGAGGAGUUUUCGGCUACCACUUAGAAAGGAAAUGUCUCAUUCAUCAACUCCCUUGAUCGGAGACUUGGGGGACUCCUACCAUAUGCUACUGCACCUUGAUACUCGAAAGUCUCACGACCACUUAGUGACUUGGAUUUUUCAAGUCUCCAACCGAGAAGUUUUCCUCACUUGGGAAAUUAAGGGAGCACUACCUCAACAUAAUGCUUGACUCACAAAGCUUCAACAGACAAGCUUCAACAAAAGAAAAAAUUCAAAGAACUUAGUGAAGAAGGCUUUGAUGUAUUUAACACAAUACGUUGAAAUGAAGCAAAGCUUAUUUAUUGAUAUUUCCAAUAAGUUACAAAUAUGUACAUAUACAUGAGUCAAAAUAAACAAACAAGAGGGAGACUUCACAAAGUUUGCUCAGGAAAAGUCUCAGUAGUCGGCAGAGCCCCAGAAAGAGAAGGCAUCAGAGGGUGAUCAUUCAGAGCCUCAGUACUGGACAGAACCUCAGAAUGAGGAGGCAUCAGAGGUUGAUCAUUUGGAGCUUUAUUACGCAGUACAACCCCAGAAGACGAAGGCAAUAAAUGCCUUUGGAACAAACCCACAAACCUUUGAUGAUUAAGUAAAAUUUAACCAUCAGAUUCCUGCAUCUGGUCAAACUUCCCCCUUCAUGUUUGUAUCAUAGUCAUGUGCGAGACUGUGCAACUGUUUAUUCUCAUGCUUGAGCCUUUUAAUCUACUGUUUGAGACUUCACUUCAGCCGUCAAUGAUUCAACUUGGCGGGUUCGAGCAAAUAGGCGUUGGGCCAUAUUAGACACAGAACUUGCACACUAAACACUGAGAGCCAGAGAAUCCUUAACAGCUAACUCAUCAGACCGUUUGGAAAGUAGUCUGUUAUCUUUGGGAGUAAGAAGGUUCUUGGCCACCACCGCGGCGGUCAUAUAAUUCUUUAUUACAGAGUCCCCAACGGUAAGAAGACCAGUAAGGGAUAAGAAGAAUGGACGCCAUAUGUUGUCUUGAGGAGGCAUGACUGCUUCUUCACCAAAGUUCAAGUCAAAACGAUGGUCGGAUGGGCCAGACAUUCAAGCUCAACCGAUCCUCAUUGGUUCACAACCAUCAGGUUUUGAUUAGAUCAUUUGUUACCAUUUACAUCCAAUGUAGUCACUCUCUUCCCAUUUUUUUUUUUUAAAUUACUUAUUAAUUGAUAAGAAUGUAAAAACUACAGUUCAAAUUACCAAAAAAUGGAGAAUAUUAUAGAGCUCAGACAGUGGGCCAAGAAAAUAUUUUUCUUUUUCUUUCUUCUGAAAAAUUGUCAAUAAAUAAUUGUGCGACAGGCUGUUUUGUCCACAAAUUGUAACCUUUUCUUUUGGUCGGCAAAUUGCGAUCACGAACACCAUUUCUGCAUGGUGUUCUUUCACGUCUACUGUCGCCAUUGCCUAGUCCAUAUCCAUAAAGUUCUGUGUAGCUUUAGAGUACUUUCUUGAUUUUCAAAUGCCAUUCAAGCUCACUGUUGGAUAUUACUGGAAUUUUUUAUGGAUCUUUUUUUCUUCUUCAAUGGCGGAUAAGGUAUUACGUCUUACUCUCCUGUUGGCUGUGAAGGAUGACAAGCUACUUUAGGAGCCCUCAUCUCAUGGCAGUUUUCCUUUCCUUCUAGCUAUGAGCUUCUUCACAGUAGACAUAGCGUUUAUGGUUGGACAAAGGUUAUGAAGGUCGUUGCCAUCAUAUGAGAAAAGACAAAUAAUAUUUGUUUAGAAUCUACUUAGAUUUUCACUAAAGAUUAGUUGCAAAAAUAUUUUCAUAAAAAAAAAAUUCAGCCAUUUUAAAAAAUACUUCUUAACGUGCCCUAUAUUUUUUUUCCAAUACAGCUUGCAAGUUGCAAACAUAAUAGAAUGUAUUUUAGCAGAAAUUAAAACAUGUCCUUAUCAUAAAAUGUUAAAAUAAAAAAUAAAAAGUAUUGUGUCACAUUGAAGGAAAUGACUUAUAUGAAACAGAUUCACCGUUAUCGUCACACUUUAUUUAAAUAAAACAUAACAUGUGUAAGUUUUUAAUAUAUAUAAUUGAUUAAUUAUACAAUAUCACGUGACGGUAAACAUAUUUUAUAUAAAUUGGUCUCAUGAGAAGAAUAAAGAUUAUAGAUAAUGAUGCAAUGUCAUGAUACGAAACGUGCAAAAAUAAAAGGUAGUGAAACAAAAAGUACCAUCAAGUAAUUGGUAGGAUGCACAAAUUGACCCACAUUAUUACAAUUAUUAGUCGGUGUGAUUUGUUUAAAGUCGUGUUACUGAAUGAGGAUCCUCUCCUCUUUAUGAGGAUUCUGAAGAUUCUUAAAUCGUGUUCGUUCAUCGUGAGAUCAGUUUUCGUCAGAUAUUAUUCAUGUUUAAUUUUAAUAAUAUUUGACCACACGAUGUACGAUGACGGAUAUGAUUUGAGAAUCCUUAGGAUCAUCACAAAGAGGAUCUGAAGAGAAUCCUCAUUCACCAAGCAUCUCCAUCAAAUAGUUUUCUACCAUAAUUAAAUAGAGCCCACUUCUUUUCUUUUCAAGCAAAGAGUGGUACUUGUUUAGGGGGUAUGAGAACUCAUGCCAUCUCUAACCGAAUGAGGGUUAGAUGGCUGACCCUAUAGCCCUCCAAGAAAUUAUAUUUUAAUGAAUAGUGUCAUACCAUAUUUCAAACCAUCUCAAACCGAAAGGGCCAAAUGGUCAUAGGCCAAAUAUAGCACUGUGACAAAAAACUAUCUCCAACCAAAGGGGUCAAAGGGCCAUAGGCCAAACAUAAUUUAUUAUUUUAAUUGAAUUAAUAUAGUUAAUUAAAUUAAUUACCAUAUUAAAAUAAGAUUUUCGGACAUAGGAAGAUUAUUAGAAAUGAGGUAAGAUAGUAUAAAAUGGUGAAAAAGUAUGUGAGAAAUAGUGUAGGAAAAAAAUUAGAAUUUUUUUAAAAAUAAAAAGUGGGCUAGCUGGCUAGUUGGAGAUGGCCAGCCAGCUAGCCUAAUUUGGUGUUUUUGGCCCAAUGGGGCCCACAAGCCCUUUGGUCUAACCCUUGGUUGGAGACUAUUUUUGUGUCAUUUCGAGCUAUUUUUGACCCUAUAGCUUUCUGGUCGGAUCGGUUGGAGAUGACCGCAUAUACAAAAAUUGCUACUUUUUUAAAGCAAUGACUAUAUUAAUACCUCUUUUGCAAUUAUGUCACCAACACUAGUUUACCAUAACCACUAUUUUACCUCCAUAAUAACCAGUGUCACCACCGUCACUCCUAUGAGCAUCACCAUCAACCCUAUUAUGACGACCACCAUCACUAUGACCGCUGCCUUUACCAUCGUCAUCACCACCCCAUCACCACUGCCCUCAUCCCUUCUCCACCACCCCAACAACCCUUCACCACCACAAUCACUACUCCUAUUAUUUUCGUCAACACUAAAGACACUAAUUUUAUUACCAUCAUCUUGUUGACAAUCACCAUGCGACCUCUAAGACUACUUUGUCAUGGUCAUGAUCACCAAUCCAAUAGUAAAAACUUAAGAAUAUAAGCUUAUUAGUAAAUUGCUCGUUAAAAAUCUAUGACAAUCCAUUGAAUUCUAAAGAAUUCUAACAUUGAACUUUCUAAAAUUCUGCAAAAAUCUAUCAUUUAACUCAUUUUAUUUUUCACGAAACUAUAUUAUCAAAAGUCUAUGAAAUUUUAUAAAAUUUAUAAUAAUCAGCAAAAAUUUACUUAAAUAUGUGAAAAUCCACUAGCAAAACUCCAUAAAAAUCUUAAUACACUAAGUGACUUGUAUAUGUUUAAGGUGGCAAGGCAAAAGUAUCAUAUCCAUUUCUUAUCAUUUAACAAAACAUAAAAAUAAAAUAAACUCACACACAUCACAAACGUUAGUGUGACAGUUGCCUACUCGCACAUGGAAGACUAUCUCUAAAAAAAGUGCUAACCUUGAAGACCACAAAUUAAUGUCCCCCAACUCCAAAGUAGUUGAGAAGCUAGGAUAGCCACACAUCUCUAAUUUGGUACCGAUCAUAUCACCCCAUCUCAAUUGGGAUAUCACCAAGGAUGGUGCAUUGGUGCAAAAUUUCCAUCCACUUCGAAAUGGGACAUUUAGGGAAGACACAUCUAAAGUACAUGUUAUUCAAGUCGGCCUCACUAGUUUUUAUUUGCUAAUUAUUAUAUAUUAAUUCGAGCUAUUUUGUAUAAAUUAAUAAAAAUUAUAACAUUUGUUGAUGCACAAAAUCAGUGAAGACUUUGGUACAACAGAAAGUGUUAAGUUUGUGACAUUCGCUAGAUUGCUCCGGUCACUAGUGUGGAUAAGUAUGUAAAUAAAUAGGGACAGGGAAGCAAACACAAGAUGUACGUGGUUCACCCAGAUUGGCUACAUCCAUGGAGUAGAGGAGUUCUCAUUAAUUGUGAAGGGUUUACACAAGUAUAUAGGUUCAAACUCUCCUUUAGUGAGUACUAGUGAAUGAUUUAGUAUAAAUGACAUUAGGAAAUAUUGUGAGAGAAUGAUCUCUAUUUAUAGAAGAGAGUUUCUAGUUUCAUUCUGACAUUGACACGUGUUGUGUUGUGAUUGGCUUCUGAUGUUAACACGUGUCGUGCUAUGAUUGGCUUCUGAUGUCGACAUGUGUCGCGCUGUGAUUGACUUCCUGGUUGGAGGGAAACUCUUCUAGGUCCUUGUUGAUAUAACGUUGACCGGUGCUCAGUAGUUUCGGGUUCGGUCAAGUAUGGUACAAACAACAUUAAUAAUAUUUACGUUAAUUAUAAAUAGGUUAAUUUUGUAUUAUAUUUAUGAUACUUAAAUGCAUCUAAAAAAAAUUAUAAAAUUUGCUACAACAGUUGGACCCAUUUUAUCUGACACCUCCUUUCUAAUAUUUUUUUCUUUUAUAUUUUAGAAUAAGUCAAUACAUAUUCAAACAUUGUUUAUUUCUUGGUUCUGUUUUUUACAUUUGGAGUCAGACAUUGGUUUGCAAUGCUCGUUUCAUCACUAUGUUUUUCCAUCAAUAACACACUUCCUACGCUUCACACUUCGCAAUCACAUGACCCUUUUUUUUUUCUUUUUUUACAUUAAGAAAUUGCAACACAAUGUCCAUUUUCUGGCUAUGUUUUUUACAUUUGCUGUGUUGGAGUGUUUGUUUCUUGGUUCUUCAGCAGCUGAUGUACGCGUGCCAUCACUCAUUCACGAACCCUGCAACCACUAUCCGCUUCAUAAUCUCAUGGAGCCAUAUAGGUCAUUGAUGGUUCUGGAAGUAAUUGUUUCAAUCACGAUGUAGCAGUCGUUGAUCACCUGAGCCAUUGGGAACUGGUGCUCCUCGUUGUCACCAAUUAUCUCUUUUUCUUCAUUAGAGAGAAAGAUGGAGAAAAAGAAAGAGAGAAGGACGAGAGAGUAUGAAGAGAGUGAAUGAAGAGAAAAUCGUGAUAAAAGAGGGUAUAUACAGACAAGAGAGGGAAUGAGAUAAGGAAAUGAAUAAAGUGAAGACAUAAGGAUUUAGUAACUAUUUUCUAUCGAAAUUGGAUCCCAUUCGGAUCCCCCACAUCUUAGUCAUUCAUCGUAUAUCGUGCGAUCAGAAAUCUUUUGACUUUUUUUUAUUUAAAAUUAACACAAAUAGUAUCUGAUGAAAACUGGCUGCAUGAUGUACAAUGAACGAUUAGGAUGUGGAGAUCCUAGGAUUCCCACAAAAUGGAUCUGGAGAUGAUCAUUUUUCAUUUUCUAUCUAGCUUAAACUUAUAUGACAUGCUCCAUGAACCUAUGUUGAUGCACAAAAUCUGGAGGAUCUUGGACCAACGUAAAUCCGGUCGUGAAUCACACAAACGCACAAGAACACAAAGAUAUAUCGUGGUUCACCCUAAUGUUUGGGCUACGUCCACACUGAUGUUGAUUCCAUUUCACUGUGUGUAUGUAUGGAUUACAAUAGAUCGGCAAUGGAGCUCUCUGUAGAUGCAGCCCUUGCCAUUUUGCUCUCUGUUUGGCUGAGAGGGUAUUGCCCUAUAUUGUUGUGAGGGAUGUGAGACUCUCUGGUUCCUCUCCCUUAGUGAAGGUGAGACCCUGUUUAUGAGGGUGAAGGAGAGUCCAUUUCAUAGAAUAAGGGCUCCAUCUUCUUUUACAUAAAUCAUGGGCUUAAGGAUUAGGCCUAAAGACGAGGCCCAAUAUAUGGUACCAAUAGGAGUCCCCCAAGUCUUCAGUCAAGAGAGUCUUUUGGCGCCAUCAGAUAAUCCUUAACAGCCAACUCAUCUGACAGUUUGGAAAGUAGUCUGUUAUAUUUGGGAGUGAGAAGGUUCAUGGCCACCACCGCAGCGGUCAUAUCAUUCUUCAUCACAGAGUCCCUAACGGUAAGAGGACCACUAAGGGAUAAGAAGGAUGGACGCCAUAUGUUGUCUUGAUGAGGCAUGGCUGCCUUUUCACCAAAGUUCAAGUUAAAAAGAAGGUCGGAUGGGCUAGACAUUUUCAGAAAUGAUGAAGGAGAAAUGAGGUCCAAUAAAUCUCUGAAGUAUGAAAAUAAAGGGAAAAUUCCUACAAGCAAUAACUCUUUGAACGUACUUCUUGCACACAAUUGGUGCCCUUAUAAAAGAAGAGGCAGUAUGGCCGUUUGUUCAAAAAUCGAAGAAGCACCGCUCUCCGAAUCUCAAAAGCUAGACUCCCAACAUGAUUGCUUUCUCAAAAAUCAAAGAGGCACCGUUCUCCGAAUCUCGAAAGCCAGAUCCCCGACAUGAUUGCUUGUUCGAAAAUCGAAGAAGCACCGCUCUUCGAGUUUUGAGAGCCAGAUUUCCUUGGAUAAAGUUUAUCUGCAAUCUUCACACGCAACAUCAGCUUUCCAGAUACCACAUACCACUUUUUCAAAAUGCUCUGACAAAGUUAAAACAUGUGAAUCUUGCAGUUUCCCCUACAUUGCCAUGACCAAGAAGGGUAAAGGAACAACAUUACUACUCGCUGUUGGGACAAUUCCUAUAUAUGUCGACCUUCAUCCUCCACAACCAGGCAAACCUGUAAAUAAAAAAAAAUCUCAACUUUUCUUCACAUCCGAGAGGGCACUCUUAGCAGAGUCUCUCGAAAUACUCAACUUAUUUUCCCCCUGAUAAUACCUCUGCAAACAAACCACACCAGAGUAAGAGUAUCUCAUAUCAUCAGGGUUAAAAGCAAGAGUAUCCCAUAUCAUGGUUUUUCCCUGUCUUUUCCUUUGGCCUUGUUCUUACCUGUAAGACAAGGAGAAAAAGAGCAAGUAGUCAGCACUUGGAAUCAAGCUUCCAGUCAGAAACUGACUACCUGGAAAUCCUUGCCUGAUUACUUACUUGGCAUUGCUCUUAAGUACUCAUCUUCAACAUCUUAUGUUUUCAGACAAAAUACCACAUCUGCCUAAGGAACAUAUAGGGCAAGUGAGCAGGAUACAAGGAAGCAUGUGGAGACAAGUGCAACAGAACACGUGCUGAUUCAUCUAUUACUUUGUCAACAACAAAAGUAUCCUAUAUCAUCAAGGUCGAACACACUCUUGAUUUGAUGAACUUGUUUUGAUCCUUAAAUUCUUAAGUCGACCUUAUACUCUGGAGGAAACCAAAAAACCCUCCAGCCUAGUUCAAGAAUAAGCCUGUGGAAAGUUACUUCUUCAAAAGCAAAAGUAUCUCAUAUUAUCUCUUCUCCUUUUUCUUCUUUUUAUUCUUCCUGCUGCCUGCAAGAUAGGGAAAAUGAGAACAAUCAGUUGGAACUCGAAAUCAAACUUUUGAUCUGGGACUGAUUGUUGGGAGCUCUGAUUGCUUACCUUGUUUGUCACCUCUUUCAGCGGAUCUCCUAGCUCAGCGACUUAAGGGACUCCUACUACAUGGUUUGUAUCGCGCUUGACCAAGCCUGAAACUACAAGUAAGCUUCAAGUGAAAUUGAUACAUUACCUUGUGCAUCUCCACCGAUUAAGGAUACCACCCCUGGAUGGAGGAAAAGUACUUCCAGAGAAGAUGCCACAUCUACCUAUGAGACAAAUAAGGCAAGUGAAAAUGAUACCACACUUCGGUAAUUAAAAGUUUCGUGAUUACUCAGCGGCUUAAAUCUUGCAAGUCCCCAACCGAGGAGCUUCCCUCACUCGGGAACUUAGGGGAGCACUGUUUGUACCAUACUUGACCAAUCUCGAAACUACUGAGCACUGGUCAACGUUAUAUCGUCAAGGACCCAUAAGAGUUUCCUUCCAACCAGGAGGCCAAUCAUAGUGCGACACGUGUCGAUAUCAGAAGCCAAUCACAGCGCGACAUGUGUCAACAUCAGAAGCCAAUCAUAACACGACACGUGUCAAUGUCAAAACAAAGCUAGAAACUCUUCUAUAAAAGGAGAUCAUUCUCCCACAAUAUUAUCUAAUGUCAUUUGUACUAAAUCAUUCAUUAGUACUCACUAAAGGAGAGCUUGAACCUAUGUACUUGUGUAAACCCUUCAAAAUUAAUGAGAACUCUACUCCAUGGACGUAACCAAUCUGGGUAAACCACGUACAUCUUGUGUUUGCUUCCCUGUCUCUAUCCAUUUACAUAUGUAUCCACACUAGUGACCGGAGCAAUCUAGCGAAGGUCACAAACUUAACACUUUCUGUUGUACCAAAGUCCUCACUGAUUUUGUGCAUCGACAAUAUAUAUAUAUUCGAAAAUUUAAAAAUUCGAAAAAGAAAAAAAAAAAUUGCCUAGACCUUAUCUUCUUUGGGCCUAACAACUUUCAUAACAAAUAUAUAUGAAGGAGGAGUUUUGGGCUACCACUUAGAAAAGAAAUGCCUCAUUCGUCAACUCCCUCGACCGGAGACUUAGGGAACUCCUACCAUAUGCUACUGCACCUUGAUACUCAGAAGUCUCACGACCACUCAGUGACUUGAAUUUUUCAAGUCUCCAACCUAGAAGUUUUCCUCACUCAGGAAAUUAAGGGAGCACUACCUCAACAUACAUGCUUUCAAGGUUCUAAAAAACGCUAGGCGCUAGUCGGGCAGAGGCCUAGUGCCUAGCGCCUAGGCGACUAGGCGGGGUCUAGGCGGGCGCCUAGGCGGUCUAGGCAAAUUUAGGUAAAUUUCUUAUAUAUCUUGUAAAUAAGUGCAUAUUGACACUUACAAAAAAUUAUACUUAUAUGAAAUAGAUAAAUAAGAUAAUAAAAUAAUGAUAAAAUGCAAACAAAAUAUCUAGCGAGUCCAGAAUUUAAAAACAUAUUAAGCAUGUAUACCAUAUAAUUUAAAAUAUUUUAAAUGACUAUAUCUAAUUUUUAAAAAUGGGGUUAGGUGGUUCAUAAUAAAAAGAAUUUUGAAAAGGUACAUAUGCAUCAUUUCCCAUUCCACGUGUGUGGUGUGUGUGACCUUUCCCUCUAACCCUAGUUGCCAUGUGGCGCCUCACAUCAACCAAGACGGUCAGAGACUCCAAACCAAAAAGCCCAUUUUGAUGCUUUGAAAACAUGAAUCUUCUAUUUUUUUUAUUCUUUCCGUUUCCUCAUCCUAUUCGUCUUCUUUUAGUUCCCUCUUCUUAUUCUUUUUUCCAUUUUCCCUCCGUAAAAUCUCCCUUUUUUCUUCAAUUGCUCCGUCUGAUUCCCUAUCUUCUCCGCCUAAUUAAGUUUCUCGUUUCCUCUCCCUUCAUUCUUCUUCGAUUGCUCUUCCUGAUUCCCCAUCUCUCCACCUAAUUUUCAUCUUCUUGCUUUGUAUAAUUUUCUAAAACCUAAUCAUGAGUCCAGUCAAUUUCCUCAAGCACAGCGAAGAAGUCUUCUCUAGCGAAGAAAUCUGGGCUUCCUGGUCAAAGUUCUCGUUUUUUUUCUUGCAAAUGCAUUGUUAUUCUGAUUCCUUCUACAUAUCUCUCUCACGUUUACUCUUCCCUCACACUUUCCCGAUUUCUCUUUCGUCACCAUCGCGGUGUAGUGAGACGGAAAAUUUUAACAUAACCGCCGCGGAGGCCACUUAACCCGACGUCUAGGCCACCUAACCCGCCUAGUGGGCUGCCUAGGCACCGCAGCCUAGGCGGCCGCCCAAACGCGUUUUAGAACACUACAUGCUUCACUCACAAAGCUUCAACAUACAAGCUUCAACAAAAGAAAAAAAUUCAAAGAACUUAGUGAAGAAGGCUUCGGUGUAUUUAACACAAUACGUUAAAAUGAAGCAAAGCUUAUUUAAUGAUAUCUCCGAUAAGUUACAAAUAUGUACAUAUAUAUGAAUCAAAAUAAACAAAUAAGAGGGAGCCUUCACAAAGGUUGCUCAGGAGAAGUCUCAGCAGUCGACAGAGCCCCAGAAAGAGAAGGCACCAGAGGGUGAUCAUUCGGAGCCUCAGUAUUGGACAAAACCCCAUAAGGAGGAGGCAUCAGAGGUUGAUCAUUUGGAGCUUCAUUACGCGGUACAACCCCAGAAGAUGAAGGCAAUAAAUGCCUUUGGAACAAACCCAUAAACCUCUGACAAUCCAGUAAAAUUUGACAAUCAGAUUCCUGCAUCUGGUCAAGCUUCUUCUUCAUGUUUGUUCUCAUGCUUAAGCCCUAUAAUCUCCUGUUUGAGACUUAUCAUUUUAGCUGCCAAUGAUUUAACUUUGCGGGUUCGAGCAAAUAGGCGUAGGGCCAUAUUAAACACAGAACUUGCACACUGAACACUAAAAGCCAGAGAAUCCUUAACAACCAACUCAUCAGACUGUUUGAAAAGUAGGUUGUUAUCUUUGGGAGUGAAAAGGUUCCUGGCCAUCACCGCAGCAGUCAUAUCAUUCUUCAUCACAUAGUAUCUAAUGGUAAAAAGACCAGUAGGGGAUAAGAAUGAUGGGCGCCAUAUGUUGUCUUAAGGAGCCAUAGAUGCCUCUUUACCAAAGUUCAAGUCAAAACGACGGUCGAAUGGGCCAUACAUUUUCAGAAAUGAUGAAGGAGAAAUGAGGUCCAAUAAAUCUCUGAAGUAAAAAAUAAGGGGAAAAUUCCUACAAGCAAUAACUCUUUAAAUGUACUUCUUGCACACAAUUGGUGCCCCUAUAAAAGAAAGGGCAACAUGGCCGUUGAUUCAAAAAUUGAAGUGACACCACUCUCCGGAUUUCGAGAAAUGGAUUUUCCUGAGUAAAAUAUGUCGCAAUUUCCACACGCAACAUCAGCUCCUCGGGUACCAUAGAUAAUUUUUCCAAAGAUCUCUGACAAAGUUUAGACACAUACAUUUUGAAGGUCCAACUACCUUACUAUUACUUACAAGGGUAAAGGAACAGCACCACUGCUUGAUAACUGGAAAGUCCCUAUGUGUGUCAAUAUCCGUGCUCCAUGGCAAGCCAGACUGGCAAAAAUACCCGACCUUUACUCACAUUCGAGAAAACACUUCUAACAAGAUUGCUUGCUCAAAAAUCGAAGAGGCACAGCUCUCCGAAUCUCGAGAGCUAGACUCCUAACAAGAUUACUUGCUCAAAAAUCGAAGAGGCACCACCCUCCGAAUCUUAAGAGCCAGACUUCCAACAUGAUUACUUUCUUAAAAAUCGAAGAGGCACCGCUCUCCGAAUCUCAAGAGCCAGACUCCAAACAUGAUUGCUUUCUUAAAAAUCGAAGAGGCACCGUUCUCUGAAUCUCGAGAACUAGAUCCCCGACAUGAUUGCUUGUUCGAAAAUCGAAGAGGCACCGCUCUCCGAACUUCGAGAGUCAGAUUUCCUUGGAUAAAGCUUGUCUGCAAUCUUCACACGCAACAUCAGCUUUCUAGAUACCACAGACCACUUUUUCAAAGUGCUCUCAUAAAGUUAAAACACGUGAAUUUGCAGCUCCCACUACAUUGCUAUGACCGAGUAGGGUAAAGGAACAGUGUUGCCACUCGCUGCUGGGACAAUUCUUAUAUAUGUCGACCUUCAUCAUCUACAGCCAGGCAGACCUGCAAAUAAAAAAAUGCUAAACUUUUCUUCACAUCUGAAAGGGCACUUUCAGCAGAGUCUCUCGAAAUACUCAACUUUUUUUCCCCCCGAUAAUACCUCUGCAAACAAGCCACACUAGAGCAAGAGUAUCUCAUAUCAUCAAGGUUAAAAGCUAAAGUAUCCCAUAUCAUGCUUUUUCCCUGUCUUUUCUUUUGGCCUUGUUCUUAUCUGCAAGACGAGGAGAAAGAGAGCAAACAGUCAGCACUUGGAAUCAAGCUUCCAGUCAGGAACUGACGACCUGGAACUCCUUACCUGAUUACUUACCUGACAUUGCUCUCGGGUACUUAUCUUCAACAUUUUAUGCUUCCAGAAAAGAUACCACAUCUGCCUGAAGAACAGAUAGGGCUAGUAAAAAGGAUACAAGGAAACAUCUGGAGACAAGCGCAACAGAACACGUGCCGAUUCAUCUAUUACUUUGUCAACAGCAAAAGUAUCCCAUAUCAUCAAGGUCGAACGCACUCUUGAUUUGAUGGACUUGUUUUGACCUUCAAAUUCUUGAGUCGGCCUUAUACUCUGGAGGAAACCAGAAAACCCUCUAGCCCAGUUUAAGAAUAAGUAUGUGGAAAAUUACUUCUUCAAAAGUAAAAGUAUCUCAUAUCAUAUCUUCUCAAUUUUCUUCUCUUUAUCAUUCAUGUUGCCUGCAAAAUACAGAGAAUGAGAACAAUCAGCCGAAACUCGAAAUCAAACUUCUGAUCUGAGACUGAUUGCUGGGAGCUCUGAUUGCUUACCUUGUCCGUCACCUCUUUCAGCAAAUCUCUUAGCUCGGCGACUUGGGGAACUUCUACUACAUAGUUUGUAUCGCGCUUGACCAAGCCUGAAACUACAAGUAAGCUUCAAGUGAAAUUGAUACAUUACCUUGUGCAUCUUCACCGGUUAAAGGUACCACCCUUGGAUGGAGGAAGAGUACUUCUAGAGAAGAUGCCACAUUCACCUAUGAGAUAGAUAAGGCAAGUGAAAAUGAUACCACACUUCGGUACUUAGAAGUUUCGUGAUUACUCAGCGGCUUGGAUCUUACAAGUCCCUAACCGAGGAGCUUCCAUCACUCGGGAACUUAGGAGAGCACUGUUUGUACCAUACUUGACCAAUCUCGAAAUUACCGAGCACAGGUCAACGUUAUAUCAUCAAGGACCCAGAAGAGUUUCCCUCCAACUAGGAAGCCAAUCACAUCGCGACACGUGUCGACAUCAGAAGCCAAUCAUAGUGCGACACGUGUCACCAUCAGAAGCCAAUCACAACACGACACGUGUCAAUGUUAGAACAAAGCUAGAAACUCUCUUCUAUAAAAGAAGAUUAUUCUCCCACAAUAUUUCCUUAUGUCAUUUGUACUAAAUCAUUUACUUGUACUCACUAAAGGAGAGUUUGAACCUAUGUAAUUGUGUAAACCCUUCACAAUUAAUGAGAACUCCUCUACUUCGUGGACGUAGCCAAUUUGGAUAAACCACACAUCUUUAGUUUGCUUUCCUAUCUCUAUCCAUUUACAUACUUAUUCACACUAGUGACCAGAGCAAUCUAGCGAAGGUCACAAACUUGACACUUUUUGUUGUACCAAAGUCCUCACUGAUUUUGUGCAUCAACACAUAUAAUCUCUAAUAAUUAAUGAAACUCUCUUUGUCAACAAAAAAAGGGUGAAAAGAUAACUUAAGUCUUUUAUCACACAAAAAAAAAACAUGAUGGAUAAUAAUGUAAUUUCAUAGGUCCAAAUUUUAUUGUUUUUUUAUUGAAAUCUCACCUACAUGUGAUGUUAAAAUAUCUCCAACAUUAAAAUGAAAAAAAAAACAAAAACAAAAAGAAAACCUCCCACUCCCCCACGUUCUCUCUCUCCCUCUCUCUUUCUCAUUUUCUAAAAAAAUGUGUUCAUACACACAAAGUGUGUAGGCAAAUGCUUGUAAAUAUUAUAGAAAAUUAGAUUUUAAACCUUAAAUAAGAUGAAGUUUAGAAAAAUGUCUUAUACAAGAUUAAAAUUGAUUUUAGUCCCUAAACUCUAUUUAAUGCCAACAUAUGUAUGCAAUUUCUCUCUUUUUAUUUAUAAUUUUAUGGUGUUCAUAUAUUAAAUUUUAUGAAAAUAUUAUAAAUUUUAAUUCUCAUUAUGAUAAGUAUCUUAUAUAAGAAAAUAUUUUCGUAGAGAUUUUUUGGUACACUUAUUUUUGUGCAUAUUUUCUUAUGUGCCAUUAAUUUAUUACAAUAUAUUUAGGUACAAACAUUUUAGUACACCACAUUAGUAUAAUAUGUUUAGGUAUGGACAUUUUGGUACACUAGUUUAGUAUAACAUAUUUAGGUACCGACAUUUCAAUACACUAGUUUAGUAUCAUAUAUUUAGGUACAGAAUUUUUUAUACACUUAUGUUUUUACAUAUUUUCUUAUGUGCCACUAAUUUACUACAAUAUAUUUAGGUAUGGGCAUUUCGGUACACUAAUUUAGUAAAAUAUAUUAUGAUAGGUACGUUUAGGUACACUAAUUGUGGAAGUUAAAUAAAAUUAAUGAAUUAAAAUGUGUAUAAUAAUAAAUUUUAAAUUUAAUGUAAUGACAUUAAAUAAAAGGGGUGUGAUAUCCACACACCCCUUUUUACUUCUCACACACCCUUUUAAGUUUUGGCCUUUGGAUAGUGUGAAUUGAAGAAGAUCAAAUGGUAGAAAUUAACAAGGGGUGUGUGAGAAGUAAAAAAGGGUGUGUGGAUAACACACCCCUAAAUAAAAUAUCUAUUUUUAUUUUAUAAUAUGAAUUUGAAUUAAACACACAUUAAAUGAUUAAAAUAUGAAUUUGAACUAAGCACACAUUUUUUUUUUUAUUAAAUUUUAAUCUUCUUCAAGGUAAAGUUGAAAAACCCCUACAUAUACCACUUAGCACACACCAUCUCUUCCACUCUCAGUCCUCCUCCUUCUCUCUCUCUCCCUCUCUCCCCCCACCAACACCAACAACAUCAACAACACCAAAUCCAAAAAAUGGGUUCGACCCCAGAGACUCAGAUGACUCCAACCCAAGUCUCCGACGAAGAAGCCAACCUCUUCGCCAUGCAGCUAGCCACCGGCUCCAUCCUCCACAUGGUGCUCAAGGCAGCCAUCGAGCUCGACCUCCUCGAGAUCAUGGCAAAAGCCGGGCCUGGCGCUUUUGUUUCUCCGGCUGACUUAUCUUCGCAGCUGCCGACCAAGAACCCUGACUCCCCCGUCAUGCUGGACCGCAUGCUGCGCCUCCUGGCCAGCUACUCCAUCCUCACUUACUCCCUCCGCACACUUCCCGACGGCAAAGUCGAGCGGCUGUACGGCCUCGGCCCCGUCUGCAAGUUCUUGACAAAGAACGAGGAUGGUGCUUCCAUUGGUUCUCUCUGCCUCCUGAUUCAGGACAAGGUCCUUAUGGAGAGCUGGUAAUUACCAUUCUUCUUCUUUAUUUAUCAUCUUAAUUUGAUCGUUAACAAACAUUAAUUAAUGGGGUUCAAAUAGGUUGAUCAUAAUACAAUAUUCAUAAAAUGUUACGUACUAACUGUGAGUAAUGGCUUUAAUGUGUGUUUGUUCUCUAUUUUUUCCUAACGUGUUCUUCGUUGUUCAUAUUACUUUUGGCCCAUUAGGCGGUUGGGGACGGACAUGAUUCCAAAUUGACUUCUUGUCAGAGUUAUAAAGAAAGCAAAACUAAUAAAAAAUCCUGGAAAAUUUUGAAUUUUAACCAUAAGGAUAAAAUAAAAGGUAAAGUGAAUAGUAUCAGAAUUGACUUUUUAGUGUAAAAAUGUGGUUUUUCGUUAAAGUGAACAAUAUCAGGAGUUUUUCGUUAAAGUUCCUUAUAAAGAAACCAAUUUUUAAACAAAAUUUACAAGCUAAAUUAUAUAUCACCAAUAAAAAUAGGGAAAACUAAUGAAAGGGGCUUGAAAACUUUGAGUUUUAACGAAAAUGUCAAAAUAAAGGGUAAAGUGAAUAGUACUAGAAUUGACUUUUUAGUGUAAAAAUGUGGUUUUUCAUUAAAGUGAACUGUAUCAGGAGCUUUUUGUUAAAGUUCCCUAAAAAAUAAGCACGUUUAUCAACGUCUAAGUAAUAAUUCAAUCAUCAACUUUUAUAUCAAUUAUUUUGUAAAUUUUAAUUAUAAAUUUAAUUUUCCUAGUAUUACGCUAUAUGAUGACUGGUUACUUGUUUUACGAUUACCACUUAAUCAAAUUAGGAGUGAAAAGUUGGUACCACCACUUCGCCAACCACACCAUAGUGUUUCGAUAUUACACAUUUAUUUCUUAUCAAUCUUUUUCCUUAAGACAACGGUAUGUUUUAACUAUUUUAUUCUUCUAUAUAGAGCGUAAGUUCCGUCAAUUAGCUAGAGGUGAAAUUUAAAUUAACUUUCUCCUUCAUUUUUAUCAAAACCACAGAAAUGAUAAUUUGUACUUGAACCUAAGAGGAUACUAUUUUACUAACUGACUGACGUAAUCCAUGUCAAUAAAAGACCAAUAGGAUCCUUUUCGGAUUAUAUUUGUGAGGAUUCUAGGGAUCUGUGAAUCGUGUCCAUUCAUCAUGUAUCGUGCGGUCAGAUUUCGUCAAGUACUGUUGUGUUUAAUUUUAAAUAAAAAAAUUAAAAUAAUUUAUGACCGCACGAUGUACAAUGAACGAACACAAUUUACGAAUCUUUAGGAUUUUCACAAAGAAGAUCCGGAUUCAAUAAAAGAACUGAGAGUUGUUUUUACAAACCCAUAAAUUAUUUUAUUAUUGUGAGUUAUGCGGGCCUUGAAACACGUGGUAGUUGGGUUGGCCUAGUUUACAAGAUUGCUUGUACUUUGGUAUUGUAGAUUAAGCUUUAAACACAAAUGAGUCAUGCAUGCUUGUUUUGGGUUUGUGCAGGUACCACUUGAAAGAUGCAGUCCUUGAAGGAGGUAUCCCAUUCAACAAGGCCUAUGGAAUGACUGCUUUUGAGUACCAUGGCACUGAACCCAGAUUCAACAAGGUAUUCAACAAGGGAAUGGCUGACAACUCUACCAUUACCAUGAAGAAACUUCUUGAGAACUACAAUGGCUUUGAGGGCCUCACAUCCAUCGUUGAUGUUGGUGGUGGCACCGGCGCUGUCCUUAACAUGAUCGUCUCUAAAUACCCUUCGAUUAAGGGCAUUAACUUCGACUUGCCUCAUGUCAUCGAAGAUGCUCCCCAAUAUCCUGGUAUGUUCUUCAUUUCUGAUAAUGUUCAUAGUUCAAUUACUUAAAAGCAUUCAUCUUUACAUUCGAUCUCUCAAGUUCAAUUUCUCUUCCCCAAAUAUUAUUGCAUAUAAAAAUAAUAUUUGUACUAUUUAUCAUUUUUCCUAAUGAAUAUGAGGUCAAUGGAUGUUGAAUAUAGGUGUGGAGCAUGUUGGAGGAGACAUGUUUGUAAGUGUUCCAAAGGGAGAUGCAAUUUUCAUGAAGGUGAGUUAUUAUUUAUCAAAAAAGAACCAAUGAUUAUUUUGUAGUGCUAAUAUUCAUUUCUCAUAGGAGCUUAGUUGCUCAAUAUAUUUGGAACUAAUAUCAAAUCCUGUAUGCAAUCUUACAGUGGAUAUGCCACGACUGGACCGACGAGCAUUGCUUGAAAUUUUUGAAGAACUGCUAUGCUGCGCUCCCAGACAAUGGGAAGGUAAUUGUUGCUGAGUACAUUCUUCCGGUAGCUCCGGACGGUAGCCUUGCCACCAAGGAAGUUGUCCAUAGCGACGCGAUCAUGUUAGCUCACAACCCCGGCGGAAAAGAGAGGACGGAGAAGGAGUUCGAGGCCUUGGCUAAGGGAUCUGGAUUCCAAGGCUUUCGAGUCGUGUGCUCUGCUUUCAACACCUAUGCCAUUGAAUUUCUUAAGAAGAAUUGAGUAUAAUUUGCCCUUGGUAUGCUGCCAUCUGCAUUUAUAUUGCUUUGGUUUUUUAUAUGGUGAUCGUGUAUCCGUACGUGGACUUUACACAUAAGUAGGUUUUCAUAUGUUAGAAAAAAAUAAUAAGAAAGUGAUUUUGUUGCUUUGAUAACAUGUAGAAUUAUGACUCUUUGUAUUGUUAUGUGAAAAAUAUUACAAUAUACAUACAAGGUUACAUUAGUCCCUAUUGAAAUAGGAAUGUUACACUAAUUACAAUUAAAUAUUACAUUCCUAUAAUACAUGUGACAACUACGACGGACAAAUUACAUGUCUAUAUUGCCACAAACACAAAAUCAAAACCUCAUGGAUUUUCUUAUCACCUUAACUUACCCGUCAAUUGAUUUCGACAUACGACCUGUUUGGUGCCUAAAUCCGCCAUGGGCCUCGCGGGCAAGCCGGGGAUUUACUUCACAUACGAGAUUGAUAGGUGCGGGCGUGCCACUACUAGAUGCCGCUAGUAGACGGGAUUUGAAUGAUUGAGGUUGCGCCUUUUGACUUCAAAUCAAGAGAUUGUGCCAUUUGAGUGGGAGUUGCUCAAAUCAAGGUUCUUUCUUUGCCUUAAAAAUAAGGACUUUACUUAUAUGGAGAGAUAGAACAAUAUGUAAAUGAUAAGGUUGCUCGGAAAUGUAAAUGAUAGAGGAAAGUGACUAAUAUUGCAGAUUGCUUGUAAUUUAAAUGACUGAAAAUGAGUUGUACAUGAAAACUAUAAAGGAGAUCGAUACUACAAGUGAGCAGCAGAGCUAAUAAACUAGACAAAAGAUGGCUUUUGUACAUGAAAACUAUAAAGGAGAUCGAUACUACAAGUGAGCAGCACAACUAAUAAACUAGACAAAAGAUGGCUUUUGUGAGGGCUGAUCCUGAAAAUGAUGAAGGUUUGGGGGGCUGACUACAGCUUCGUGUGAAGGCAAAUCUAGUUUGAGCAGAGUUUGUGCUUGUAUUUGUUUGUUUGAUUGAGUGUCCAUAAUCCUUCUCCAUCUGCUUCUUUAUAUAGAGGUCUGGAAGAGCCCCCUUGUUGAGAUCUUUGUACUUGCCCGAAAGAAGCUUGGGCAGCUUGCAUUGCAUUUGCCAACUUGCAUGUAGAAACAAUAUUAAAAGGGAAACUUGCAUCUCCACCACAUGUUUUUAGCACAUGUCUCCCCACUUGUAAUAAACUAACAAUUAAAACAGAAGCAAAUUGCAUCUCCACCACAUGCCUUUUCCCACUUGCAAUAAAAUAAUUAAAAAAAGCAAACUAGCUUCUUUCACUACACAUUCUUGCCCGAAAGCAUGCAUGGUAUAUUUCCAUCCACUUGCAUGAAAAAGCAUGCACUUAUCUUGAUUAAACAACUCUCUUGACAAAGCUCCACCACCCAAACAAAUGGGAAAAACAAUAUUAUAGUGCCAAACCAUCCACUUGCAGCCAAAUAUCUUUCCAAGUUAGCUUUCUUGCAUAUUAAUCCUUCAAAUACCAUAUUUUACCCCAAUGGCCCAAAUAAGUAAAAAUGGGCACAUUUUGGGUGCAAACACGACCGCUCAUACACAAGAACUCUCCUAAAACAGAAAAAAUGGCAAGAAGGGAAUAAUAAAAUGACAUUCAUAUUAUUUUCAUGACGUACCUAUCAAAUUAUUAUCCAUGAUGUUCAUUCAAACUGGUAUUAUGUUAUAGGCUUUCCCGUUAUUCAUGUUGUCAUUAUAUUUGUUCAGCUUAGAACACAAUAAGAAACAAAAUUAAAAGCCAGUAAAAUCAUAAAAAAAAAAUAACCCAUUGACUAAUUGAGUAUAACACUAGCAAAAACGUCCGCGCUCCGCUGCAGGGAAUGACACAAAUAUAAUCUUAUACGAUCUAAUUGUUUUUGUUAUUCCUAGUUCUUUUUGGCAUUGUGUGCAAAAAAAACGGAAACUCCAAGCAAGAAAUUGAUAGCUGAGAAGAAACGAAUGACUACAAACAUUUUCAUUAAACAUUUCUAUUCCAUUUGCAAUGUCAGAAGUAUGAUCUUCUUGUAUCCCCUGAUUUCUUUUGCUAUUUCUAGUUCUUUUCCUCUCUGACUACGGUCCAAGAGACCCAGAAAACUGCAGCGAUGCAAAUUGCUACCGGAAUCAUGAAAAAUUAAAAUUAAUAAGACUCGUUCGAAUCAUAUUACAAUGCAUGCCAAACCACAACAUCUGAUAAUCCAUAAAUUAAACGAAAUUGAAAAUGAAGUUCAGCAGCUGGGACAAAAAUAAAAACACAAAAUACUAACUCAAGCGCCUGCACAUAUAAACACCACAUAAAAAUCACACAAAAAAACGAAAACAACAGCUGAGACACGCUUAUGUAAAAAUCCAACAUGCAUAGUUCUUUUAAUUCCAACACAGAAACAACAAAAAUUUCUGAAAAAAUACCCAUACGAAUUCAACUUAAAUCCCAAAAUCCAAUCCCCCAAAAAAACCAUAAUUUCAAAUACCACAAACAUGCAAAGGCCAAAUCAAAGCUGCAAGUCGUUUUAGAUUUUACCGAAUAAUAGGAACAAUUUAAUUCCCUAAUUAUGAGGGAAUAAUCCGAAAAUCUGGAAAAAUAAAGAGGUCUAAAACCCUCGGCCGAGAUCGACCUGGAAGAACACACAAGUCAGAUUGGGUCUCCACAAUAGAUAAAAACAGACAGAGAAUCUUCGUUUCUUGAAUUUCUGAGAGAAAAUUUAUGAUUUUUGAUAGGAUUUUUAUCACCUACAAAAGUAGGGAUAAAAACACUUAAAAAAUAAUUGCAAGAGUACAAGUGACACGCCCCAACCGAGGCCAAGGCAUGCUGGCCGUUACGUGAGAGUGACGUAGUCAUGUGCAUAGUACGGAAGCGAUAAAGAUAGCAAACAUACGAAUAAUUAAAAACCAUAUUAAUAUAGUGCACUACUAGCAGGGAGUGAUAGGAGUUAGUUACAACCGUAAACUCUCCUAAUCAGAGCAUAAUAAGUCUAGGUGCAGUCCAGUAGGACAAGUACUAGUUACACAGUACAAGGAAUGUCCUACUAUAAUAUAGAAUAGUCAGAACAACCAACGUCCUUGAGCCACCAACAGCGACUUACUUAAAACCUGAAAGGGCGCAAAACAGAAAACGUGAGUGGGUAAAAACAAAUGUUUUACAAAAUCGUUUUCUUUAUCAACAUAUCUAACCCCUCGCUGUAAAACAUGUAUAAUUUUUCCCAGAAUCAGAAUAUAAGCAUAUGCAUAAUAUAUAAAUAUAUAUGAAAUCAUAACAAUUCAAUUCAUGCUUCACAUAAUCAUAUUCAAAUAUAUACCAUGUUAAUAUAUAACAGAGUAAGCAAUUCAGGUAAGAAUAAAUUCAUAGAAUAUGAUAUGUUAGCUGGAACCCAUGUGGUAGUCUGUACGGCUGAAUUCAUAGCUCAAACUCAAUCUAGCCGGAGUCACUACUAUGACCUAUACGGCAAUAUACUGCACAUAAGUUGGAACCACUGAAAAUGUUCUGUACGACAAAGUUGGGUGAAAUAUAAUUAUGCUCAAUGAUACGCCCUCAUGCUAGCUGUGCGAUAAAUAGUUAGUCACCUACGAGUCGGAACCACUUAUAGUGGUCUGUAUGACAAGACUGUGUACCUAAAUUGGAUCCAAUGUGAGCAUAUGGUGCGAGAGGUGACAUAAUAUACAGGCAUGUGCCAACUCUCUCUGGCUAAAUCGCAAUCACCCGGGGUGCAGGUUUAUGAGCUCAUUGUUUUCAAUCAUAACUCAUAUAGAAAAUCAACAUGUUCAUCUCAUUUAUUGAAUAGCUACAUCUAACAUCUCGUUAGACUGCCUACGUACCCUAAACAGGGAUCAAGCCGUUCGUAGUUCACCUAAUCAAACAUAACUUACUUGAACUUACAUGUGCCUCCACAACACCACAUUUAUAUAUAUAUAUAUAUAUAUAAAUAUAUACAACCAUGAAAUGCAUAUUUAGAAUAUAAAGGCAUUUGACAUAUUAUUUCAAAGCAUAUUUUCAUUUAAAACACAUUUCUGGGAAAUAUAUCAAGUAUAUAAUUAUAUACUGAAAGCAAAAGCCCACUCACUGAUAUGUUGAAGGGUUGUAACCCCCGAGUCGCCCGUGGAUACGCUCGUCCUCGGGAUAAGCCUCACCUAUAUGCAAAUUAACUAUAAAACGUUAUUUUAAAGCACAUAUACAAAACUAGCUAAUAACUUCUCAUACAUUGCUCAAAAUGGGUAUAUGAAUAUACCACAGUGAUCUAUACAACCUCACGAACAUCGUGAUAUUUUUAGAUAAAUUUUUAGGUGGCUCACGCGCCCCACGCGCCCCCUACGCGCAUCAUCUUCAACCUCCAGACACCAGAACUGUUCACCGGCACCAGAUUCUGGGCAGACCUUCAAACCCACUAUUCUCCUUCAUUUCUCAACCAUUUUCUACGAAAUUUUCACCCAAAUGUCACAAAUUUCAAGAGGAAGAAGGUUAUACUUCUUUGGAGCCUUAAAUCCUUCGGAAACACCUCUGAAAAAUCUCGUCAAAACCGGCCACUUUCGAACCUCGUGAUCCCGACGUCCAAAAGCUUCAAACGAAGCACUCCGAGCUUCCUUGUGACCUCACUAAGCUCGCUAUAAGCUUGGAUUGUCCUAAAACACAACCAUUUAAAAGUUCAUGAAUAGUGCUCAACUUGGAGCUUGAAUUUUCAACGUGAUAUUGAACGAGUUCUUACCUGAAAUGGGUACCCUUGAACUCAUAUGAUCCUCACAAACACAAUGGUGCCAUUUUCUUCCUCGAUCAGUGAAGAUUUGGCUUGGUUUGACCUUGUCCGUACGGAGGAGAGGGAAAAGAGAGUGAGUCCAAGAGAGAGAGAGUGCACGGGAAUGAGAGAGAGAAUUGAGGUGAUGUGGAUAUGUGUGUGUGGUCCAACCUACACACCAAUCACAACUAACUAAGGUUAAGUUCUCAUUGGCCCCAAAAACUUAGGAAAAUAACCACAUUGGUCCAUUUCUAAAACUGUCACAUACGACUCACAAUGCCAUAAACGCUCAAGGGCAUUUUAGUCUUUUCACAUCCGCGAUAACAAAAUAAUGUACAUUUUCGGGAUGGGUUGUGACAACAAGAUUGUCGUAGAAUAGCAACUCAAGCAAUAUCAUUUUCCACAGGAAUUGAAUGAAUAAUUUGUAUUUAAACUAAUUUUUAGCUAAUUAUUUAGAACAAAGUUUUGAAACUGUUGAUUUUGGAAUUUAAAAUAAUAAAAACGAAUUUAAAUGAAAAUAAUUAAAUAUUUGACAAAGUAAAGAAAGCAAAAGAACAACGUUUUGAAAAUCAAAUUGUAAAAGCCUAGGAUUCUGCCGUCCCCUUAAUAAUCCUAUGCAAUUUUACCAAUUACUUAUGAAUUUAUACAUACAUGCUUUGAAGGUUAGGUUUUCCUAAUGCAUAUUUUCCUCGUGAUGUUCAAGCGAAAACGUAUAUCUAACAUGCAACCCGUCUAUGAUGUUCAUAUCAAAUAUAAACAUGCAAGACUCAUUAAGUUUUGUGAAAACCCUUUGAAAAAUCAUGCAACCCUUAAAAACGUGAUGUUUGCCUUAAGUGAACUUACAAUUACUAAUCACAAGAAGCCCUCCUCAAUUUCAAGGUGAUGUUCCAAUAGAAAUUGCAUCAAAUUAUUUGUCUAAAAACCCGGUGAUUAAUAAUUUCAAGCAAACAUGCAUUCAUUCAUAAGCUAAUUAAUAAAAUCACAUAUUCAUGCUAAGGCUUGUGGCUUCGCCUUUAGCAAAAGAAACUACCUACUAACAAUCAUAAAACAAAAUAUUAUUAAGAAUAAGGAUAGAAAACACCUAAAAAAUAAACUUGAAAAACUCUCUAAAGUAUGCGUGCGUUUCCUCCUCUCCUUCCCUUCUAACCCUAACGGCUAAAAAGUCUUAUUUAUACUACUACAAAUAAAACCCUAAAAAGUCUUAGAAUAAAACUAGGAAACAUAAUAAAAUAAUAAAACUGAAAUAAAAGGUUUCUAUGUAAACUUAAAUUCAGACUUAUUAGAAAAUCAGACUUUUGACCGACCAAAUCAACUUCGAUUUGGUCCCAAAAUGUCUCUUUUGAAAGCUAGAGACGUCCCCCACAAAUCCUUGGAAGGAAUCUUCCUCAAAAUAUGUCAUAUGUACUAAUUAAGUUUACAUAAUCUAAUUUUUCAACCAAUUCUUUUUCAAUAGCCUAUGAUAUUAUUUUUUUAAAAUUUUUAUUGAAUUUUAAUUGUAAAAUUUUUAUUUAUAUAUUUUUAAAAAAUCUGGGGCCCCUCCAAAGUGGAAGCCUUAGGCGGGCACCUACUUCGGCUACCCUCAAGGCCGACCUUGAGAUUCCUACAAAGAGGAUCCGGAUUCAAUAAAAGAAGGGGGAGUUGUUUUAACAAACCCAUAAAUUAUCUUAUUAUUGUGAGUUACGCGGGCCUUGAAACACGUGGUAGGUGGGUUGGCCUAGUUUACAAGAUUGCUUGUACUUUGGUAUUGUAGAUUGGAAAUGGAUUAUCUCCGGAUCCCUUCUACCAAGUCUACUAAGUCCACCUAUCUGGACUAUUGAAAUUUGAUUCAACAAUUAAAGUUAUUAUAAUUUUUGAAGGGGCUCUCUUAUUUGUAGCCGUUGGAUCAAAUUUCAAGGGUCCGGAUGGAUGAACUUGGUGGAAGAGAUCUGAAGAGGAUCCCUUUCCUUGUAGAUUAAGCUUUAAACACAGAUGAGUCAUGCAUGCUUGUUUUGGGUUUGUGCAAGUACAACUUGAAAGAUGCAGUCCUUGAAGGAGGUAUCCCAUUCAACAAGGCCUACGGAAUGACUGCUUUUGAGUACCAUGGCACUGACCCCAGAUUCAACAAGGGAAUGGCUAACCACUCUACCAUUACCAUGAAGAACCUUCUUGAGAACUACAAUGGCUUUGAGGGCCUCACAUCCAUCGUUGAUGUUGGUGGUGGCACCGGCAUUGUCCUUAACAUGAUCGUCUUUAAAUACCCUUCGAUUAAGGGCAUUAACUUCGACCUGCCUUAUGUCAUCGAAGAUGCUCCCCAAUAUCCUGGUAUGUUCUUCAUUUCUAAUAAUGUUCGUAGUUCAAUUACUUAAAAGCAUUCACCUUUACAUUCGAUCUCUCAAGUUCAAUUUCUCUUCCCC